GGGAUGGUUGAUCCCAGCUUGCAUGAAGCUCCUCAGAAAUCAUCAUUUUGCUCACGAUGCUAUGGAUCUGUGAAUCUGAAAGGUCAAACAUCCCUGCAAGCUGAUCCAAACUCAAAGAAUUAUAAGAAGAAGAAUAUGUGAAAAGAUAGGUCCUCAGUGCCUCUUCUUUUAUUUUGCCCCUAAGCAUCUCAAGAACACUAUCCUUGUUGCGUAGCAGCCUCCACACGUCGAGGGAGUUGAUAACAUCAAAAGCCUUUUCAAAGUUUCCUUGCUUGAGGGCCCUUGUCGCUGCCAUUACAUGGUCCCUCACAUUUUCAGGUGGGCCGGUGAAAGUUUGCCUCUCACUCACUUCAAGCAAUCUCCGGAAUGUCUUGCUAAUAACCCUGCGCUUCAUGUCAUGGCUAUUAGCUGCCAUGUUUGGCACUUCAAGAAGCAUUGCACAUGUCAGAUGGACGGCCUCAAGAAGCUCAAGAUUUAUAUGCAUAUGAUACGGCAUCUGACGCCUCCUCUCCAUCCGCUCCUAAAAGUGUCCAACAUGCAUAGUUUAGAAGCUUUGGUGAGAAUCAUAAUGAAGAAAUUUCACAAAAAAAGAAAAAGAACUAUCUGAUAAAUGAGCCAGUUGAGGGUGCAAUCCGAUAUAAAAUAUAUGAUUAUUUCAGUUACUAUGAAUUCGUUCGGACGAAUUUGGCUAAAACUGAUGGAAUUAAUUCAAAGUUCUGCAUCGUUCUUUUAAGUUUACUAUCCCUGGUUUACUCCCGAGCAUCCUUCCAAAGAACAAGUUUUGCUAGUUCCGUUUUCGAGACAUUAUGUCAGCAGUUAAUGUCUAAAAUCUUUUAAAAUAACAAAAGUUAAAACCCUCUAAACUCCCGCAUGUGUGAGGAAUGGUUCCCAACAGGUUCCUUCUACCACACGUGGAGAAAGCAAAAUAAAUAACAAAUGAUUUAAUUCUUAGUUAUUCAAGUAUAAGUUAUCAUUUUAGUUCCUUUAUUACCCAAACUCUCUGUUCAGGUCCACCACCUCCACCUUACACAUUUCUUCACUUCAUCAAAUUCUCCUCUAAAACGUUUCUUCUUAUUUUGUCUUCUCUCCAAAUUUCACUUUUGUCAGCAUUCAACCACAAAAAUGGUUCAAGCAAAGCAUAACCAUAUAUUCUUCAAGUUCAUGUCUUUAGCACUACACACCCAAUUUGUGCCCUGAUAUGCUUUCAAUUCAUUUUCUAAUUUCCCAUAAUUUCCUUUGCCUACUAAUAGCAAUUUCCUCUUUCAGCUAUCACAAAAAGUACAAUUCCGAAGAUAAUAUCACAAAUUUCACCUAUCUGUCUCUAUUAGCAGGACUUUCAAUCUGCAUUAUUAUGCUGUCAAAUCUUAAUUGCCACACCUAUCAAUUCUUGGCUCUUUUCUUCAUUUUCAGUCAAAUGGUUGCCAAGAAUUACGACUUCUCACUCGCAGUAGUGGAAAUGGCAUGGAUUAUGCUAAGGAUUGACUACUCAGGAAUCUUUUGGCUUCUUUUUCGUGUCUUCUCUUAUGAAAACCAUGAGGGAACGCCUCAGAUUUAAGUAGAAAAAGUUACAGAGUAUUGCCCUUUUACGGGAUUCUAAAGCUACAACUUUAGAUACCCACGUAAGUCAUUAAGUAAACCAACUAAUAAACUGAUCUUUCUUUUCGAGUUUCAACUAGAACCUACUUUCUUGUUGAACUGCGCAACACAAACACUCAGAAACAGAUGCUAGCUACUACAAUUAUGAAGUACAAUAAAGCAGCUAAUCUCAAAACAUAACAAAGGAGGAAUAUAAUGGCACGUAAUAAGAAACCUGUUCUGGGGUCUUCUCAUGAUAACGACUUUGGGAGACACCUUGCGCGAGUAACUCCUUCACCCUGCCGGCAGAAUAGAGUUCAGCCAAGCAGCCAUGUNGCUUCUGCAACAAGUGCCGCCCUGAAUGCACAGAGACCGAGCUGAGCCAUGGCUCUGUUGAAAAGUAUCUGAGUUGAAAUGUCCAUGUGCUGGAUAUUAUCUUGCAAGUGACUCAUCAAUAACAAGUCACGGGAUGUUGAAAACUCAUCCAAGAUAGCAUGGUGGUAUAUAUCACAGAGCAUUGCACGGGCCUUGGUGCGUUCAUCCCCAUAUUUAUAUAUGAGAGAAACGAGACUGUCCAUCAAUGUCCUGCUGUUCUCUUCAAAAGCAGGUUUCCUGGGCACAAGCUCUGGAGUUGCAACAAAUGCAGUUGGACCUCUACUCUCCUCAACCACUUUGUUUUCUUCUAUAGACUCUGCCUCUCCUUCUCCUUCCGUAAGCUCAGCCAACUUCCUCAUAGCAUCAUACACUCCUUGUGGUUUAUAAUAAAUGAAUUCAACCUGUUUGAGAGCCACUUUCGCAGCACCCUUGUAGUCUCCUGCCCGUUCUAAAUAAUGUUGGACAUUUUGAGCAAGAACCAAAAAUAACGGCUCAUCCCUCAGCCUCUCAACAUACUCACGGGUAUGUGGAUCAAUUACCUGCAAGCUCUUGAAAAAUUCUACAUCUAUCCUUUCAACAAAGGCAACCAAGUUUCCCCAGAUCCUUAUCGUCCCCGAGUGGUCUGCUCCUUUCUGGGUCUCAUUUUCAUCUGGUUCCACCAUGUCAUCAACCACAAUGUUUGGGUAUUGGGUCAAAACAUCGAGGAUGGUAAGCAUAUUCUGCACGCACUUUUUCCACACAUUUAUAGGCAUGUGUCCACUGAGACUUGGAUUAACAUCAAACUGCGCAGACACAACACUAAACAGAAUUUCAAGCUUUUGUGCUGGAGUCUUGGCCACCUUGGUCAAGAAGGUGAGCUGUUCAACCAAUUCAAUCUUUCCAGUCCCCUUUCUUCCCCUAGCAGCAACAAUUUCCUUGAACUUCUUGUUGACUGUCUCCCACGUGAUUUGACUUGGAUCCUUGAACUGUUUAUCCAAAAGUUUUUCUUUCUUGCUUAGCAUCUUCUCCCACCCAGUACCGCUCUCCGCUGUCUCAUCCCGACUUUCAUCUUCGUCAUCUUCCUCAUCAGACGCAGCUGCAAUCUUUGUUGGGUCCUCCUCAAACUCCUCUUCAUCAUCCUCUUCUUCCUCUUCUGACUCUUCAUCAUCACCAGCCUCAUCCUCACUCUCGGGAGGAUUUUCCCUGUACUUGUUAAUCAACUCCUCAUACUGCUUGUUAUUCUUUUUCAGUUUCUGUUUCAUCGAAUUUAAGGCUUUAGCAUUACUACUACUCAUCUUCUUCUUUGCCUCCUUAUUGGCCAAAGCCUGACUCAAGAAAUCCUCCAGCAUCACUAGAGCUUUGAUAUAGAGAUUUGGUGCUUUAACUGAUUCUGUAAUGCGCAUGACCUUCUCCAGCUGCUUGUUGAUCUUAUCAAAGCUCUCCUGCAAGCUGACCCAGUCAUUAAUCUUCAUAGCAUUCUUCAUCUGAUCAACGGUAGCAGACAAUUCCUCAAAGCGCUUAUCCUUUGCUGACCGGACAACUCGCUUCUGUCCAUCUGACUCAUCACUGUCGCUGUCACCAGCUGCAAGGUAUCUUGACCCAGCUGCUGCAGUGGUAGUCUCAGCCGGCCCUUCAUCAUCCUCCUGCUCGUAAUCACUCUCCUCCUCCUCCUCGGUUUCACUAUCGCCCUGCAAAUACCAUAGUAUGAAUCAAUUAAAUAACACCUUCCCUAAACCCUUAUACUUUAUGCAGAAUGAGCUAUCCCCAACAGACUGCCAUAUACAAAAACAAACCACUCAUUCACAGCACCUUAAAUUUUCUAGGCUCACUAAGCAAUUCCUUCUGAACAGUUUAAGAUUAUAUUUCACAUCACACUGUUAACACAAACAAGUAAAUUGCUUUUCAGCAGAAUAGCUGGCAAAAAGUGUGAACAAAUACGGAUUAUCGUGAUUUGUAUCCAAAGGUCACUUAGACAUUGAAUAAUUGGAUUAUGAAAGCAAUUCAAAACAUCCAGAUGCAAGUAUCCAUUCUUUAUGUUCGGGCACUUCUUACAUCCAAUUCAAAACAACCAGAUGCAAGUACAAUCACAUAACAAUUUAUUAUGCCUCAAUCAAAAGCUAGCUGGGAUCGGCUAUAUGAAUUAUCAUUAUCCAUUUAGCUCUAUAUAGAGCAGAUUCAUUCCAAUAUUCAAUAAUUUAGGAUUAUCUAUCACUAGAGUUCUCAUAAAUUAAUUUUAAAAAAUAUCUUUAUCAAUAGUUAUCAAAAAAAAUAUAUCUUUACCACUGUAAAUUGGUGAAUAGAUUAUUUUACUCAUCCAAACACAUAAAGAAAGAACUGAAUCUUUAAUUGAGGUGAAAAAAUCAUUUACCUGAGUCCAAAAACGGGACGCCAUACUUCUUCAAAAAAUUCUUCGAGAAACGGAGAUAGAAUGAGCUGCAAUUACUCAAAACAAAAAUAAAAAAUCAGAUCGAGAAUAAAUCAACAAAUACUUCAGCGGUUUUACAAACACCAAUUUUGAAGAAGAAAAGAUUCGAACCUGUAAGCUGGAACUGUGGUUUACAGAAAGCUUAGCCGAGAAAGAGAAGAGGGAAUGGAAUUUUACAGUAAAAACCCUACAGAAUGAUAAGGGUUGGUCCGACUCAGCUUUUGGGCUUCUAUGGGUGGGAAUAUGAAGUCACUAAUCGAACAACGCCACGGCCCAAUGUAAUUCGUUUUGGGGAUUUUUACUUUUCCUAUGCUAUAUACGAAACUUUAUUACCCUCCCUGAUUAAGUUUUAACUUAAUUACAUGGGCAUAUAUAAUUUACCAAUUAUAUACAAUUAGUACUAAUAAGUAUCCCUUUAUAUUAUUAUGAAUUGAAUAGGAAUUUAUUUAUUUCCCAUCACCGCUCUCUCUCUUUAUCUCUCCCCGUCUCUCUUUCUCUCUCUCCGUUUCUCUCUCUCUUUCUAUCUUUAUCAGUUAUUUUCCCAAUUUUCUUCCUUCGUUUUUCUCCGCUUUUUAUUCUCUCUUUUUUCAGCAAUUUCUUUCAUGUUUUACAAUUAGUGUUCGAAUUAAAAUUGUCAAUCAAUAAAUUCUGAAAGCGUUUGAUUCUCCACCAUUGACAGCCAUUAAAAAGCUUCAAAACUAUGAUUUCGAAUUUGAGUUUUCAAAACUAUUAUUUGUUUGGAUUGGAUGUUGUUGCAAAUAAUUGGGAAUAUUCUUUGAAAUUUAUAUCUCAAUUUUAAGGGUGUUUGGUGAAGAUUAGACUUGAUUUUGGCAGAAUUUCAGAUUGAAACUCGAAGAAGAAAGAAAAGAAGAACACAUGACAUACAAUAUACUUACGAAAUUGUAUUAAAGUUGUAUGUAAAUUUUAUUUAAGUUAUAUUAUGUUGUAAUUAUAUUUUUUUUAUUUGAAUGUUAUAUGGAUGUUGAAAAAUAGUUGUAUAAUGUAUGAAUCAUUGUAUUAAAUUUGUAUUUAAGUUAUAAAUAAUAUCAUUUUACAUAAAGUUGUUGAUAUGUAUCAAAAUUGUUUUAAGAGAUUGAAGUUUUGAUUGGAAUUUUAGAGAGGAAGACCACAUCACUUACAAAAUAUAUACAAAUCAUAUACAAAAUACAGACAAACGACAUAUUGUAUAAAAUUUGUAUGAAAAUUAUAUUUAAGUUGUAUGAUGUUGUAGUUGUAUUUACCUGGGUAAAAAUAAUGUACGAAAGUUGUAAAUAAAUUGUAUACUAUAUAAUUACUUGUAUGAAAUUUGUAUUAAGUUUAUAGUAUAUUGUUAUAGAUGUAUCAUAAAGAUGGACAUAUCACAUUACACAAGCCUUUCUCUCUCCUCUUUCUCACUCCUCCAUCAAAAGUAGUGAUUCUUAUAGAAAUACUGUAUGUAAAUACAGAAAAUUACCUAUACAUUCCACCCAGAUUAUUGUACAAGUUUUAUAUUGUAUAUACAUAUAACUGCGCAUCAUCAUUCUCUGGUAAUAUGGCAAAAAAAUCUUUUAUCAUCACCUCUCUCUAAUAUUAAUUUAUAUUUUAUUUGUGCAAUUUAACCCUAGAUUUGUGUAAUACACCGUAAAUACGUGCAUCACGUAGUUGGGGAUAUGUUUUUUCUAUUGGGUAUUUAGAGUAAUUGUUGUUUAGAUAUCAGAAUGUGGGGUUUGAUCGGAACAACUUAGUUAAAUUUUGGUAUGAAAAUUAAUACCAAAGUUACGGUCAUCACUAGUUAGAGGAUAGGGAAAGAGGAGAGGAGAGAAAAAAGGAAAAAAGUAUAACUGAAUCCCUCAAUUUAAUCCACUAAUAAUGGAUUGUAUAUAAAUUGUAAGAAAAACUUGUUUAGGACCGGUAAUAUACAAAACUUGGACAAUUUGGUAAAUAAGUUUCAAAUAUUAUAUAGGAAGGAAAAAAUUCCUUUUGUUUUCGGGCAAAAAUCACUUUUCGUCCGCGGCAAAAAAUUAUUAUAUCUUAUAGCCGUAAAAAUAUAUAAAUUUUAUAUAUUUUUGUUAUAUAACACACACACACACACACACACACAUAUAUAUAUGAAUCAGAAAGAGCGGAGUCUUACUUAUUCAGGGGGAUGAAAGACAAAUAAAGGGAUCAUGGGAAUUUAUGAUCGGAGAAAGAGAAGGGGUGUGGUUGGUGUGUCACUGGGUUGGUGGGGGAACCCAUAGAAAGGGGGGACAUCCCGCAGAAUUCACAUCAGAAAUCGCCAACAUAAGACAAAGAAAAUCUUGAAUUGCUUAUAGAAACAAAAUGAACCACUUCUAUUCUCAGAGCUUUGAGAGUUGUUAUACAGUAUCAUUUUUCCUUUAUUUUUCUCCUUCUUUCUGUGAAUACAAACUGGCGGAAUAGCUAAAAACCCUAAACUUGACAUGAAUUAUUAGUUGUACCCUUAAAUUAUUUGAUAUUUAAUUACCCCAUUGAACUUAGGUAUUUGAUAGUCAUUACCCUCCUGAAUAUUGUUGGGAUACAAUCUCUUUUAUUUUUAUUAAUUUCUUGUAUAGAUAUAAUGUCUAGUUAUUAUAAUUGUUAUUUCUUUUUCAUCGAGUCAAAUUUGUGAAAAUUUGACUAGAAAUUCAUAUUUUAGCCAAAUAAAAAGUUAAAACUAAAACAAUAGAGUACCAAUUGUUAUUUCUCGUUAUUUUAUUAGAUAAUACUAUAACUAUUUAUUUCAAUUGUGUAUUUUUAUUUUCGAAUCAAAUCAAUAAAAGAACUUGGCUAUAGCUCCACUAUUUUUUAUUAAAUAAAAGAAAAUAUAGCCAAAAUAAUGAUCUUGCAAUUAUAUACUUCUCUUUUAUUUCUUUGUUAUAUGCUAUAGUUAUUUUAUAUUAGUUGUGUACUUCUCUUUGUUAUAUGCUAUACCUAUUUCUUUGGGGAUUAUCUACUCUUCAUAAAAUUUGAUAAAGGCCUGUGUGUGGACCGCAACGUCACCCUGAGCGAGAAUUUCAGGACCCAGCAUAAGCUCCUAAUCAUGGAUUUGGAGAUUAUGAGGAAGCGAAGAAAGAGGGUUAUGUUUGGUUUACCUACGAUCAAGUGGGGAGCUUUAGUUAACGACAGAUCUUAGGAGUUGGGGAUAGAUUGUUGACUAUGGGGGCAUGAAGGAGUAGUAGGCGCGAGUGGUAUGUGGAAUGCGACUCCGAAUUGCAUUAGAGAGACUGCUAGAGAGGUAUUGGAGGUCUCAAAGGGCUCCUCUGGUGGACUCUAUAAGGGGCUUGUGAUAAAGCACUGAGGUCCAAGGUAAAGUAGAAGCCAAGAAAGCGACAUAGUUGAAGUUUUUAGAGAGCGUGGAUGAGGAAGAGAAGAGGACGAAUAGGGAGCGGUAUAAUAUAGCUAAAAAGGAAGUGAAGUUAGCAGUUACAGCGGUUAAGACUGUCGCAUUUGAACGCUUGUAUGAAGAACUGGGAGGCAAAGGAGGAGACAAGAAGUUGUAUAAGCUAGCCAAGAUGCGAGAAAAAAGGCAUGUGACUUGGACCAAUUGAAGUGCAUCAAGGAUGAGGAAGGCAGAGUUUUGUUGGAUGAUGCACUUAUUUGACGGAGAUGUCAGACUUACUUUCAUAAACUCUUGAACUGAGAGAGGGAUAUAAACAUUGUGCUGGGUGACUUAGAACACUUAGAGAGUCGUCGGGACUUUGGGUAUUAUAGUCAUUUAAAAGUUGAGGAGGUAAAGGGGUCUAUGCACAAUAUGAGCAGGGGAGAGCGGACUAGCCUGACGAAAUCCAGGUGGAAUUUUGAAAGAGUAUGGGCAUGGCAAGCUUGAAGUGGCUCAUCAGGUUAUUUAAUGUCAUUUUUAAGAUAAAGAAGAUGUCUGGAGAAUGGAGAUGGAGUGCAAUGAUCCCAUUAUGUAAGAACGAGGAUGAUAUUCAAAAUUGCAACAACUAUCGGGGUAUCAAGUUACUAAGCCAUACUAUGAAAGUUUGAGAAAGGGUGAUGGAUCUGGGGGUGAGGAGAAUUGUGUCUAUUUUAAGAACCAAUUCGAAUUUAUGUCGGGAUGUUUGAUUAUAAAAGUUAUUCACAUUGUUAGGAGGUUGAUAGAGCAGUAUAGGGAGAGGAAGGGGGAUUUACAUAUGGUCUUUAUCGACUUAGAGAAGGCUUAUAAUAAAGUAUCGAUGGAGAUAUUUGGAGGCUAGAAGUACUCAUGUUACAUACAUUAGGGCUAUUAAGGAAUGUAUGUUGGAGUUAAGACUCGAGUGAGAACAGUGGGAGGGGUUCGGGACACUUUCCAAUUGUGAUGGGGUUGCACCAGGGGUCAGCCCUCAGACCCAUUUCUAUUUGCUCUGGUGAUCGACACACUGAUGCCCCAUAUUCAAGGGGAGAUGCCAUGGUGCAUGUUAUUUGCAGAUGACAUUGUACUGAUUGACGAGAUGUGAGGUGGUGUUAACAAGAAGUUAGAGGUUGGACGCAGACCCUGGAAUCUAGUAUUAGUUUUAUUUUGGCUACGAUUUUUCAAUUGGUCUUCUUAUUAUUUCCCCUUCCUUUUAUCUUUCCUUAGUCGAGGGUCUACCGAAAAUAUCCUCUCGGCCUUCUUAAAGGUAGGAGUAAGGUCGUCAUACACACUACCCUCCCCAGACCUUACAUGUGGGAUUACACUGAGUUUUCUUUUUGUUAUUGUUGUUGUCAUUGUAUAUCUUUUUGGGCAAAAUUUGUAAAAAAAAACUUUCUUAGAGCUUCAUAAUUUAGUUAAAUAAAAUUUUUUAGCCCAAAUAAUAAAGUUCAAAUUAUGUAUUUUUUUAUAUCAUCUUUUACAUGUAUGACUACUUGUUUUAACGGUGUAUUUCUUCAUUUCAAGAUAAAUUUUAAAUGAAUUUAACUAAAUCUUCAUCAAUUUUAUCCAAAUAAUUUUUUUUACCUAAAUUAUGGAGUUCUAGCCAAGCUGUAUUACAAAUAUUAUUCGAAAAAGAUGAUCUAAGAAAUUAAUAUAUUUAAAAAAUAAAAAGUAUAUUUUAUAUUAAAAAUAUUACAUUGGUAGAAAAAUUCAUGUGUCAGGUGCGUGCAUGUCACUUUUCUGAAAUGAGAUUAUUUAAUGAGGUAGAGUCUAUCGAAUACCAAGUUCAGGGGAAUACUAAUUAAAAUUAUAAAUAGUUUAAGGGUGUAACCAAUAAUUCAUGCUAAAUUUAGGAGGAUUUUAAUUUUAGCAUAUGAAGUUGCAAGUUAUUUGGACUUCGAAUUUUAUUGUUACUUUGAAUAUAAUAUUUUAUUAAAAGUACUAAUUAAACCCUCUUAUAAUUUAUUGUUUGCAUUAUUAGAUCAAUUGUUAUAUAAAAAAGAAAAAUAAUCUGUCACGACCCAACUCUAUUAUAGGUCGUGAUGGCGCCCAGCACCGUUGCUAGGCAAGCAACAAUGAACAAUCUUGUGAUUUUUCCCUUUUAAUAGGUUUUUCAAGUAAAUAACUUUCCUUAAUUUAAAAGAUUAAAUACAUAAUAGAUUAAAAUAAUUAAAACAAAAGCAGUUGAGUGCAAUCACAACCAUAGAAAUAAAACCAAAAUCACAGGUCUACUAGUGUGCCAAGACCUGGUGUCACAAGUGUUUGGGCUACUAGUAGUAGAAUAUACAAAAGAUUUCUACUUUACUUUCUGAAAUGGAAUAGACAUAACAAUAAACAAAAGAAGACUCCGUGUCACGACCCAAAUCGAUGGGUCGCGAUGGGCACUCGGUACCUUAUUCAACCGAGUACCAACAUAACGAGCAAAUGCACUACUUUCAUAAAUGACUCUAUUCAUAGAAAUACUAGAGAUGCCUAUGUUCUUGUCCCCAUGUGUCCUAUUAUUUUAUCAUUUGUUCAUGGGUCUUGAAAAAUACGUAAGUUGAUAAAGUUUAUUUCAUGACAUUAAUCAAAGGCAUAAUGGUCUUAUGACAUUCCGAGAGAUUUUAUUGACGUUACUUCUCAUGCAUUGCAUUUAUUUAUACAUGUACAUUGACCCAUGACCAGAUGGAGUUAUAUAUGUGUAUAUAUGUGUAUAUAUAUAUAUGUAUAUGAGAUAUGUGAAAAGGUUACGGCGUUAUAUACGCACCACCACCUGAUCAGCUAGUAUAUGUUGAUGAUUUUGCCCACAGUGGUCGAGAUGAUAUGAUGGGAUGUCCUCAGAGGCUUGAUGAUAUUACGUAUGCAUAUACCUAUGCAUGUAUGAUAUUUAUACGCAUAUGCAUGGCAUUAUAAAUAUUAAUGAUUCACAGAGUUAUUCAGACUUAUAUGUUGAGUCUUUUACUCCAUGUUUCUCUCAUAUCUAUUGUUUACUGAUUUUUAUUCCUUACAUACUCGGUACAUUAUUUAUACUGACGUCCCUUUUGCUUGGGGACGCGGCGGUUCAUGCUUGCAAGUCCCGAUAGAUAGGUCGGGAGUCCUCCAAGUAGGCUAUCAGCUCAACAGAAGAUGUUGUGCGCUCCAUUUGUUCAAGAGUUGCUUAUUUAGUCAGUACGAUUUGGACGUGUAUUGAUUAGUAUGGUGGGGCCCUGUCCCGACCUUUAUGGUAUUGAUCUACUCUUAGAGUCUUGUAGACAUAUGUCAUGUAUAUAAAUGAUUGUAUAGCCUUGUCGGCCUAUGUUCAGUGUACGAGUGAUCAUUUUGGCCUUAUUGGCCCGUAUGUCAUAUGUAUAAGUUUGUAUUACAUGUUGGGUCGUCCUAUGUCGAGUGUCCCUUCAUGUUUCAUUCUAGUUAUCUCAUGAUAGCCUUUCUGGCUCAUGUACCUAUGAUAGUAUGAUAUGAAAGAUACGUUACGUUGGUACUCAGUUGAGUAAGGUACCGAGUGUCAGUCACAGCCCAUAUAUUUGGGUCGUGACAAAAGUGGUAUCAGGGCAGUUCUGUCCUAGGGAGUCUACAAGCCAUGUCUAGUAGAGUCUUGUUUAUGAGUUUGUUGUGCACCAUACUUAUAACUAGGAGGCUAUAAGGCAUUUAGGACUGUCACUCUUUCUUCUUGCUCUAGAUCGUGUGGUAGAGCUCAGUUGUAAGAAUUCAAACUAUUAAAUUCUAUUUUACAACAACAACGACCCAGUAAAAUCCCACUAGUGGGGUCUAGAGAGGGUAAUAUAUACGCAGACCUUACCCCUGCCCCGAAGGAGUAGAGAGGUUGUUUCCAAAAAACAAUACCUAUAUCCAGUAAUACAGUUUGUAGGAGAUUGCAGGUGGAUGUGGAAGAGUUGAGUUAGAGGAAUUCGAUUUUUGCAUCAUGUUUAUGAUGGAUAAAUAUGUGGUAUCAGCAGAUAAUGUGAGUACUAAGAUGUGUAAGCUUCUUGAUAAGGGUCCCUAAGGCAAGAAUAUCUAUCCACUCUUACGGUAAAACGGAAUAAGAGAAACGGAAGGUAGACACAAGUUACAACAAGUAAAAGAAGCAAGUUGAAGAAGGAUACAAGGUACCUAGUUAAUGAAGAUUAAUAGUAUUUACAAUUCAAGCAGAGAAAUAUAAGUAUUUUGAGUUACCUUUAGUUGUAACAGAGGUAUGUACAAUUAGUCACACCUAUCUCAGUUAUGCUCCAUAGGAGCCAACAUGUGAUGACCUUAAAGGUCAUCUCUUGUUUUAGAAAUGAAAUCUCUGUCCCGAGGCCCUGAAAACCUUUUUUUGUCUCACCUCGAUUUACGUGCGCAGUCCGGGCGAGUCUGGAAAGCUUUUAUGUGAAAUUUAAGAAAAAUAAUGAAUUUUGCCUUUAAAAUUGAUUAAAGUUGACUUUGGUUAAUAUUCUUGGUAAACAGACCUGGACCCGUGAUCUGACGGUCCCAUAGGGUCCUUAUUAAAAUAUAGGACUCGGGCGUAUGCCCGAAAUUGAAUUCCGAGAUCCCUAAUCCGAGAAAAGAAUUUUUAAAGAAAACUAUUUGCUGGGAAAUAUAAAGACUUUUUGAAAUGAAAUGAUGCGUGUUGUUGAGGGAAUUGGGUCUGUACCUUAUUUUCGGAGCCCGGUACAGGUUUAAAAUAAUAAUUAAGUCGAAUCUGUGAAAUUUGGUGAGAAUCAGAGUUGAUUUUGUGUAAAUCGAACCUUUAGUUGAGAAAAUAGAAAUUUCAAUAUUUUUAUAGAAUUUCAUGAAUUUGAGGUUAAAUUCGUAGUUGUUGAUGUUAUUUUGAUGAUUUGAUCGCACGAGCAAGUCCGUAUGAUAUUUUUAUACUUGCAUGCAUAUUUGGUUUGGAGCCCCGAGGGCUCGAGUGAGUUUUGGAUAGGCCACGGGGUGAUUUGGACUUAGAAAAAUGCAGUUGUGCAUCUGGUAUUUUUGCACAUGCCUCUGAUCUCGCAAUUACGAGAUCAGGCUUCGCAAUUGCAAAGUGGUCAGGCCGGGAAAUGUGACCAAAGUGUCAUAAUUGCGAACCAGGUCUGGGCAGGCCCUCAUUGCAAAUGCGACCUCAGGGCUGGAAAAUGCGAAGGCCCUUACAUAGUAAUUGCGAUGUUUCCUUCACAAAUGCGAAGAUAGCAGGAUUUCAAAGCGCAAUUUCGAUAAUUGCACCUGUUAAGUGAGAUUUCAGACGGGAUGUUUCAUAAUUUUACAACUUUCUCAAACCCUAAGCAUCCUUAGGCAAUUUUUCAAAGGCUCAAACUUCUCCAAAUCAUAAGUAAGUGAUUUCUAACUCAUCUUCUUCAAUCUAAUCCAUCUUUUUACAUAAUUUCACUUCAAAAUCUAGAGUUUUUCAUGGGAAAUUGGGGUUUUGGGUAGGAAUUAGGAUUUUCAAAUUUUGGAGAUUUGGACCUCAAUUUGAGGUCGGAUCUCAAAACUAAUUGAACAUUUGAGUUCGUGAGUGAAUGGGUAGUUGGGUUUUGGUUCAAACUUCGGGUUUUGACCAAGCGGGCCCCAAGUCAAUUUUUGAAUUUUUGGGGAAAACAAUGGGAAAUCUAUUUUCAUGCAUUAGAAUUGGUUUAUUUAGUAUUUAUUGAUGUUAUUAAGUAAAUUAUGACUAGGUACAUACGAAUUGGAAGUGGAACUGAGAGGUAAAGCGGUAAUUGAGGCUUAAUCUUGUCCGUGGAAUCGAGGUAAGUAUUUGGCCUAACCUUAGCUUGAGGGAAUAUGAGUUGUGGUUUUAUUUGCUCUGUGUUAGUAUUGAGUACGACAUAUAGGUAUGGUGACGAGUAUCUAUACGUUGGUGUCAAGCAUGCCCGUGUGUCUUAUACCAUGAUUGUUAUGACUCUAUUAUGCAUUGUCCAUGCUUAAAUUGAUAAUUAUCGAUGUUGAACAAGGCUUAUGAUAAUUUCUUGGUAAUUGACUAUUGUUGAGUAUUGGCUCAAGUUAAGACUUAUUUUGUGAAGUUAACUGUUGAAAAUGAAAUUGGUUAUAACUGAUUCCCUUACCGGGAUGUUAUUGUUGAUAUUGAUGAUUCCCUUGCCUGGUUGUUAUUGUUGAUAUUGUUGAUUCCCUUGCCGGGAUGUAUUGUUUCUAUUAUUUGGGUGAGGAAGAGUGUAAAGCACGAAGGGUGAUAUAGCGCAUGAUAUUGUGAGUGAGUGUAAUGCACGAAGGGUGAUGCCUUGCCGAAAUUGUGAGUGUUAAUACAUGAAGGGUGAUGUCGUGCCAUGAUUUGAGAGUUAAUGCACAAAGGGUGAUGCUAUGCCGAUAUUGUGAGGAAUAAUGCACAAAAGGUGAUGUCAUGCCAUGAUUAUGAGAGGUAAUGCACGAAGAAUGAUGUUGUGUCGUUUAUGUUGUUUCAUAUGGUGAGGACGAGAGUAAAAUCACGAAGGGUGAUAUCGUGCACGUGUUACCAUUUCAUUAUUCUUGUUGAUAUAGAUAUGAUGUUCAUUAUGCUUCUUCAUUGAUGCUUCUUUAUUGGUUUAUUGUUAGUAUAUGAUAUUCCCUGUUGCAUGUCCCAUUCCCACCUUAUUCUGUUGGUUCCUGUUAUUAUGAUUCUGUUUGUAUAUGAUUUAAUUGCACUGGUAUAUAUGAUUGUCAUGUCCUAGCCUCGUCACUACUNNNNNNNNNNNNNNNNNNNGGUUGUACUGAUGCUACAUUCUGCACUUUUGUGCAGAUUUUUGGUACCGGAUCCGGUGAGUAGCUGAGGUAGCUACCUUCAGUCCAGGGAGACCAAGGUAGAUCUGCUGGCAUCCGCAGAGCCUAAAGUCCCCCUUCCCUAUUUUAGCUUUCUACUGUCUCUUUUUAUUCUGAGAACAAUUGUACUUUUCUUUCUAGAAUAGUGUUUGUAGAAAUUUGUAGAUGUUCGUGAAUUGGUGACACCAGAUUCGUGGGUAGAAAUGUAUUGGAUUAUUUAAAUUUGUUAUAACUCUUCCGCACUUUUCAUUUGUUUAACUGUAGUUAUUGUUUAUAUGUGUUUGAGUUGAUUGCUAAUGGGUUAAAACCUUAAUAGUUGACUUGCCUAGCUUUCACGAGUAGACGCCAUCAUGAAUCCCGAGGGAGGGAAAUCCGGGUCGUGACACAACAUAUAUAGUUUAAGAGAAGGACGGGAUAUCAGGAUCUAUCUGGGGUUAGAGUAACCCAAAAUGUUGGAUGGAUUGUUAGCGUUAGCUGACAUUUUCAAAGGAUAUUACAAACGUGGUAAUAAUUCUCCUUGUGAGACACCCAGAUGAUGCAUUCUAGAAUAGUACAACUAGAUAUGAAUACUAUAAUGUUCAAAAAAAAUCUACAAAGACAGGUACUGGAAUCCUGGAAGGGAUAAAUAUUAUCUUAGUAUGACUCAUGUUCCUAGUAGAGAGAGAAUGUUAGGCAACCUGAAGAGCUAGUGGAUGGAGCAAGGGGAGCUAGAAGCAAAACAAUAUCUUGUUGAAAUUUUCAGAAUAAAGUGAUAGACAGAGAUGUUAGUAAGGAAAUAAGAAGAGAAUUAAUGAAGCAUUAUGAGUAAGAUGUGAUACAUGGAUGACAACGGUAGAUAUAAAAAAUGACAGUAUUAAGUCAGGUGAAGGAAAAGACAAAAGGUGACAGGCCUUGAGGCAACAAAAGAGUAUAGGCUAUAAAGUCAUAUCCUCAUAUCGUGAAAUAAGUUCGUGACUCUAACGUGAUUAUCAGAAGGAAAAGUUAGACCCCAGAGUAAUAGAAAUAAGUGUGGACUGGUGAACAAGAUAGACUAAACAUGAAUUAGGGACUGAGUGAUUUGAUGAUGGUCGACAUCAUGAGAAUUUCAGAGAUUGCAUUCCGGCGAUAAUAGAAUGGACGACAGAAGAAUAACCUUCAAAGGUCAUUCUGGAAGACGCUUCCCUAAGCAAGCAAUAUGAGCAAAGUUAACAUUAAGGGACUAUAUGUGCUAGUUACACUACGUGUCACCCUCGUGAGUAAGGAAUUUCGUUAUCCUUAGUACAAAAGGAUCACCGCAAGGCGAGUAAGGGUCAUCGAUAAUGUGAAAAGAUGCCAAAGAUGAAGAGGUAAAACAUCUAUAUGUAGAUCAUCGUAGCACUAAAUCUUAGUACUCCCCUAAAGGGGGGAAUAUGGAAUGAUGUGGCAUUAAGUCAGAAUUAAGUGGUUCUAGUAACUAUGGAAUGGUAAAGGAAGAAUACGAUAAAAAUAAUAACCGGAUGAGAUUGCAUUAAUUCAAAUCCUACAUAUAUGCUACGAUUACAUAACAUUAUGCAAAUACGACGUCAAGGAAAUGAAGUAAGGGUUCUUGCCCGAGAUGUUAUUAAUAAAUAAGGAGCCAGUACGAGAGUUAAGUUAAGACAAAGGAAAUAACCCAAGAAAGAUUACGCUGAAUAUUGAUGUGAGAAUGGGUUAACGAGUAGUUAGUAGUUGAUUCAGGAAGAGCCUAGUUAUGGCUAGACAAGAGGAUAUAGACAAAUCAACAGAUCGUGCAAGAUAAAUAUAGUGAACCCCAACAUGGGGAAGUUAGUCUCGCAUAUAUGACAUCGCGACCCUUGAGAAAUAUUCAGAUAGGAGUUGGGGUAGUUAAAAGUACCAUAUGAGUGUUACAGAAAUAAAAGAGAGUCCCACUAGGAAGACAGUCAAAACUUUAGUUUAGAAGCAACUGUACGAGCAUAUGAGUGUGGAGGUAAGUAACUACAGAUAAUUAUAGGCGAGGAAGGAUAUCAAAAAUUCCAUCGAGAAUGCGAAGUAAUAAGCUCAUAUUUUUAUAAGAGUUAGAGGGUCCUCCCAAAGUACUACAAUAAAAGACUAGCUGAGGAAAUAAGGAAGAAGGCUUCAACCUAAACAUAGUAACUUGAAGAAGAAAUGGUCAUCUAAAAACAGUCUCACUACAACAUUGUAUGCACUCCAUAAGAAAGUGACAUCUAUCGUGACUAAUGAACAGGAAUUAAGUGAUAUUCAAGAUCAUAUGUGUUACAUGGGAUUCUAGUAUUCGCGAGCGCCAAUGUGACGACCCAAAUGGUUGUUUUGCUUUCUAGAACUCCGUUCCCCUAAAUAAGAUUUCCCACACUUGCUUUUACUGAUUUAUAACUUGCGGGGAUGAUUGGUUCGAGAUUUGGAAGAGUUUUGGUUAAAAUCAGAACACUUGGUUCCUUAAGGUUGGCUUAAAAGACCAAGUUUGACUUCGGUCAACAUUUUGAUUAAACGACCUCAGAAUCAGGAUUUGAAGGUUCCAACAGGUUCGUAUGAUGAUUUCGGACUUGGGCAUAUGUCCGGAUCGGAUUUUGGAUGACCUGGGUGCAUUUUGGCGCCAAAUAGUGAAAGUUGAUUCCUUAAGGAUUUUAAAGUUUUUUAAAUUUGAUUUGGAGUGGGUUUUUAUGAUAUCGAGGUCCGAAUGAAAUUUCGAGACCGAGAAUAGUUCUGUAUUAUCAUUUAACACUUGUACGCAUCAAUCUGAGUAGUAUAUGUGUGUUUCGUUACAUUGGAUAUGAAAUGAAGAACUUGACGUUCAUAAGUUUGCUUCAAUUGGUUUUAGGGGGUAAUUCCAAGAUUUAGCAUUGUUUCGGGUGUUCUGAGGGUUCAGCAAAUCCGUUUUACUGUUUCAAACUUAUUGGUAUAUAUGGAAGGGGCCUCGGGGGGCCCGAGCAUCAAUCAGACGAGGCUUGAUUUAAGUUAGAAAAUUUUAGAAGGAGUUGAAGCUCUAGGAAUCUGUCACCAACCGCAGGUGCGAGACCGCAGAAGCGGCCUAUCCAUCGCAGGUGCGGCCCAAGAGGAGAGCCCAUGAACCACAGAUGCGACCCAUCUUCCGCAGAAGCAGAACCGCAAAAGUGGUCCCCAGACAGCAGAUGCAGCCUCAACUAGCCGACCCAGUUCAGCAAAUGUGGUCCUUCCCUCGUAGAAACGAAACCGUGGAUGCAAUCCCCUAACUGCGGGUAUGGUAAUCGCUGAAGGCAGUGCCUUCAUUUAAUACAAGAAUGUGUUAUUUUUGACACAUUUCAUUCAUUUCUUGGGCGAUUUGGGAGUUUCCAAAGGGGGGAUUUCAGCCUAGCAUUGUGAGGAAAGUUAUGUCUACUUAUUGUGGGUUAAUACAUAGUUUAGGGGUAUAUUAAACCAUAUUAAAUUAGUGAAAAAUUAUGGGUUUAGAGUACAACCUAGGGUUUUAAUAAAAAUAAGAUUUAACCACGAAAUUCGUUAGGGAAUGAAGUAAAAAUCAUAUAUUCUUGAUCCUUAGGUUAUGGGUAACAACUUCCCUAAAAAAUUUACGAAAUCUGGGCACGUGGGCUGGGGGAUGAAUUUUUAGGAACCUUGCAUUUAGAAUUGAGAAAUUACUUUAAUAGUUAGAAUAUGAACUCUUGAGCAUGUAUUGACUAAUUCUUACCCCGUUUGAUUAGUUUUGGAUCGUUCGACUCCGAAUUAAGGGUUUUGAGCACAUUCUUGAAUUUGGAAGUAAGCUUUGGAGCAAGGUGAGUCUCCUUUCUAACCUGAUAAGAGGGAAAUAACACCUAGGUGAAUUAAAUAAAUGUAAGUGACUAUCUAUGGGGGCUACGUACGUACGAGGUGACGAGAAUCCGUACGUAGCUACUAUUAUGCUAAUUGUCCGGGUAGUUUAGGAGCUGUAUCAUGCCAUACUUGCACAUGCUUACGUCUUUGCUUGCUACUAAGACCAAUUAGGCCAUGCUAGAAAUUUGUAAAUAAAUAUAGACGGAUAUGCUCACUAACUUGAGAAUUUGUAUGAAUUUAUUUGACUAUAAAUGAGCAAUGUAUGCUUGCUUGAUAAUAAAUUGCUAUUUGUGGAUCGGGCCGAUCACCUCGGUAAAAAUAGAUGCAUCUAUGGUUCACGCCAUUCGACCCUCUGGCAGUGCACAAUUUAUUAUUAUGUUGGACCGGGCCGUAUGACCUCGGCAUAAUGUGCGCCUGUGAUUUAUUUGGAACUCUUUUGUGAUAUACUCUGCUUAAAUGCUUUGAAAUGUACUUAUUACAUCACAUGACUGAAAUUAAAAUAUUGUUAAGAAGUAAUAUCCUAUUUAUCCUUGUUUGGGACUGUCAUCAUAUUCAUGCUAUUCAUGUUUAGCGUAACACUUAACUAUUAUAGAUAUUGACCUUAGUAAGUGUCAAGUCGACCCCUCGUCACUGCUUCUUCGAGGUUAGACUGGAUACUUGUUGGGUACAUGUUGUUUAUAUACUCAUACUAUGCUUCUGUACUUAACUGUACAUGAUCUGAGGUAGGUGCAUCUAGCUACCUGUCCGGCGCGCGUUCCUGAUUCUUGAUCGAGAUCUCACGGUGAGCUGCCCUUUCCGAGCCGUUCAACAGCAUGUCGGAGUCUCUUCUUUUGUUUAUUGUUGUUUACUGUCUAUUCUAUUUCAGGUAGUAGGAUAAUGAUAUUUUUGUACAUUCUACUAGUUGCCCUAGUACUUGUGACUUUAGUUCCUGGCAUACACAUUGUAGACUAUUAUUUUGUGAUGUAUUUCUAUUAUUAUGAUCUUGUAAAUUAUCGACUGUUUUAAAGUUUAACAAUUAAGAAAAUGUUGGGAUUGUUUUGGUAAAAUAAAUGAGAACUCACUAACUGAAUUAGGGUUGGCUUUCCUGACAACGGUAUUGGGCGCUAUCACGACCUAUAAUGGAAUUUGGGUCGUGACAGCCAAGAUAAGCCAAGUAUGCACGCAACAAGGGGCAGAAAGAUCAGGAAAAGUAGUAGCUUACAUUUAAAGAAAGCUGAGAAGGAACGAAAUGAAUUAUUUGACCAAUGAUUCAGAGUUAGUUAUAUUAUGAAUGCACUAAGAGUUUGAAGUAUUAUCCAUUCAGCAUAUAUGCUGACAAUCAUACAACCAUAGAAGAUUCCAGUAUAAGUUAAAAGAAAUAAUUGAGCCCAUGCCAUAGACAAAGGAUUGAAUUGUUAGAAGAUUGUAUCAUAGAUAUCCUAUAGCGUCCAUGAAUGGCUAAAGUAAUAACUAAUACCAUGAGCCGCAUAUUGGAAGAUAGUUUAAGCCUACAUAAAGGUUGAUCAGAGGGAAGACGAAACUAAAGAGUUACAUCAACUAAGUAAAUCAGGAGUCUGAUUAUUGGACCCAUAAAGUUAUAAACCUCGUGAUUAAGAACAUUGCAGGAUCACUCUUAAAUAUCAGAGGUACAAGAGAGAUAGUACAGUAGUCAUAUUCUAUAACGACUCUAUGAUAAAGUCAGUUAGAAAAGUACCAGCCUUAUAAAAAGUCAAUAUGAAGCUCUCACUGGAUUGUGUAUGCACCAGAGAGUGCAAGUAUUAUAAUAGAGCUUCAAUUUGUGGAUGUGAAUUACACCUACGUGGAAGGAAGGCCAUGAAAGAGAUAGAAGAUGUGAUGUGAGAUUUUAAGGUAAGUAAGGUAAAGGUGAACAACAUACAAGAUACUCAAAUGCAGAAGGUUCUAAAUAGUCCAUACUUCAGAUGGAAGGCUAGAAGCAUUGGGAUUCGGUAUCCAGGAAUAAUAGCAGUGUGAGAUGCAAUUCUAAUAGAGCACGGUACAAUCUUUCUCAAGAAUAUCGUACGGAUUUUUCCCUACUUCGAUCCGCCAUUACGUAUUAUCGCAAUUGACGUGUGUUAGAGAUAUUAUCAGAGAAUCAUCUCAGGUAUGUUAAGGCUAUCCCAUCUUUCCUUUUGGCAUGAUCCAUACGAUACAAACGAAACGAGCAAACGUAUUACUUUCAGAAAUAUCUCUAAUCAUUGAAAUACUAGAGAUGCCUAUGUUCUUCAUUCCCCAUGUGUCCUAUUGUUCUAUCAUCUGUUCACGAGUCUCAGAAAAUACGUAAGUUGAUAAAAUUUAUUUCAUGACAUUAAUCAAAGGCAUAAUGGUCUUAUGACGUUCCGAGAGAUUGUAUUGAUGUACUUCUCAUGCAUUGCAUUCAUUUAUACAUGUACAUUGACCUAUGACUAUAUGACGUUAUAUACGCAUAUAUAUAUAUAUAUAUAUAUAUGUGUGUGUGUGUGUGUGUGUGUGUGUGUGUGGGUGGGAUAUGGGAAAAUAUUAUUGCGUUAUAUAUGCACCACCACCUGAUCAGCUGGUAUACGUUGAUGAUUCUAUCCACAAUGGCCGAGAUGAUAUGAUGGGAUGCUCUUAGAGGCUUGAUGAUGUUAUGUACACAUAUACCUAUGCAUGUAUGACAUUUAUACGCAUAUGCAUGGCUUUAUAAAUAUUAAUGAUUCACAGAGUUAUUCAGACUUACAUGUUGAGUCUUUUACUCCAUGUUUCCCUCAUGUCUAUUGUUUACUGAUUUUCAUUCCUUACCUACUCGGUACAUUAUUUCUACUGACGUCCCUUUUUCCUGGGGACGCUGUGUUUCAUGCUCGCAGGACUUGAUAGAUAGGUCUAGAUUCCUACAAGUAGGCUAUCAGCUCAGCCGAAGAUGUUGGUGCGCUCAAUUUGCCCUGGAGUUGCUUAUUUGGUCAGUACGAUUUGGACGUGUAGUAAUUAGUAUGGCGGGGCCCUAUCCCGUUUAUGGUAUUGAUCUACUCUUAGAGGCUUGUAGACAUAUGUCAUGUAUAUGAAAGAUUGUAUGGCCUUGUCGGCUUAUGUUCAGUGUACGAGUGAUCAUUUUGGCCUUAUAGGCCCGUAUAUCAUAUGUAUAAGUUUGUAUUACAUGUUGGGUCGUCCUAUGUCGAGUGUCCCCUCAUGCUUCAUUCUUGUUAUCUCAUGACAACCUUUUUGGAACAUGUACUUAUGAUAGUAUGAUACGAAAGACAUGUUACGUUGGUACUCGAUUAAGUAAAGUACCGUGAGCCCGUCGCGGUCCAUCGGUUUGGGUUGUGACACUCCGGUUGUUGCAGAACGACUCGAAAGGCAGCUCAUCGUGUAGUCUCGUAACAGGGAUCAAAUAUGCGCACCAUACUGAUAUCCAGAUGUACCUGCCUCAGAUCCUGCACAUUAAGUGCAGAAGUGUAGUGUGAGUACAUAAACAACAUGUACCCAGUAAGUAUUCAGUCUAACCUCGAAGAAGUAGUGACAAGGGGUCGACUUUGACACUUACUAUGGGCUAACAAUAAAAUGUCAAAAUAAUAAUUAAACAUGGAUUACAUGAAUAUAGCUAAAAAACUCAAUAACAGGGAUAAUAAACACUUCUUCCACUAAGAGUACAUCUCAAGUUUACUUUUCAUCAUUUAUCAAUUUAUAUUUCAAGUCAAUGAACAAUAUCAUUUAUAGUUGGUUCCAAAGAUUUAUCACACGCAAAUUAUGUCGAGGUCGUACGACCCGAUCCAAUAUAAUAAUAUUUAAAUAGUGCACUACCGAGGGUCGAACGGCACAGACCAUAGAUGCAUCUAUAUGCUACCGAGAAAUUCGUCCCGCUCCACAAAUAGAAAGUAUUUUAAGGAAAACACAAAUUCUCAAUAAUAGUCAAGUGUUCCAUUCACAACUUCAAGUAAGUAAAAUUUUAUCAUUUACAAUUCCUUUUAUCAGGUUUCAAAUGACUUAUGCAAUUAAAUUAACAAGUAGGGUGCAAACAUUAUAAGUAUAGCAUGAUAUGGGUCCUAGACUACCCGGACAAUAGCAUAAUUAGUAGAUACGUACGGACUCUCGUCACCUCGUACUUACGUAGCCUCCACAAAUAGAAGAACAUAUUAAUUCAAUUCACCUAUGGGAUUAAUUCCCUCUUAUAAGGUUAGAAAAUAGACUUACCUCACCUCAAAACCUACUUUCCGAUCCAAGAUUAUGCUCAAACCCGCAAUUCGGUGCCGAACAAUCCAAGAAUAAUCAAAUAGUAUAUAAACUAAUCAAUACAUGUUCAAAAGUUCAUAUUCCAACUAUUAAAGUGAGUACCCAACCCUAAAUGUAAGAUUUCUAAAUUUACCCCGGGCCCACAUGCUCGGAUUCCGGAAAUUUUUAAAAAAAGUUGUUACCCAUAACCUCACGAACUCAAAUAUAUAAUUUUCACUACAUUCCAUACCUAAUUUCGUGGUUAAAUCCCACUUUUAUCAAAAAUCUAGGUUUUAUAUAUAACCCAUAAAUCCUACAAAUUUACAUGUUAUAAUCUACCCAUAAUCUAUGUAUUAAACUCACAUUAGGUAGAAAUUACAUACUCUCAAUAGCUAGGUUGAAAUCCCCCUUUUUGAAGCUCUAAAAUCGCCCAAGUAUGUGAAAAAUGAGAGAAAAAGGUUCAACUCUCGUAUUUAAAACAAGGUUCUGCCCAGUUGUAACGACCUUCUUCGCGAAUGCGGAAGAAGCCUCGCGUUCACGAAGGCCUAAGCUGUCUGCGCAUUGUGAACACGACAACUCUUACGCGAGCGCAAAGUGCAUUGGCCCUCCCCGACCCGAUUCCCCUACGUGAACGCGAGUGGGGCUUCGCGAACGCGUAUGCCUAGCCUCACAAGGCUUCGCGAACGUGAGAGACUGAUUGCAAACGCAAAGGGUAAUUUCCCUCUACCCCAAAUCCUUCUUCGCGAACGCGAUGACCCUCCUGCAUUUGCGAAGAAGGAAACUAGAACUGGAAAAUCUGGUUUCUUAUAUUUAGCUCUGGGCAGUCUGAAACACACUCGAUCCCAUCGGGACCCCGUCCAACUACACUAACAAGUUUAUAAUUAUAAUAAGGACCUACGCAAAUUCUUGAAAUGCGUAAAAUAACAACAAAAUCAAGAAUCACACCCCAAAAUCAAAUUGAAUCAAAAUAUGAACUUCAAGUUUCCAAAUCGCUCAAAACGCGCCAGAUCAUACUUAGACUACUCGGAAUGGCACCAAGUGUUCCGAUUUUAACCCGAACCCUUUCAAAUCCCGAACUAACCAUCCCCACAAGUUAUAAAAUAGUAUAAGCAUGUACGGGAAGUUUUAUUUAGGGGUACGGAGUUCUAGAAAGCAAAACGAUCGGUCGGAUCGUUAUAUAAUUGUUUUAUCUAACAAACAAAUAUGUUGAGAUUAUUACGUCAUUUCUCAUUUCUAUUUUUCCUUCAUUAUUCUUUAAGCUCCUCCUUUUGUUCAAUACUAAUGUUGCCCAAAAGGACGGGAUGGUCUGGCCCAUCCCAGUCCUGUCCCGCCCUGACCCGUCUUAUGUUAGUAAGAUGGAAUAUAGGGGGUUAAAGGGACACGGGAUGGGACGGAUCAUCUAAUUUGUCCCUAUGGGCCAGUCCGAUAAAGGCUCUAUCACGGUCCAACAACCCGCAAAAUUAUUAUUUUUUUAAAAAUAAAGUACUCGUUAACCAACAACUUUAUUUUCAAAAAUAACUGUGCCAAUGGUUAAAAACAGCCAAAAAUAGCCCCCCCCCAAAAAAAAAAAUACCCCCCUCUCUCCUCCUCCCAAACUUUUAAUUUAACUUUUAAGUUUAUUAAAUUAUACUUUGAUCCUAUUUUAACUAAAAAAAUACCCUCAUUCUUCUUCUUCUUUUUUCACGCAAAUCUGCAUUCUCUCUCUAAUAUCUUACAUUCUAUCUAUAUUUUUCUCUCAAUUUUCUCAUAAUCAACUACUUUUAAGUAUUUGGGAAAAGUUUGGAGCAAGUUUGAAGCUUCAAAUAAAUUCGUCAAGUAUUUGGAGCAAUUUUUUGGGCAGUUUCUUCAAGUUCAAAUAUUUAAUCACAGUGCACUCAUUCCAUCUCUUAAUUUUUAUAUUUAAUAUUUGCGUAUUAUUUUAGUGUUUAAUAAAAUACCCCCUCCUCCACCCAAACUUUUAAUUUAACUCCUAAGUUUAUUAAAUUAUACUUUGAUUCUAUUUUAACUAAAAAUAUCCCCAUUUUUCAUUUCCACACUACGUUCUUAUCACGUCCAACUAUGCCUUAUAAAAACGACUAAGUAGUCGCUGCAAAUAUAAUAUCCGUUCUAAGAGUCUGAAGUCAAAUCCCACAGAGAAUUAAGGUUUAGCUACAAUUGUUUACUAUCACUAAGAAGUCAAGUUUGAACAAAUUCUUAAAUUAUAAAUAUUGAAAUUUUAUUUAUAAUUAAUUAACUAGCAAAUUAACAAUUACUGAUACUAAGGGUUGGAGACAAGAUUAAGGAGAUGUCUAGAGUUAUGAUUUCCCCAAUUGUCGGAAUUCUCCCUGCUACGUUUCCUAUAAUUCUACCUAAGUAUUCUCUACCGAUCGUGAGUACUUCAGGUGUCAUAAUUCUCUUCUGAUCAACUACCACAAUUUACUAGAUGUAUUCUUCCUAACUACGCUAGCCGCUCAGUAAGAUCGCACCAAGGUUUCAUUAUUCCUAAUCCCACCUUUAAACCCUUCGUAUAGAUUCCUCACAUACAGUAGGAGUGAUGUUAUUCAACAACUACCUAAAUAUGUACCCUUUUUCAAUCAAUACACACUAAAUAGGCACAGUCAAUUUUGAGGGCCCUUCAAUCAACUAAGAUAAUCACAUAGUUGAACAAGAAGAGAAAAUCCAAUGGCAAAUCAUAUUAAACGCAACAGAAAAUCAUCCUUCAAAAGGUUACAUCAAAGCCUAGAUAAAAGAGUUUAGUUACUCAUAAUCAUACUAACAAUCAUGAUAGUAAUUGAAAGCAUUAAAAUACAAAUUAAGGAAGAACGAAAGAGAAAACUCUUGUGAUUCGUUGUUUCCAAAUGUUCUCGUAGCAUUCUUACCUCUCCAAUCAUGUCUAUCCCUCUCUUAGAAAUGUUUAGGGCAUAUUUACAGGGUAGGGUUGAAGUACUUUAGUCCAAAUCCGGGUUAGAGCCUUUUAAUUCGUGAACUUUUGAUCACCGAGCUAAAGACCUUGCGAGGCCAGGCUUAUAGUGCGGCCAGCCUGGCUACAGAGCUAGCUACGCCGGGCCUGUAGCGUGGUCAAGCUGACUAUAUAGCUGGCUAUGCUUGGCCUGUAGCACAGUUUGGGUACUUGGUAUUUUGUACUCUUUUCUUGCAUUUUCGUCCUCUUUUCGUGCAACUUUCAUUCGACUCUUUCUUCCGAUGCUCCUACACAUAAAACAACAUAAUUUAGCUCAAAGGUCGCACAAUUAAUCACUAAACCAACAAAAUAUAGGGCGAGUAAUGUACUAAAAGUAUAACAUUUUGGCCAAACAUCACAUUCUAUCUAUAUUCUUCUCUCAGUUUUCUCAUAAUCAACUACGUUUCAAGUAUUUGAGCAAGUUUCAAGCUUCAAAUUAAUUCGGCAAUUUCUUCAAGUUUAAAUAUUUAAUGAUGGUGCACUCAUUCUAUCUCUUAAUUUUUAUAUUUAAUUUUUGUAUAUUAUUUUAGUAUUUAAUUUUAGUGUUUACUUUUCGUGUUUUAUUUGUUUGUUUACUUUUCGUAUUUAAAUUAUGGCUCCUAAAAGAGUAUUUGGCAUAACUAACCCAUUUUUUUUAAAAAAAUUAGUAAAGGUACUAGUUCUAAUAGUAAUAUGAAUCCGAUUGCUAGAGUUAGAAAAUAUAUAGAGGGUAUGACUCAUGUUGAUGAAACUUCCUUUACCCAACCACCCGAAUUUUAUCAUAUUAAUCCAGAAGAACCACUAGAUUAUGAAAUCUACAAAGAUAAUCUGGCAAUGAUAUUAAUUUUAAUGAAGAAGAAGAAAAUGAGGAAAAAGAAAAUAAGGAAGAUGAAUAAGAUGAAACACCCACUAGUCCAAUAAUAUAAGCUCCAAUUGAGAGUCAAUCUUAGUCUGGAGCUUUCUCUCCUCAUGUAUCUCCUGUAAGGGGUAAGGCUAAGGCAGAACGUACGAGAACAUCACUUGUAUGGAGUUUUUUUUUUAUUUAAGUAAAGUUGCUUCAGUUGCUACUUGUAAAAAAUGUAAAGCACAAUUUGCAUAUGGUACACGUGAAAAUUGGGUGGGAUGAGGGGUUUAAACAGGCACUUGCUUGGUAAACACAAACCUAUAUGGAUAAAAUCUCAAAUAGAUACCAUAAAAAUAUCGGAUCCUAGCAGCAGUUCUUGCGCUCCUACUGGAUCUGGCGGGGGUUCUAACUAUGUCCAACAACAGCUUCACCCUAUUACUGAAACUAUACUACGUCUCUAUAACAAAGAUAGAGAUCGUGAAAAAUUAGCAAAAGUGGUCGAUUUCUUUGACUGACCUUUUACUUUUCCUUCUCACCCUGCUUUUGUGCAUUAUAUACAAGAAACUUAUAAUCAUGCUUUUCAAGGUUGUCCUAAGACCAUAAUUAAAAAUAAUAUUUUUAAAUUUCAAAGUGACUAUCUUUAGUACAUACGUUGUGUAUUUUACCAAUUAGAUUGUAAAAUAUCUAUCACAUCUGAUAUAGGUCGUAGUCCUAAUGACAAUGAUUAUUUAAAAGUUACAUGUUAUUGGGUUGAUCUUCACUAGAACAUGCAAAAACGUAUUAUUGAUUAUAAAUUUGUUGUUACAAAAUACACUAGAGCAUAUAUUACAACUAUUGUUCUAGAAAUACUUUAAUUUUAUAGUCUUAUUAAUAAAGUUUUAACUAUCACAUUAGAUAAUACUGUUGUUAAUACCACUGCAACAAAUAACUUAAAAGCUAGAAUUUGCGCAAUUAAUGAUGAAAUUUUUCGUGUUAGAUGAACUUGGUUGUAAAUAACAUAUGAUGGGGUCAUUUCUAGUUUAGCUUAUCUUUGAAUAUUGAACAAUUGUGCGGAGCAUGUGUUUCCAACUUGUUGAUUCAAACUCUCGCAGGAUAUAUUCACAAGAGGAAUGAUUACUCUUAAGGGUAAUCUUAUAGUUUAGGUCUACUAAGUAUUGUAAUUUGUUGGGUAAUUAAUUAUUUUAAUUGUUUGACAAUUACUUCUUUGUUGGGUCUAUUCUCAAUUUGUAAGGCCCCAAAUUUUUUUACAUAAAACCUAGGGUUUCGUGCUGUCGAGGUAGAAGUAUGUGUUGAUGAUUGUAGAGAUUCUUCGCGGUGAGCUUGCAAGCUAAGGUACAGACUUUUUGGGUUGAGCAGUGCGUUGGGGAGUUGAAGAAAUUUUUUUGGUAGAGUAGUGCAUUUCUACGAUCAACUAUGUGACCGCAGAAUCACUCUGCGGACCGCAGGUCUACCGCAGAGUGAAACAGAAAACUGGGCAAACUUUGGAUAAUAUUUUGAGGUCGAUUUUGCGGCCGCAUAAUCAUUUUGCGGGCCGCACAAUCUAUCGCAGAUCCACCAUAAAAAAUUUCGGAGGGGAGUUCUACGGCAAAUUAUGCGAUCGUAAAAUUGGUUUACGGAUCGCAGGCCUGUCACAGAGUGAAGCAAAAAUGCCCAGUUCUGGAGGGCCAUUCUGCGGCCCGCAUGAGCAUUACACGGUCAUAUAUGCGACCGUAGAUCUGUAUCAGGGCUUUAUUUUUCUGAUUUUAUAAACCCGACCCCAUUCUUAUAAAACACUCUUAGGGAUUAUUUUAGAAGGUUCAAACUUAUAUUUUAGAGAGAGGAAAGUAGUCUAGAGUGAGAAAAGUAAUUUCUAAGUCAUUUGUUCAUCAAUCUUUGCUCAAGCCUUGAAGACUUCACAAGGGUAACUCCCAAGGUCUUCAACCAAAAUGUAAGGUUCUAGCCCUAGCCUUCGGUUACGAGAUUUAACUGAAAAUAGGUAAUAAGUCAAGCAAUUGCUGGGUGUGGGAGUUGUUCAUUAUGAAUGCAUGUACUAUCAAGGAUUGUGAGAAGAUUGGUAAGCUCAAUUGGGUAGACUUUGGGUAGUGAAAUGAAGGAAUCCACCAUGGAGGACCUUGGAAUCAUAAUGGCCACCUAGUCUUCGAUAAAAUGCUCAAAUGAGUUGCAGCCAUGAACUUCUUCCUAAUUUUGGUUCAAUUUAUUAUAAAUAGAUCGAAGUUGCUAGAUUUCCAAAACUAUGUAGUGGAUUAAGGGAAGAUCAAAGCAAGGUAUGUUGGCUAAACCUUUUUCUUAGAAUUAAAUCCCACGAUGGUCGUGUAAGUUUCGAGUUGUUCAUUAUAUACUUGAUAUUCCGAAUAAGUUUGGUGUUUAUAUAUAUAUAUAUAUAUAUAUAUAUAUAUAUAUAUAUGUGUGUGUGUGUGUGUGUGUGUGUGUGUGUGUGUGUGUGUGUGUGUAUAUAUAUAUAUAGUUAUAUAUAUAUAUAUGUGUGUGUGUGUGUGUGUGUGUGUGUGUGUGUGUGUGUGUGUGUGUAUAUAUAUAUAAAUGUGUUUCGAAUAUUAUUAUGAUAUCAUGGUGUUCUUCGGGGGCAUGUUCAAAGCAUGAGUCUUGUAUUGAAAUAUUGUGAAUUUAAGACAAAUUCAAAUGAAAGAUGUUGCGUCAAAUGGUGUAAGAAAUCUCCAUGUGCUUAUCACCCUUAUGUGCUCACUAGUAUAUUUAAAAGUCUAAUAUUGAAAAGCCUUUUUGUUGAAUUACCUAUGAUGAUAUUUGAAAGUGAAAGAAUAGGGCAUGAAAUCUGAUGUGCGACCGACGUGCCAAGAAUGAUAUUGCGUUAUGGCCAUUGGUGCCGAUGAAAUGAAUGAUAUAUAAAUGAUUAUGAAAUGAGUAGUAAAUACCUUUAAGCAAUAAAUGCUUUGGGAGUAUCGUUUAUCACCGAGGAAGGGUAGGUCAAAAUAACCUAACCCCGAAACUACACGUGCCGGUGUAGGAGUGAUUAAGGGGUAAAUCCCCGUGUUAAUGUGAUGAGGUUGUUUCCCCUUAUAUGAGAUGAUAUUGGUGUGUUGAGAUAUUUUUCCUUGAAUGGGAUGAGAUUACUGCUAUCAAGAUGUGAUGUGAUGUUGAUCCACACGGCAUUGUGGUAAGAUGGCUUAGCCAGUCAGGCUGAGAUCGGACGCCAUGCCGGCACACAGUAGUAUUAUAGGUAGAUAUAUCGGGGUGAGACGGCUUAGCCGAUCUGGCUGAGAUCGGACUCCAUGCUAAAAACACGGUGGUGUAUCGGUGCUAAGGAUCUUCCAACUUAAAAUAUUGAAACUUAACUGAAAUUUACGUUGCCCCUUGAUCAUAGGCUAAAAACUCGUAUUUUAGUCGUUGUAACAACACUUUAAUUAUUGCAUUUUAUAAAGGUUUGAGCUUAAAUGAUAAUGAAUUGUACUAAAUUAUGCUUUAUGGUUGCAGGAAGCUAAUCAGAAUUAAGAAUUUCAUUUGGGAUGAAUUUGAUUAAUUUGGGACUCUGAACUCUGAGUAAAAGCUAAAUAAAUCAAGUCGGGAUCGUGCUCGGGGGUCGCAAAUCAAGCUGGGAUAGCAAAACUAAUGAAAAAACAAAGCAGCACAAAAACAUUGCAUUGUCGCGCCGCGUGGGGCGCUACAUUGUUCUGCUCCGUUAAAAUGUAUUCUGCCUAUGUCCAAUCCAUGUACGCGUCGCACGGGGCGUCGCACGGGGCGUCACGAACGUGUAAAAAUUGCAGAACUACUCUAUUUCGGUCUAAAAAGGGUAUAAUUGUCAAAAUCCCUUCCUACACGAUUAAAAAAGGUAAAAGCAUCCAUUAUUGGAGGGCAGGCCUGUUCUUGGAGAGAAAAAGAGGAGGAGAUCCAUCUUGGAGGAUCAAAAUCAAGAGGAGACAACACUUUGGAGCAAGGAUUAAAAGAGUUUUUCUAAACCUUCUUCUAGUAUCUAUUUAUUUGAUGUUUAAGACUUAUAUUAUUGACGUUUGUAUAAAUAUGAGUAGCUAAAAACCCCAAUAUUCUGGGGUUAUGGGUGUUAGAUAAUUAUGUUGUUUGAAACUUAAAUUGAUGAUCUUGAAUUUAUCGUUAAGGUUUGUUUAUUUGAUUAUGCUGUUAAUUAUUUUACUGUGUAGCUAACAGUGAAAUACUAUUUACGAAUCUUAAGUUAAACUUGAAAAAGAAAAUUCUUGAUUGCAUACAGAAUCAAAUAGAACAAGAUCUGGAUCCUGGGCAUCGGGUGAAAGAUUCGCGAUUAAGAUAGAACUAUACUUAAUUGCCUUGUUUGGUUGAAAAAUAGGAAUUGUAAAUGCAUUUGAGUUAAUAUUAAUGCCACAGAAAUAUAUGUAUUAAUUUAACUUGAAUAGGUGCAUAAGAAUUCGACAGAUUCUUAUGGAUAUUAUCAACCCUAUAAUCAAUAACCCAGAUAAUUCAAUAAAUCAUUUUAAAGCUAAAAGCGUAGCAUGAUCUCUAGCAAACCCAUAACCCUGGAAUAUCUUUCUUAUUAAUUGUUAAAAGAAAACUCCAUAAAUGGCGUAGUAACUUUGGGUUGUAUUAUUGUUUGACUACUAGUUAAAUUGUAAAUUGGUUAUUUAUGUAUUUUGUGAUGAAUUAGCUUGAAUCGAUAAUUGUUUGAGUUUGCAUCAGUUGAUAAGUUGAUCAUAAGUCCUCGUGGGAACAAUACUUUACUUAUUACUAUAUACAGAGGUAAGGUUAAUGAUGAAGACGCUUGGUUGACGGAAGAUUUUUAUGGCCCGUAUUUUGGGCUAGUCAUGGCCUCCCUCUUGGAGAUCUGAAUUUGAAUACGGGAGUAAGGGUUGUUAUUGGGAUGGAUAUUCUCGAUUAGGGGAAUCUGCGGAACGACGUUGUUUACUAACAACGUUGAUGAAAGAUUGGUCUAAGGAGAGAGAUGAGCUUGCACAAAAAAUUGAUAAUUUUAGAUUGGUUGUGCAUAACUUGGAUUCAGAUUUGAGUGCAAAGGUUGAUGCAUGUAACGCCCAACAAUUUAGUGAUGAAUUCUAUGAAGCUGGAAAAAAAUCUUCUAUACCGAAUUGAGGAGCUAAAACAAGAAUACCAAUCAUUAGAUCAUGUUUUUCUUGAGGAUGUCAAUAUUGAGAAGAGUGCUCUAGAGUCAUGUGAGGGAGUAGAUAAUAUUACUUUAGGGGAAUUGAGUGUGUGUAUAAAUGGGGAUGUAAAUAGUAGUAAAAUUCAUGAGUUAUGGAGCAUUAGACCUCAUUCCAAUCAUUUUUCCACAUUAUGUUUUGAUAGUAAGAUAGUAAUCGAGCCAUCUAAGCCUAUGGGGGAGUCAAAGAGUGAGGGUGAAAGUGCCUAUAUUCUUGAAUUUGUUGUGCCAAAAGCAAAAAUUACAUUCCUCAUCUAAAGGCCGAGAAGUGCCGAGUGAAAAAUUUAUUACUUGGCCUGGUUAUCUUUGUAGUCCCACCAAAUGUGCAUAGCCACAGACUGGAUACCCUGUUAGGGGUACAAUUCAUAAGUUCAAGGUGAAAACAAAAAGUGGUUCACGUCGUACCGCGACGUUAGAUCAGACGCUUGUUGGGAGGCAACCCAAUGACUAACAUCACUAACUUUUAAUUGUAGUUUAGAAAUAUUAGAUUUUAAAAGUUAUGAUGUUUUUAGUCAGGAACAAGCAUGAAUUUGUGCAUUGAAAAUUAUUGUGAAGAUGCGGUGAUGUUAUAGUUGUGAAGUGAGGUAUAUUUGUAUUGUUGAUAUGGUGAAUUUACCUCAUUUCAAGUUGAAAUUUUAAGAAUACAAGAUAUGCUUACAAUGUGUUUGUUAAAAUGUCUAAGUGACAUGAAAUUGAGUAAUGUUGCAAAUUGAGAAAUAAAUUGCAUUGUGAGAUGUUAUUUUUAAUAACAACCAUGACAUUAGGCUACACCAUGAUUUUUCGCUUGCUAGAUAUAAAAUGAUAUGUAGGAUUCAUGCUAAUGUACCUAUGUAGUGUAUUUGUAUAAUAAUUUUGAAUUUUGUAAAAUAGACUAAUUUCUUUUUAUGUUCAUGUUUAAUAUUAAUCUAGCUUAGUUAUAAUAAUAUCAAAAUCUAUCUUAGUUUAUGAUUUUAUUUUUAUUUUUAAUUGUUGCAAUUCUCUCUAAUGAUUGGGUAAGCCGAUAAGCAUUAUAUCAUUUUAAUUAAAGAACAGGGUAGUCUGAAUCCCUGUUCUACAUGCUAAGUGUCAACAUGAUAAUAACAUAAGUGUGGGGUAUUUACUCCAAUUGCUUUUAAAAUGAGUUUUGUGUGUUUUGGCUAAUUAAUCAUGUUGUGUAGGUAUAAUGUCUCGGCGCCCAAGUAAAAGAUCAAAUACUGGCCUAUCUGGGGUUGCAUUUAGUAGCCGACGGUGAGGCAGAAGGGCACCCCCUCUAGCACAUUUGAAGAUGAAGAUGCUUAGGCCAAUGGCCUCAGGUAGUCUCUUUUCUGAUCUAUUUUUGAUCUUUUGCAUUAGGGACAAUGCAAAUUUUUAAGUGCGGGGUGACUUGCCCCUAUUGUAAUGUACUUACUUUUGUAUUUUUGGUUGUUUGAUUUUGUUUAGACUGUUAAACUUUUUGGUUUGGUAGACUAUAGCGUUUGUAGGUAGUAGUGGUACUAAUUUCAAUUUUUUUCCCGACGAUGAAUUUUCUUGAGGGAAAUGAAGUUGAAAUUUGUAAAAUUUAAAAAAAACGCUAUAAAAAAAUUUCUGCUUUUUAUUUCAGUUUAGUGUAUGCUAGUUUUGGUUUAAAUUAAAAUUUUCCCCUUGGUUUUUCUUUACGCCACGGUUCUUUUUCAAAGGUGUAUUUGAACCGGGUAUCGUGUAAUUUUCUAGUUCAAUUGAAUAAAAAGUUCCUAACUCACAGAGUUAAUUUCCUCAAAUGCACAUGCUUCAGAAGUUGUAUGUAUCUUAUUUGUGAUGCUCAAUCUCAGUUCUUGAUUCUAAAGUAAGUGCCUUAAAUUGUGUAUCUAUAACUAUGAUUAACUGCUUUAACUAGAGAGUCGAUAAAGAUCCAAGCUUGAAUGAGUUGUGUGGCAAUGUGUGAGUGAGGUUGCUGAAAUAUUUUGUGCAUAAUAGUUGAUAUCUAGAACUUGCCUUUAAGUGUUUUGCAAAGCGAAAUAGUAGCAUUAUUCAGUUUAGGAGAUGAUAUAGACAUUUCUUUGUUGAACCAGUUUUAUAAUUGUUCCCACCUAGUUUUAUAUAUUUUAGUCAAACCUUUUGAGCCGUUAAUCCUAUUUCUUUGGCAUCCACAUUAUAAGUCUUACCAAUUUAUGUAAAUAUAUCAGUUGUUUGAACUUCUAUCUCUCAUGAGCACUUAGUGUUGUUUUAAUGUUGUUAAAGUUGAGAAGAGAUUUGUUGGUUUAUUUGAAAAAAAAUACAUAUAUAUGUGUGUGUAUAUAUAUAUAGGGGAUGAAUUUUCAUUAGUAACAUUCCCUAGCUUAUGGUGCUUAAAGAGAAUGGGAUUUGCUGUUAUUAUGUAAAACCUCAAAAAGGUUGGAGAUGGUUUAACAAUAAGAGUAAUGCUGAAAUUGUGAAAUGAAAUGGUGUAUGUAUGGAAGUGCUCAAAGAGGUGUAGCUACUAUAUUCUAUAUUUAUCACACUCUUCCUCAGCCUGCAUUACAACCAAUUAAAGUCCUAUUUGAUCCUUGAUUGAAUAAGCUCAAUUAGUAGAGUAUUACACUGGGGGCAAGCAUAUGGUAUGUCAUCUGUUGCACAUGAAUUUCAAUUCUAAGAGUGAGUUAAGAAUUCUUCCUAUUUUGAGUUACUAAAUAUUCGUGAAUACUAUGUUGAGAGGAACUAGUCUAUAUUAGUUGUGGGAGGUCACAUGAUUUGUAAAAGCAAGGAAACGUUUUGACCUUUGUGCUAGAGUAAGUGAGAAAGUUAUGAAAAUGCGUGGCACUUGUGAGUCAUGUCUUGAGGUUGAACUAUUAUGAAUUGGUACUUAAGUGUCAGCAUGUGUUGUUUAGGAAAUUGUUUGAUAAAAAGGUCGUCCUUAUGUGAAAUAUAUGUUAAUUGCUCGAGGACGAGCAAUGGUUUAAGUGUGGGGUGUUGAUCAUAAGCUAAAAACUCAUGUUUUAGUCGUUAUAACAACACUUUAAUUAUUGCAUUUUACAAAGGUUUGAGCUUAAAUGAUAAUGAAUUGUACUAAAUUCAUGCUUUAUGCCUUGCAGGAAGCUAAUCCGACUUAAGAAUUUAAUUUGGGAUGAAUUUGAUUAAUUUGGGCUUUGAAGUCUGAGUAAAAGCUAAAUAAAUCAAGUCGGGAUUGUGUUCGGGGGUCACAAAUCAAGCCAGGAUAGCAAAACAAAUGAAAAAAUGAAGCAGCGCAAAAAAUGCACCAUCGCGCCGCGUGGGGCGCCGCGGCAGUGCAAAAUUUUGCGCUGCAUUGUUCUGCUCCAUUAAAAUGUAUUCUACCUCUAUCCAAUCCAUGUACGCGUCGUACGGGGCAUCGCACGGGGUGUUGCGGACGUGUUAAAAUCGCAGAACUACUCUAUUUCGGUCUAAAAAGGGUAUAAUUGUCAAAAACCCUUCCUACACGAUUAAAAGGGUAAAAACAUCCAUUAUUGGAGGGUAGACCUGUACUUGGAGAGAAAAAGAGGAGGAUAUCCAUCUUGGAGGAUCAAAAUCAAGAGGAGACAACACUUUGGAGCAAGGAUUAAAAGAGUUUUUCUAAACUUUCUUCUAGUAUCUAUUUAUUUGAUGUUUAAGACUUAUAUUGUUGAUGUUUGUAUGAAUAUGAGUAGCUAAAAACCCAAAUAUUCUGGGGUUAUGGGUGUUAGAUGAUUAUGUUGUUUGAAGCUUAAAUUGAUGAUCUUGAAUUUAUCGUUAAGGUUUGUUUAUUUGAUUCUGUUGUUAAUUAUUUUACUGCGUAGCUAACAGUGAAAUACUAUUUACGAAUCUUGAGUUAAACUUGAAAAAGGAAAAUCUUGAUUGCAUAUAGAAUCAAAUAGAACAAGAUCUGAAUCCUGGGCAUCGGGUGAAAGAUUCGCGAUUAAGAUAGAACUAUACUUAAUUGCCUUGUUUGGUUGAAAAAUAGGAAUUGUAAAUGCAUUUGAGUUAAUAUUAAUUCCAUAGAAAUAUAGGUAUUAAUUUAACUUGAAUAGGUGCAUAAGAAUUUGACAGAUUCUUAUGCAUAUUAUCAACCCUAUAAUCAAUAACCCAGAUAACUCAAUAAAUCAUUUUUAAGCUAAAAACGUAGCAUGAUCUCUAGCAAGCCCAUAACCCUGGAAUAUCUCUCUUAUUAAUUGUUAAAAGAAAACUUCAUAAGUGGCGUAGUAACUUUGCGUUGUAUUAUUGUUUGACUACUAGUUAGAUUGUAAAUUGGUUAUUUAUGUAUUUUGUGAUGAAUUAGCUUGAAUCGAUAACUGUUUGAGUUUGCAUCAGUUGAUAAGUUGAUCAUAAGUCCUCGUGGCAACGAUACUUUACUUAUUACUAUAUUACUUGAAGAUCACGUACACUUGCGUGAGUGUUUUGGUCGCAACACCCCUAACUUGACACCUUGAUACUAUUUGAGUCUCCUAUUGAAUUCAUGUUUCCUUCUCCAUUUAAUGUUACUCGUUCUAUUGAGAGGGUGUUUAUUCAUACAUACUAGUACUAUUCCAUAUGUGCUAACGUCCCUUUUGUCGGGCGCGCUGCAUCUUUAAUAGAUGUAGGUGUUUCACACUAGGUGGUGUUGAUCCGUGAUAGCACCAUACCCUCUCCUCAGCUAACUUGAUGAGCCCCACUUUAUUUCGGGGUCUUGUAUCUCUUGUCCUUGUGCAUAGAAUUUUGAGGUAUAGUCGGGGCCUUGUUGACGGCAUUGUCGUAGCACUCUUUUGUUUUUGUUAGAGGCUUUGUGGACACAGUGUGGGUUGUAUUUAGUUUUGGGAAGGUUAAACUGAAAGUGUUGUAAUUGUAUCAUAUGUACCACUUCAACUCUGAAUGUAUAGUGUACUAUUUUGGAGACUUGUUAAUGACGUAACUAAUGGAAAUGAAAUGGUGCUAUUCACAUAACCUCUUAUCGUCUAAUUAAUGAGUAUGUAUCCUUCUCUUUAUUCAUGGGUGAGUUUAGAGGGCAUUGUGCACGCUUGCUCAACUGGGGUAUCUCGGUUGAGCGCCAGUCGCGCUCCCUGAGGUCGGGGCAUGAUAAGCUUGGUAUCAGAGCCAAGGGUUUUAAAGUUUUCUAGGAUUUCUCGGAGCCGUAUCUAGUAAAUUCCUUCUUAUCGUUGUGUUUACAACCACAUAUAUAAUUAGGAGGCUACUUAGGCAUUUAGGAAUAAUACCCUCCCUUGAUGUUCUAGAUCGUGCGAUAAAGCUGAUUGUAAGAUUGUUCCUCCUCUAACUCGUGCAUUGCUCUAACUUUCAGUACAUGACACCUAGGAAGAAAGCAAGAACUAGUCAAGGAGCCAAUGCUGCCCCAGGAGUGGCAUUUGAUUCUUUACCUGAUGAUUCGGGUAAGCACCCGAGGGGUGACAAUAUUCCCUCAACUACUACACUGCCUGAUUCUACUACACCUGACCAGACGAUACCAUUUCUUGCACCUACUUAGGGUGAAACUAUUCCACCAUCGAUUGAUAUUCCAGUUCCAACUCCAGCCCGAACUUCCGGUCCUUGUGUGUCUGAUGGGGAUCUUAGGGGAGCUAUACAGAUGUUGGCUCAGAUAGUGGCUUCCUAGGCCCAAAGAUCGAAUAUGGCACCCACUUCUUCUAGUCAGCCAAAAGAUUCGGCUAGUUCCAGGGUGAACAGGUUUCUCCAGUUGGAUUCUCCAGUGUUCAUCGGUAAUGAUCUUGAGGAGGACCCCCAGGACUUUAUUGAUGAGAUGCAAGACCCUAUAAGUUAUGCGUGAUACUGAGACGGAGGGAGUGGAGUUGGCCUCUUACCGCCUGAAAAGAGUGGCCUAUUCUUGGUUUGAGAUGUGGGAGGAUUCAUAUGAGGAGGGGAGCCCUCCGGCGAGAUGGAGUGAGUUUGUCGAUGCUUUCAUUGAUCAUUUCUUUCCUGUCGAGACUAAAGCAGCCCGUGCCGCCAAGUUUGAGAGCCUGAAACAAGGUAGCAUAAGUGUGUGGGAGUAUCAUAUGAGGUUUGUGUGCCUAUCCAAGUAUGACAUCUACAUGAUGCCCACUAUGGAGGCUAGAGUGCGCCGGUUUAUGCAAGGCCUUAUCCACUUGGUUAUUAAUGAGGCCACUACAAAUGCUUUGAAUUCCGAUAUGAACUAUGGUAAGAUGGUGGAAUUUUCUCAGGUCACAAAGAUCCGCAAGAUAAAGAAUAAAAUGGAGUGAGAGGGUAGCAACAGGGCCCGGUCAAGGGGAAACUUUAGUGGUAAUUCUGGUGGUGGUAGUGGCAGGUCAGCAUUUAGGGGAGGGUUGUUAGGGCCAUCUCAGUCCUUUGCUUAGUCUUCAGUUAUUGCACAACCAUCGGUGCCCAGUCAGUAGCAGUGGAAUUGUUUUAGGCCCAGCCAAGGCAACAGGGGAUCCUACCAGUAAGGUUGACCUAGUGAGAAAUUUCAGCAGCAACAGAGGCCCAUAUGCCGUAGGUGUGGGAAAAUUCACUUUGGGGACUACUUCAUGAACCAACCCAUAUGCUACGGGUGUGGUAUCAGUGGUCACAUUCAGAGGGAUUAUCAUUCAUCCCAUCAGAGCAUGGGCAGGGGUGCAGCACAACCAGCCAGUUCUGCAGCCACUACAUCGGCAGCACCUCCUCCAGCUUGAGGCACUCCCGCACCUGCAGGGCGUGGUGCAGCUAGGGGUGGUACACAGAAUUCAGGAGGACCCAGCUAUUUUUAUGAUAUGAAGGAUCGCUAGAGUUUAUAGGCUUAUCCAAGUGUUGCCACAGGUAUAUUGAAUGUCCAAUCUCAUGAUGUGUAUGCUCUUAUUGAUCCCGGAUCCACUUUAUCCUAUGUUACUAUGGAAUUUGGGAUAGCACCGGAACAAAUUCAUGAGCCAUUUUCUGUAUCUACUCCGGUAGAUGAGUCUAUUAUGGCUGCAUGGGUUUAUCGGGAUUGUGUUGUCAUGUUGUGUGGUUGGGACACCAUGGCCGAUCUUAUUGAAUUGGGGAUGGUGGAUUUUGAUGUACUAAUGGGGAUGGACUAGCUUUAUUCAUGUGUUGCCAAGCUUGAUUGUCGAACUAGGACUGUUAGGUUUGAAUUUCCAAAUGAGUCAGUGAUUGAAUGGAAGGGGGAUAAUGUGGUGCCGAAGGGUAGGUUUAUUUAUUAUUUUAAGGCCACAAAGAUGAUUAACAAGGGGUGUAUUUACCAUUUGGUCCGGAUUACAGACACCGAUAUUGAGUCACAUAUACUUGAGUCCAUGUCAGUUAUGAAUUAAUUCCCUGAGGUCUUUCCUGAUGAGCUCCUUGGGAUUCCACCAGACAGGGAGAUUGAUUUUGGGAUUGAUGUGAUGCCUGGAAUGCAACCUAUAUCUAUUCCACCCUACAAAAUGGCACCAGCAAAAUUGAAAGAACUAAAUGAGAAGUUGAAGGACUUGUUAGAAAGGGGCUUCAUCUGGCCUAGUGUGUCGCUUUUGGGCGCGCGGUUCUCUUUGUAAGAAAGAAAGAUGGGUCACUGAAAAUGUGUAUUGACUAUCGGUAGCUCAACAAGGUUAUGAUCAAGAAUAAGUACCCAACUGCCAAGGACAGAUGACUUGUUUGAUCAAUUGCAGUGUGUAAGUAUUUCUCUAAAAUUGAUUUGAGAUUUGGGUAUCAUCAAUUGAAGAUCAGGGAGCAGGAUAUUCCAAAAAUAGCUUUCAGAACCCGAUAUGGGCACUUUGUAUUUCUACUAAUGUCCUUUGGGCUAACAAAUGCCCCGGCAACUUUCAUGGAUCUUAUGUACCGAGUCUUCAAGAUUUUUCUUAACUCCUUUGUGAUAGUUUCAUUGACGAUAUUCUGGUAUAUUUACGCAGUUGAGAGGAGCAUGCCGAUCAACUCAGAGCAGUUCUACAGACUCGACGUCAGCACCAAUUGUAUGCAAAGUUUUCGAAAUGUGAAUUUUGACUUGAAUCUAUCACAUUCUUGGGUCAUGUCGUCUCCAGAGAAGGAAUUAAGGUUGAUCCUCAGAAGAUUGCAACUGUGAAGAAUCGGCCUAGACCUACUACCCCAAUGAAGAUCUGCAGUUUCUUGGGCUUAGUUGGAUAUUACAGGAAGUUUGUGGAGGGGUUCUCUACUCUUGCCUCUCCAUUGACUAUAUUGACGCAGAAGGUGGUUAAGUUCCAAUGAUCAGAUUCUUGUGAAAAAAGCUUCCAAGAGUUGAAAUCAAGAUUGACUACGGCACCGGUGUUGACCCUGCUAGAGGGUACGGAUGGGUUUGUGGUAUAUUGUGAUACUUAGAGAAUCGGACUUGGGUGUGUAUUAAUGCAACAUGGCAAGGUAAUAGCUUACGCUUUUAGGCAACUCAAGAAUCAUAAGAGAACUAUCCAACACAUGAUUUAGAGCUUGCAGCGGUUGUAUUUGAAUUGAAGAUUUGGCCUCAUUACUCGUAUGGGGUCCAUGUGUAUAUAUUCGCGGAUCAUAAGAGCCUUAAAUAUAUUUCAAAUAGAAGGAAUUUAAUCUGAGGCAGAGAAGAUGGCUUAAGUUACUCAAAGAUUACGACAUCGAUGCUCUAUACCAUCCGGGGAAGGCUAAUGUUGUGGCGGAUUCUCUUAGCCGUAAAUCUAUGGGUAGUUUGGCUCACUUGGAGGCAUAUCAAAGGCCAUUGGCCAAAGAGGUUCAUCGAUUAGCUAGUUUGGGAGUUCGUCUUGCGGACUCUAGUGAAGGAGGGGUAAUUGUGCAGAACAGGACCGAAUCAUCACUGGUUGUGGAAGUCAAGGAGAAAUAGUAUAAUGAUCCAUUGUUGGUACAAUUGGAGGAGGGUAAUCAUAAACAUAAGACUAUGGCUUUUUCUAUUGGCAUGGAUGAUGGUACACUAAGGUACCAAAGGCGACUAUGUGUUCCAAAUAUGGAUGGUCUCCGGGAAAGAAUCAUGACCGAGGCUCACACUUCUAGAUAUUUCAUGCACCCGGGCUCUUCAAAGAUGAAUCAUGACCUUAAGGAAGUCUACUGGUGGAAUUAUAUUAAGAAGAAUGUAACAGACCUUUUGGCGAGAUGUCCAAAUUGUCAGCAAGUAAAGGCCAAACACUCAGCAAGUAAAGGCCAAACACUAAUGGCCAGGUGUGUUGGCACAGAAUAUAGAAAUUCCAAUAUGGAAGUGGGAGAUGAUCAAUUUGGAUUUUGUAGUAGGACUAUCUCGCACUCCUCAUGAGUUUGACUCAAUUUGGGUGAUUGUGGAUCGACUCACGAAAUCAGCACACUUCUAACCUGUUAAGGCUACCAACACAGCGGAGUAGUAUACUCAGUUGUAUAUCAAGGAAAUAGUCAAGUUGCAUGGCACUCCAGUUUCUAUCAUUUCUGAUCGGGGGGCACAGUUCAUAGCUAAUUUUUGGAAGAAAUUUCAGCAAGGAUUGUGUACUCAGGUAAAUUUUAGUAUAACUUUCCAUCUACAGACUGACGGGCAUGCAGAGCGAAGUAUUCAGACACUUGAGGAUAUGUUGCGCACUUGUGUUCUUGACUUCAAGGGUAGUUGGGAUGAUCAUUUUCCACUCGUAGAAUAAUUAUCAUGCUAGCAUUCAAAUGGCACCGUUCGAGACUUUAUACAGUAGGAGAUGUAGAUCUCCCAUCGAAAGGUUUGAGAUUAGGGAAGCAGAGUUGAUAAGGCUAGACCUCGUGCAUCAGGCUAUGGAGAAAGUUAAGAUCAUUAAGGAGCGGUUGAAAACUACCUGAUAAGUGGGGAUUUUGACUGCUUAUUAGCGCCUUUUAGCUUUUAUUUUAGUCUAAAGCAUUGAAUUGUGUUCCCGAAAUUGAUGAAAUUGUGCAAAAUUGUAGGAAAGAUGGAAGUUGAUCUUCCAAAGAUGAAAUCCGACUCAAAAAAGAGUAUUCUGAAGCAUAAGUCAAUAAAAGGCACAUAAGUAUAGAUGUGCGGUCCGUAGAAGAAAUUGCGGACCGCAAAAUUCCAUUUACGGCCGCAAACCAAGAGGAAGAAUUUAGCAUACAUUUGUACAAAGCUGGGCUAAUAGUCGAAGAUGAGAGAGUAUGCAAAAAGACCAAGUCCAGGAGCCUCUAUGAAUUGCAGAGCGCAUAAGAAUUGUGCGGCCGCAGAAAAAUGCCUUGCAGCCGCAGUCCUAAUUGGGCAGACCGCAGAAGAAGUGCCUUGCGACUGCAAUCUAGAAGUGUGCGGCCGUAGAAUAUUGCCCCGUGGUCGCAGAACUCCAGUUCCUGCCAGAUGAAGAAAUCUGCGGACCGCACAUGGAAUUGUGCAGCCGCAGAGCCUCCCGAAGGGCAUUUUUGUUCGAGAUUUUUAGCCUUGUAUAAAUAGACGAGUUUCAUAAAUUAGGUCAGGUUUUGAACAUCUGAAGUUGAUGUAGCCGUUUUUCUUUACUACUUUAGGAAUUUUUGCUUUAUUUUGAUAUUUUAACAUUAGAUUUCUUUAUUUUAAUCUUCCAAUAUGAAUUUAAAUAGUUUUUCUUCUCUAUUUUUUGUAAUUUCUAUUAUGAGUAGCUAGACUUUUACUAGGAAUGUGACCCAACUCUAGCAUGUAAACCUUAUGGGUGAUUAAUUCAGUGCUUGUUGAUGAUUGAGUGUUUAUUAUUUAGCUUAGUUCAUGCUUCAAUUAUAAAAUUGAUAGUUGCAAACAGUGAUUCAUGCCUAUUUGACUUAGUCUCUACUUGAGAAAGAAGGACCUAAUCUAGGAUAACUUAGCUAACAAGGAAUUGGGUCAAUUGAGAGAUUGAUUAACCCAGUUAAAGGAUUUAACCUAGAGAUUGUAAAUAUUUGACUUGAGCUCUUAUAGAUUGUUUUGGUAGAUACCUAUUUGGUCUUGAGAAAGCCAAAUUGGUUAAAACCGCUCUCUGACCGAGAGGUAUUGAGUGAGUAAUGUAGAGUUGUGAGCUAUUUUACAGUGUACACCCCAAUCAACUACAUAAGCAUUAAUGUCUUUACCCCAUUAGGCAAAAACCUAGGUUAUACUCAAAGCCCUAAGCCUUUAAUCCAAUUAGAAAAUCCUUAAAGAAAAUCAUAUCUAGUCUCUUAUCUUUAUUUUGCAAUCAUUAGAUUAACAUUAUAAAUAAGAACAAAAAGAUCUUGUUGUAGAAGUGCAAUCUAGAUAGCCCAUAUGCUUACUUCGAAUAUAUACCCCUAGCUCCCAUCAUAACUCCCAGUGGAUUCGACCCCGACUCCUAGUUGGGUAUUUAUUAUUGCAUACGAUCGUUACAUAUCUCUAUUGAGGUAUGCAAUUAGAUGUGAUAUGAGUCGCAGGGAUUUGGAGUUCCAAGAGGAUGACUGGGUAUUCUUGAAGGUUUCCUCAUGAAGGGGGUGAUACAAUUUGAUAAGAAAGGGAAAUUGAGUUCGAGGUAUGUCGGACCGUACAGAAUCAUUCAGAGGGUUGGUCAGGUGGCUUACAGGCUAGAACAACCUCCAGAGAUGUCUUUUGUGCACCUGGUGUUUCACGUUUCCAUGUUGAAGAAGGUGGUUGGAGAUCUGUCACUUAUUGUUCCAGUUGAGACUAUUGAGGUUAAUGAGGAAUUAACUUAUGAAGAAAUUUCAGUUGCCAUUCUUGAUAGGCAAGUCUGUAAGCUGAGAAAUAAAGAAGUUGCCUCCGUGAAAGUACAACGGCGAAAUCAAUAGGUUGAAGGGGCCACCUGGGAGGCUGAGGAAGAGAUGAAGAAGAAGUACCCUCAUUUGUUUGAAUAGCUAUGUACUCGAUUUUAUGAAACUAUUCCCUAUGAAUUAUGUAUCAUUUGUACAGUUUAUGCUAAGGGUGUUCCCUUCUGAUAAUAUAUUGCUCAUGAGGUCACGGUUGGUGCUAAUUCCAUGUCGUAUUGCGUCGUUGGGUUAUGUACAUGUUGUUGGUAUUGGUUUCUAGAAUUUUCUUACACGUGGAUAGGUCCAGUUACAAGGAAAAUUCAGGCAAAAUUUAUAAAAAAUUCAGGGAGUUAGUCAAAAUUUGGAAUUGCUCGUAUGAUAUAGCAACUGAGUCACAUUGGAUGCUAAUGGUAAAUUUUGACCCUCAUUCGAGGAUGAAUAAUCUUAAGCAGGGGAGGAUAUAAGGCCGCAACAAAUUUUACCUAAAACCUAGGGUUUCGUGGUUCCGAGGUAGACGUAUGUGUUGAUGAUUAUAGCCGUGGUACGGACUUUUUGGGUUGAGCAGCGCGUUGGGGAGUUGAAGAAAUUUUUUGGCAGAGUAGGGUAUUUCUGUAGUCCACUAUGUAACCGCAGAUAUGCCGCAGAGUGAAGCAUAGAACUGGGCAAACUUUGGAUGAUAUUUUGCCGUCGAUUUCACAGCCCAUUAAUCAUUUUGCGGGCCGCACAAUCCAUCGCAUAUCCACCGUAAAAAUUUCCGGAUGAAUGCGACCGCAGAAUUGAUCUGCGGACCGCAGACCUGUCGCAGAGUAAAGCAGAAAUGCCCAAUUUCGGAGGGCCAUUAUGCGUCCCACUUUGCGGACUGCAUGAGUGUUAUGCAGUCGUAUAAGGUUUCAUUUUUCUAUUUUAUAAACCCGACCCCAUUCUUAUAAAACAAUCUUAGGGAUUAUUUUAGAAGGUUCAAACUUAUAUUUUAGAGAGAGGAAGGUGGUCUAGAGUGGGAAAAAGAAUUUCUAAGUCAUUUGUUCAUCAAUCUUUGCUCAAGCCUUGAAGAUUUCACAAGGGUAACUCCCAAGGUCUUAAACCAAAAGGUAAGGUACUAGCCCUAGCAUUCAAUUUUGAGAUUUAACUGAAAUAGAUAAUAAGUCAAGCAAUUCUUGGGUGUGGGAGUUAUUCAUUAUGCAUGCAUGUACUAUCAAGGAUUGUGGGAAGAUUGUUGAGCUCAAUUGGCUAGACUUUGGAUAGUGAAAUGAAGGAAUCCACCAUGGAAGACCUUGAAAUCAUAAUGGCCACCUAGUGUUCGAUAAAAUGCUCAAAUGAGCUGGAGCCAUGAACGCCUUUCUAAUUUUGGUUCAAUUUUGUUAUAUUUCUAAAAGAUCGAAGUUGCUAAGAUUUUGGAACUGUAGUGGAUUAAGGAAAGCUCAAAGCGAGAUAUGUUGGCUAAACCUCUCUCUUAGAACUAAAUCUCACAACUUCGCUAAGUUCCGAGUUGUUCAUUAUAUACUCGAUAUUCCGAAUAAGUUUGGUAUCGAAAGGUAUAUAUAUUUGUGUAUGUGUGUGUGUGUGUUCAAAAUGUGGUUCAAAUAUUAUUAUGAUAUCAUGUUGUUCUUGGGGGGCGUGUUCAAAGCAUGAGUCAUGUAUUGAAAUAUUGUGACUUCAAGUCAAGUUCAAAUGAAAGACGUUGCGUCAAAUUGUAUAAGAAAUCUCCAUGUGCUUAUCACCCUUAUGUGCUCACUUGUAUAUUUAAAAGUCUAAAGUUGAAAAGCCUUGUUGUUGAAUUACCCAUGAUGAUAUUUGAAAGUGAAAUAAUAGAGCAUAAAAUAUGAUGUGCGGCCAACAUGCCAAGAAUGAUAUUGCGUUAUGGCCAUUGGUGCCGAUGAAAUGAAUGAUAUGUAAAAGAUUAUGAAAUGAGUAGUAAACCCCUUUAAAAAUAAAUGCUUUUGGAGUAUCGUUUAGUCACCAAGAAAGGGUAGGUCAAAAUAACCUAAGCCUAAAACUACAAGUGUCGGUAUAGGAGUGAUUGAGAGGUAAAUCCCCGUGUUAAUGUGAUGAGGUUGUUUCCCCUUAUGUGAGAUGAUAUUGAUGUGUUGAGAUGUUUUCCCUUGAGAGGGAUGAGAUUAUUGCUAGCAAUAUGUGAUGUGAUGUCGAUCCACAUGCCAUUUUGGUGAGACGGCUUAGCCGGUCGGGCUGAGAUCGGGUGCCAUGCCGCACACAUGGUGGUAUUGUGGGUGGAUGUAUCGGGGUGAGAUGGCUUAGCCGAUCGGGCUGAGAUCGGACUCUGUGCUAAAAAGGUGGUGUAUCGGUGCUAAGGAUCUCCCAACUUAAAAGAUUGAAACUUAAUUUAAUUUUCCUUGCCCCUAACUUGACACCUUGAUGAUUUCAUAUUUCCUUCUCUACUGCUACUCGUUCUAUUAAGAGGGUGUUUAUUCGUACAUACUAGUACUAUUCAAUAUGUACUAACAUCCCUUUUGCCGAGGGCGCUGCAUCUUUAAUGGAUGCAGGUGGUUCCACAACAGGUGUUGUCGAUCCGUGAUAGCAGCAUACCCUCCCCUCAGCUGACUUGGUGAGCCCCACUUCAUUUCGGAGUCCCGUAUCACUUGUCCUUGUGCAUAGCAUUUUGAGGUAUAGCCGGGACCUUAUUGUCGGCACUGUCGUAACACUCUUUUGUUUCUGUUAGAGGCUUUGUGGACAUAGUGUGGAUUGUAUUUAAUGUUUGGAAGGUUAAACUGAAAGUGUUGUAAUUGUAUCAUAGGUACUACUUCAACUAUGAAUGUAUAAUGUACUAAUUUGGAGACUUGUUAAUGACGUAACUAAUGAAAAUGAACCGGUGCUAUUCACAUGACCUCUUACCGUCUAAUUAAUGAAUAUGUAGCCUUCUCUUUAUUCAUGGGUGAGUUGGGUAGAUGGUAUUGUGCAGGCUUGCUCGAUCGGGGUAUCUCGGUUGAGCGCCGGUCGCGCUUCCUGAGGUCGGGGCGUGACACAAUUUCUAUCUUAUCUUUAAUUUCUUCAAUUACGUACUUAGAUUCGUAUCAACUACUCCAACCAUUGUCUUAAGGUUUAGAGAUAAAUACACAUCCUCGUCUCCUGUUGCUUUUUUUUAGCCGAGGGUCUCCUGGAAACAGCCUCUCUACCUUUCGGGGUAGGGGUAAGGUCUGCGUACAUAUUACCCUCCUCAGACCUCACUUGUGGGAUUAUACUGGGUCGUUAUUGUUGUUGUUGUAAAGCAAAGCUUUGGUAGACCUGUUUGCGACAACAGUUUUUUCUCUUCAUCUAUAGCUUUGGACUUCAAUUCUCUCCUUCAAUGUGUCUAAUUCUUUGAGAAAAAAGAUCUAAAUUUACCUCUAAACUUUUGACUAUGACGUUUAAAGUUACUCUCAUUUGGAGUUCAAGGCCAAAAGUGAGACAUUCCUAGCGACGGGAGUAACAUUAGACAAAAAGUUUAAUAGAUCAAUAUUGCUUAAUUUUAAAUAGUUCAAGGGCAAUUUCAAUAGAUAUUCAUAAGAGAUAUUCUAAACUACUGUACAUAGUCAUAUUGUCCUUUGGCACAAUCAGUUUUGAAUUUGCUUUAUUACACUCAUGAAAUUAUGGCCUAAACUGCACCACUCUUACACAGGGAAUUACGGUUUUCAGCCUCUGAUUACUUCCUGAAAAAACAACUUUUUCCAUGCCUGCUGCUAAUGAUACUUGUAGUGAUACACCUAAUCUCCCAAUUACUAUUGUGCAUUAUCUAGCGAAGAAUAAAAGAAGAAACAACUUUGAAGGUGACAAAAUUCUAGGUUGUACGUACCACCAGCUAAUAAUCAAUGCAGAUUACAUUAAAAAGGAACGUACCCAACAUAAUGAAUGUCAUUAAGUGAGAGAAGCAGUAAAGCAUUGCCAAAGGAUGCUAUAAAGUCGCUGAAAACAAUGUAACACAAUGAAACGUUGGGUUAUGAAACAAAGAAAGCUAUAAAUUUACUACAACCAGGACCUCAAAGUGCUCUGUGAUUCUCUCUUAUGCAAAACUUUGUGCACAGCUCUCUAAGCGCGGACCCCCCUGUUAAGAUUAACCAUGCGACCUGAUCCAUCCAUCUGACUUCCCCUCGCACCUCCACCACUCUGAUAUCUUGAGCCUUGACCACUGUAAGUCCCCCGCGCCUGAUUAGUACGGUCCCUCGAUGCUUGCCCAGAAGCUGAUCUACCACCGACAUAUCCUGUUCGGCCACCACCGCCACCUUGUCUGCCUUGUGAGAAGGAGAAGUCCUGCCACUUACCAGCACCAGCAGCUGCAGAAGCAUAAUCUUGGCCGUCCCUGCGCUUCAGGGGAAUGCCCUCCAAUCCACCACCACCUAUCCUCGAUUCUGUUGCUCUUUCAUUACUUUCUGCUAAUACUGACAGCUUUUCCGUCAACUGGAAUGCCAAAGCCUGCAGUCUUGUAUGCUCAACAUCGUGAAAGACCAUGCAUCGGGAUGGUUGAUCCCAGCUUGCAUGAAGCUCCUCAGAAAUCAUCAUUUUGCUCACGAUGCUAUGGAUCUGUGAAUCUGAAAGGUCAAACAUCCCUGCAAGCUGAUCCAAAUUCACAGAAUUAUAAGAAGAAGAAUAUGUGAAAAGAUAGGUCCUCAGUGCCUCUUCCUUUAUUUUGCCCCUAAGCAUCUUAAGAACACUAUCCUUGUUGCGAAGCAGCCUCCACACGUCAAGGGAGUUGAUAACAUCAAAAGCCUUUUCAAAGUUUCCUUGCUUGAGGGCCCUUGUCGCUGCCAUUACAUGGUCCCUCACAUUUUCAGGUGGGCCGGUAAAAGUUUGCCUCUCACUUACUUCAAGCAAUCUCCGGAAUGUCUUGCUAAUAACCCUGCGCUUCAUGUCAUGGCUAUUAGCUGCCAUGUUUGGCACUUCAAGAAGCAUUGCACAUGUCAGAUGGACGGCCUCAAGAAGCUCAAGAUUUAUAUGCAUAUGAUAUGGCAUCUGACGCCUCCUCUCCAUCCGCUCCUAAAAGUGUCCAACAUGCAUAGUUUAGAAGCUUUGGUAAGAAUCAUAAUGAUGAAAUUUCACAAAAAAAAAAACUACUCUGAUAAAUGAGUCAGUAGAAGGUGCAAUCCGAUAUAAAAUAUAUGAUUAUUUCAGUUACUAUGAAUUUGUUCGGACGAAUUUGGCUAAUUAAUUGUCCAUGUGUACAUGUUCAAUCAAGUGGUUAGUCCCUACUUUGGAAAUCAACUUUAUACACUGCUAAAACUGAUGGAAUUAAUUUAAAGUUCUAUGAAGUUCUUUAAAUUUUACUAUCACUGAUUUACUCCCGAGCAUUCUCCAAAAGAACAAGUUCUGCUAGUUAUGAAAACCAUGAGGGAAACUUUUAGAUACCCACUUAACUCAUUAAGUAAACCAACAAAUAAACUGAUUUUUCUUUUCGAGUUUCAACUGGAACCCACUUUCUUGUUGAGCUGCGCCACACAAACACUCUGAAACAUACUAGUUACCACAAUUAUGAAGUAGAAUAAAGCAGCUAAGCCCAAAACAUAACAAUGGAGGAACAUAAGGGCACGUAAUAAGAAUAAAUUUCUUCCAUAAAAGAAAAAGAAUGAAAUUUUUCAGCAAAGAAACCUGUUCUGGGGUCUUCUCAUGAUAACGACUUUGGGAGACACCUUGCGCGAGUAACUCCUUCACCCUGCCGGCAGAAUAGAGUUCAGCCAAGCAGCCAUGUGCUUCAGCAACAAGUGCCGCCCUGAAUGCACAGAGACCGAGCUGAGCCAUGGCUCUGUUGAAAAGUAUCUGAGUUGAAAUGUCCAUGUGCUGGAUAUUAUCUUGCAAGUGACUCAUCAAUAACAAGUCACGGGAUGUUGAAAACUCAUCCAAGAUAGCAUGGUGGUAUAUAUCACAGAGCAUUGCACGGGCCUUGGUGCGUUCAUCCCCAUAUUUAUAUAUGAGAGAAACGAGACUGUCCAUCAAUGUCCUGCUGUUCUCUUCAAAAGCAGGUUUCCUGGGCACAAGCUCUGGAGUUGCAACAAAUGCAGUUGGACCUCUACUCUCCUCAACCACUUUGUUUUCUUCUAUAGACUCUGCCUCACCUUCUCCUUCCGUAAGCUCAGCCAACUUCCUCAUAGCAUCAUACACUCCUUGUGGUUUAUAAUAAAUGAAUUCAACCUGUUUGAGAGCCACUUUCGCAGCACCCUUGUAGUCUCCUGCCCGUUCUAAAUAAUGUUGGACAUUUUGAGCAAGAACCAAAAAUAACGGCUCAUCCCUCAGCCUCUCAACAUACUCACGGGUAUGUGGAUCAAUUACCUGCAAGCUCUUGAAAAACUCUACAUCUAUCCUUUCAACAAAGGCAACCAAGUUUCCCCAGAUCCUUAUCGUCCCCGAGUGGUCUGCUCCUUUCUGGGUCUCAUUUUCAUCUGGUUCCACCAUGUCAUCAACCACAAUGUUUGGGUAUUGGGUCAAAACAUCGAGGAUGGUAAGCAUAUUCUGCACGCACUUUUUCCAAACAUUUAUAGGCAUGUGUCCACUGAGACUUGGAUUAACGUCAAACUGGGCAGACACAACACUAAACAGAAUUUCAAGCUUUUGUGCUGGAGUCUUGGCCACCUUGGUCAAGAAGGUGAGCUGUUCAACCAAUUCAAUCUUUCCAGUCCCCUUUCUACCCCUAGCGGCAACAAUUUCCUUGAACUUCUUGUUGACUGUCUCCCACGUGAUUUGACUUGGAUCCUUGAACUGUUUAUCCAAAAGUUUUUCUUUCUUGCUCAGCAUCUUCUCCCACCCAGUACCGCUUUCCGCUGUCUCAUCCCGACUUUCAUCUUCGUCAUCUUCCUCAUCAGACGCAGCUGCAAUCUUUGUUGGGUCCUCCUCAAACUCCUCUUCAUCAUCCUCUUCUUCCUCUUCUGACUCUUCAUCAUCACCAGCCUCAUCCUCACUCUCGGGAGGAUUUUCCCUGUACUUGUUAAUCAACUCCUCAUACUGCUUGUUAUUCUUUUUCAGUUUCUGUUUCAUCGAAUUCAAGGCUUUAGCAUUACUACUACUCAUCUUCUUCUUUGCCUCCUUAUUGGCCAAGGCCUGACUCAAGAAAUCCUCCAGCAUCACUAGAGCUUUGAUAUAGAGAUUUGGUGCUUUAACCGAUUCUGUAAUGCGCAUGACCUUCUCCAGCUGCUUAUUGAUCUUAUCAAAGCUCUCCUGCAAGCUGACCCAGUCAUUAAUCUUCAUAGCAUUCUUCAUCUGAUCAACGGUAGCAGACAAUUCCUCAAAGCGUUUAUCCUUUGCCGACCGGACAACUCGCUUCUGUCCAUCUGAUUCAUCACUGUCGCUGUCACCAGCUGCAAGGUAUCUUGACCCAGCUGCUGCUACGGUAGUCUCAGCCGGCCCUUCAUCAUCCUCCUGCUCGUAAUCACUCUCCUCUUCGUCCUCCGUUUCACUAUCGCCCUGCAAAUACCGUAGUAAGAAUGAAUUAAAUAACACCUUCCCUAAACCCUUAUAGGUUAUGCAUAAUGAGCCAUGCCCAACAGACUGCCAUAUACAAAAACAAAUCAGUCACUCACAGCACCUUAAUUUUCUAGGCUCACUAAGCAAUUCCUUCUUAACAGUUUAAGAUUAUAUUUCACAUCUUACUGUUUACACAAACAAGUAAAUUGCUCUUCAGCAGAAUAGCUGGUGAAAAGUGUGAACAAAUACACAUUCUCGUGAUUUGUAUCCAAAGGUCACUUAAAUUUUGAAAAAUUUGAUUAUGAAAUUGCAAUUCAAAACAUCCAGAUGCAAGUACAAUGACAUAACAAUAUACUAUGCCUCAAUCAAAAGCUAUCUGGGGUUGGCUAUAUGAAUCAUCACUAUCCAUUUAGCUCUAUUUAGAUCUGAUUCAUUCCAAUAUUCAAUAAUGUAGGAUUAUCUAUCACUAGAGAUCUUAUAAAUUAAUAAAAAAUUAAAUCUUUACCACUGUAAAUUGGUGAAUAGAUUAUUUUAUUCAUCCAAACACAUAAAGAAAAAAACUAAAUCAUUAAUUGAGGUGAAAAAUUCAUUUACUUGAGUCCAAAAACGGGACGCCAUACUUCUUCAAAAAGUUUCUUCGAGAAACGGAGAUAGAAUGACCUGGAAUUACUCAAAAUAAAAAAUAAAAAUAUCAGAUUGAGAAUAAAUCAACAAAUAAAUUUGCCUCUUCAGCGGUUUUACAAACACCAAUUUUGAAGAAGAAAAGAUUCGAACCUGUAAGCUGGAACUGUGGUUUACUUAGAAAGCUAACGAAGAAAGAGGAGAAGGGGGAAUGGAAUUUUACAGUAAAAACCCUAGAGAAUGAUAAGGGUUGGUCCGACUCGUCUUUUGGGCUUCUAUGGGUUGAGAAUAUAAAGUCACUAAUCGAACAAGGCCACGGCCCAAUGUACUUCAUUUUUGGACGAAAAUCACUUUUAGCCUCAACAUUUAAAAUGGUAGCCACAAAAGAAUAAUAUUUUUGUAUAUAUCAUACAGAAAUACACAUUUUUUUAGCUACUAUUUUAAGAACGGUAUAUUCUCUUCGUUUUUCUCCUUCCUUUGAUGAAUACGAAUAGGCGGAAAACUUUUUUAAAAUAAAACUUGGCAUGAAUUAUUAAUUGUAACCUUAAAUUAUUUGAGACCUAAUUACCCCCUGAACUGGUUAUUUGAUAAUCGUUACCCCUGAACAUUAUUGGAGCAAAGACCAUGAAUAUACUCCCUUUUAUUUGUAUUAAUUUAUUCUAUAAAUAUAAUGUCUAUUUAUUUUAACUAUUUAUUUAUUCUUUUUCGGGCCAAAUUUGUGAAUAAUUUGGCCAGAACUCCAUACCUUAGCCAAAUAAAAAAUUUAUAGCUAAAAUAAUAGAGUACCAAAUGAAAAUUUCUUGUUAUUUUUUCUUUAGAUAUAAUGGCUAAGUAUUUUAAUUGUGUAUUUUUUAUUUUCGAAUCAAACUAGUAAAAAAACUUGGGUGCAGCUCCACUAUUAUUUAUCAAAUGUAAAUAAUUAUUGCCAAAAUAAUAAAGUUGCAAUUGUGUACUUCAUUUUUAUUUCUAUUUUAUAUGCUAUAGCUAUUUAUUUUAACUGUGUAUUUUUUGGGCAAAAUUUGUAAUAAGAAAUACUUGCUUAGAGCUCCAUAAUUUUUAGCUAAAUAAAAAGUUUAAGCCUAAAUAAUAAAGUUCAAAAUAUGUAUUUUAUAUCAUUUUUAGAUGUUAUGACUAUUUAUUUUAUUAGCGUAUUUCUUCUUUUUGAAGAUAAAUUUAAAAAAAAAUUAACUGAAGCUUCAUCAUUUUUAUCUAAAUAAAAAAAAGCAUAAGUACUGGAGUUCUAGCUAAAUUAUAUUACAAAUUUUAUUCGAAAAAGAUGAUCUAAGAAAUUAAUACAGUUAAAAGGUAAUAUAUAUNNNNNNNNNNNNNNNNNNNNNNNNNNNNNNNNNNNNNNNNNNNNNNNNNNNNNNNNNNNNNNNNNNNNNNNNNNNNNNNNNNNNNNNNNNNNNNNNNNNNNNNNNNNNNNNNNNNNNNNNNNNNNNNNNNNNNNNNNNNNNNNNNNNNNNNNNNNNNNNNNNNNNNNNNNNNNNNNNNNNNNNNNNNNNNNNNNNNNNNNNNNNNNNNNNNNNNAACAUGAAAUAGAUUCUUACACUUAACAAAAGAAAAACUACCAAUCAAACUAUAAUUAAAGGUAAAGAACUAUACUAAAAGUGCAAACGAUUAACAUUUAUUAUAAAAAUUUUAAAACUUUGUAUAAAAGUUACAUAUAUAUAGGUGUAAUAAUAAAUACUCCUAUAUUCGGUUUGAUUCGGGUUUUUUUAUUAAAAUCAAAACCAAACCAAAUUUGAUCGUUUUUUAAAUUUCAAAACCAAACCAAACCAAAACGUAUCAGGUUUUUUGGUCGGUUUGGUUUGAUUUUCGGUUUGGUUCGAUUUUUCGGAUUUUUAUGAACACCCCUAGUAAUAGCUAUUGAAUACCCAAGUUCAUGGGGUAAGUAAUUAAGAAUACAAAUAGUUUAAGGGUAUAACUAGGGGUGGCAAACGGUCUGGUCGGAAAUGAUAUGGACAGGUUAAAAAUGGGUAAUGCAAAAAUAAAUAAAUAAAUUAUUUGGCCCGAUCCAUAUUUAAUACGGAUAGAAAACGGGUAAAUCGACGGAUAGUAUGGAUAUCCAUAUUAUCCAUAGCUUCUUAAAUAUGAUCGCUUUAGGGAGAAUUUCUAGUCUCUCAAACUUGAGUAACUCCCAGUUUAUCUCUUUACAAAUAUAAAAGUUAAACUCAUUAGUUAUCUAUUGGUUAUCCAUUUUCUAAGUGGCUAAUAUAGUUCUUGUCCAUACUUGACCCGCUUUUAAAAAGUUCAUUAUCCAACCCAUUUUUUAGGGAAUUUUUUUUUCUUAUACAAUAUUUCAAAAUUAUUACCAAAGUUGUCCUAAAUUUGUGUGUUACCCGUUAUAACUAUCGUUUUCAUACAGUUCAUUUAUAAUCCAUUAUUAGUGUCUUAAAUUAGGGGAUUUAGUGACACCCUUUUUUUCCUCCUCUCCUCUUUUUCUAUUCUCUACCGCCUCUCUCUACCCAAAGCUCUCUUAAUUGAGUUCCAGACUCGGUACUAGACUAAAUUUUAAACGACCAUUCUCCCUACAAUAAGACAAUAACCAUUAUGUCACGUCCUUAGUCUCAAAACUAAGCGCACAUGUGGUACUUGACAACUUGCUCACGUUCUUAAUCAUCCUAAGAUAUUAGAGAUCGCUAAGGGAAUGAUGAACACAAGAUAAUUGCUAAAGAAAGCUUUGUAUUAGAGAGAGAACUAGAAUAGUUUGCUUCAUGUAUUACAAAUGAAUGACCCCCUUUAUAUACUAGUCUGCUAGGGGCUAGUGUAUAAAUAUUAAUUGUUAAUCAAGUCCUUAGUAUUUACAAGAUAAAGGUUUUCUCUAUAAUUCUCUACAAGCCUAGAAGAUUCCAAGAACUUUCCUAGAAAAUUCAUAGGGAUCUAGGGUCUUCCAAAGGAAAUGUGCAUACUUCUCUAGAAUCUUCUCAUAAAUGCUAGUCUUCCUCCCAUUAAAGCUUUCAUGCGGUAUUAGUAUAUUCCAAAUAGUGCAUAUAUGGCAUGAUGACAUGGCGGGUCAUCACAAUCUCCCCCACCUAAUGUUGCCAUGAUCAUGGUGCAAUGUUGUGCAUAAACUCUCGGAUCUUAUCUUUGAAUUGCCAUAAGUCUUCAUAUCAUUCCUACGUAGAUUCCUCCGGUGAUUACCACCCCUUCCAAUGGACAAGGAAAUAGCGGUGGCUUUCUACCCUUGUUUUCGCCUGGCCUUGGUAAUCAAUGAUAGCCUCAAUCUCCCCAUCAUGUGAGGCGGUGAUAGUAAUUGGCGCUCGACUUGAUUGACCCCUACUCGAAUCAUCAUUGUCUUUAUGAUAUGGCUUAAGUACACUGGCAUGGAAGAUAGGGUAUAUCUUAAGAUACGAUGGCAUGUCAAGCUUGUAUGAGAUCUUGCCUACCUUGGUGAAGAUCUUAAAUGGUCCCUCAUACUUGUGAGUCAAAUUUUGAUGCAUGCCCCGUAGUGCCUUGAAUUGUUUUGGGUUAAUCUUUACCAUGACCAUGUCCCCAACUCCAGAGUCUGUGGGAUGCUGCUUACGGUCUGCAAACUUCUUCAUCUUCUUAACUGUCUUGUCCAAGUAAGACUCAUAAAUGUCAAGCUGCUCCUCUCAUCCUCUGGCCAUAUAAUAAGCCCCCAAAGUCUUUCUCUCGAACAUGGCUGGUAAUGAAUGUGGAGUUUCUGCUUGUUGACCUAUGGCUAGCUUAAAUGGUGUCUGCCCCGUGGACUCACUCUGCUGCAAUUAUAAGAGAAUUGAGUGAUGUCCAUAAUUGCUCAAUCUUUUGAUGUGUGCACAUAUAAUGCCUCAAGUAGCAUUCCAGUAAGGCAUUGACCUGUUCCGUCUGUCCAUCCGUCUAUGGGCGAAAACUAGUGGAAAAUUGCAGUUCCAUGCUAAGUAUGUCGAACAACUCUCUCCAAAAAUUCCCAGUGAAGUGGGGAUCUCGAUCACUGAUGAUAUGCCCUGGUAAGCCUAAAUACUUCACCACGUUCUUAAAAAUUACCUUGGCGGCUUCCUUGGCUAUGAAACCUGGAGAGGCAGCCACCGUAAUAGUACCAUAAUUGUUGGACUUCAGUAGACAAGUGAUAAAGUCCUUAGUCGCGCUCUCCCAUGGACACUCUGCAACUAGUAGUGGCUCCAAAAGCCCUCUAGGCCGUUGUUGUUCAACCUUGUCCUGUUGACAGACAAGACAUGUCUAUACAUAACACUCUAUGUCAUCUCACAUGCAUGACCAAUAGUAGACUGACUCAACCAUCGCCCUAGUGUGACGUUGACCUGGAUGACCGGCCCACAUUGUGUCAUGACUCUCACUUAUGAUCCACCGUCUAAUAUCUCCAAACUUAGGUAUGUUGAUUGACCGACCCAUGGUAAGAAAUGGGCCAUCUUCUACCUAAAAACGCCUCGUCUUACCCUGGGUGGCUAACUUCAUAAGUUGUUUGGCUACCGGAUCAUAUUUCAUGCCUUUUUUUAUAGCCUCACGAAUCUCCUAACUCUAAAGUGAUGGCAGCAAGCUCGUCUUUUCGGCUCAAGGCAUCAACUACAACAUUACCUUUGACCCACUUAUACUCCAACACAUAAUCAAACUCGACAUAGAAAUCCUGCCACCUACCAUGUUUUGGUGUGAGCUUCUUCUGCGUUUGAAGUAGCUAGUAGCCAUAUUGUUGGUCUUGACCACAAACCUCGCCCCAAGCAAAUAAUGUCACCAUGUACGAAGGCAAUGCAUAAUGGCAGUCAUCUACUUCUCUUGCACGGUGUAAUGAAGCUCCGUCUCGUUCAACUUGCGACUCUCGAAUGAUAUGGGAUUCUUAUCUUGCAUCAAGACACCCUCAAUGGAAAAAUUUGAGGCAUUUGUAUGCAUCUUAAAUGUCUUGGCAAAGUCAGGUAAUACCAAGAAUGUCCCAUCUAUUACAACUGCCUUAAGGCCUUCAAAUCCUUUUUACAAUACUUCGUCCAAACUCACGGCUUGUUCAUCUUUAACGACUCAGUCAAUAGUGCCGCCUUAGCUAAGUAGUCAUUGAUGAACCGCGAUAAUAGUUAACAAAACCAAGAAAGAAUCUCAACUCGGGUACCUUGGUAGGUGCUUCCCACUCCUGUAUGGCAUGUACCUUAGCCUCGUCCAUCCAUAACUUACCACUGCUAAUUACAUGGCCCAAGAAGCGCACCUUUGAUUGUGAAAACUUGCAUUUCUCCCUCUUGAUGUAUGGUUCGUUUUCCUGCAAGACUUGGAAGACCUUCCUUAAGUGCACCAUGUGCUCCUCCAAGGUAUUACUCUAGAUGACUAUGUCGUCUAGGUACACUACUAUGAACUGAUCAAGGUAGGGAUGACAAAUCUUGUUCAUAAAGGUGCAAAAUGUGGCUGGUGCAUUGAUUAAGCUGAAGGGCAUCACCAACCACUCAAAGGCUCCAUAUCUCAUCAGACAUGUUGUCUUCGACUCAUCCCCUUUUGCAAUGCGAACCUGGAAAUAGCCAGUGCGAAGAUACACCUUGGUAAAGUACUUGGCUUGCCCAAGUCGGCAAUGAGCGGGAUCGGGUACUUAUUCUUCACUGUGAGCUUAUUAAGUACCCGGUAUUUUAUGCAUAAGCACAACGAUCCAUCCUUCUUCGAUGGGCAGAUAUGACCAGCAUCCAAUAACUCCUUCAAUUGUUUCCUAAGCUUUUCCAGCUCGGGCGGGUUCCAUACGAUAUGGGGAAAAUGCGGGUGUCUUGGCCCUUGACUCCAACUCAAUUUUAUGAUCUGCUUCUCGCCUAGGAGGCAAGUGCUUAGGUAGCACCUCGGUCAUGACAUAUUUGUUCUUCUCAAGCAACUUCUCUAUGCAAGGUGGCAGUGUCUCCUGAAAAUUCUUCUCUUCCUCCAGACUUACAAUGGUUGCCAUGAACAUCGGCUCCCCCUUUUUGAGCCCCUUAAAAAGCUACAUAGCUGAAAGUUGUGCUUGGCUCUAUCCAUGUGGCAUAGUUACUAUAGGCACCAUGCUAGCUUCUUCUCUCUCCAUAACCAAGAGACUUUGGAGGUAGGGGUCGAUCAAUGUAUGACAAUGUCUAAAGAACUCUUGCCUUGUAUGAUGUCAAAGAUAUCCAUAGCGGUUAUGGUAAAGUUUUUCACACCUUUACAACUUUCCAAUUUGACACCAUCUCCGUUAGCUACCCCAUGGGCGUUUUGUACCUCGGGUUUACGGUUUUGAUGCGAGAGUUAGUUGGAGCGAGCUUCAACUCUAGUCUUUUUGUUGCAGCCUCGGUAAGGAAAAAAUGAGUCACUCCAAUAUCCAAUUGCAUGAGCGAGCUUAUUGUUGAUAGUCAAAUCCACAUAAUGAUUGGUAUUCCCGGUAGGUUGGAUAACUUCCUUCGUGACAACAUCACAUAAUUCGAUCAUACCCAACAGUGCGGUUCCUAAACUCUCUCCUUCUGGAUACUCUUUCUGUUCACAGACCAUGGAACUGAGGCUAUUUAGGUCGGGACAAUUCCUGGAGCCGUGCAACCCUCUGCAUAUGAUGCAUCUCUUCUUCUCGGUAUAGCCCUGGCGACCGCUCAACUUUUUGGAAUCUUGAGUCUUAGAGUAUUGUUGUUGUAUCUCUUUGCCUUUGCCAUGGUCUCACCUACCUUUGACUCAUUGCCUUUGCCUUUGUCAUGCUUAUCAUGCCUAAAAUCCAUCAAUGAUUCAGCCUCUACUAUGGCUUGGUCUAUAUCUGCAACUUUUAGGCAUUGCAACUCCUGCUUAGCCCAAUUUUGCAACCCGUCCAUGAAGUGGAACAACAAGUCAUUAUUGGUCAGGUUAGGCAUUUGAAUCAUAAAGGUGGUGAACUCCUUGACAUAUUCAUGUAUGUUCCAUAUUUGCUUCAACUCCCUAAGCUUGCGCCUUGCCUCGUACAAGAUAUUAUUUGGAAAGAACUAUCGCUUGAACUAAUUCCACGUGCUAAUAGUGCAUAGACCUUUAUCUAUAUCGGCCAUCUUCCUUCUCCACCAUAGCAUGGCAGUCUCUGAGAGGUACAACACUAUAGUGUUGGUCUUGGCCUCGCCAUCCUCACUUUGUCGUGCUAGAAGUAGUUUUCCAAGUGCCAAAGGAAGUGUCACGACCCAAAACCCAACUAGUCAUGAUGGCACCUAAUCCAACCCGCUAGGUAAGCCAAUUAACAACUGACCAAUUCCAAUGAAAUUAAUAAGACAAUUAACAUAAAAGAAAAUCUCUAAAGCUGAUACAUUUCCCAAGGACUGGUAGUACAAAUAAUGAGCUUCUAAGAUUAGAAUAUACAAAGCUGGUAUGAAAUAAAUACAUCUGUUCGAAAUGUAUAUAAAUAGAGUUUUAUGAAUCUAAGGCUACCAUGAACAAGAGACUGCUACAACCGGAAUGCAGGUACAUCUUUAAAUCCAGCUCCCGUAGAGCAUAGCAACGUCAGCAUCCAACAUCUGCACGCAAGGUGCAGAAGGGUAGUAUGAGUACAACCGACCCCAUUUAUUGAGUAAGUAACAAACCUAACCUUAGAUUGAAAGUAGUGACGAGCUGGAAUAAAGGUCGGGUCCAACACCAAUAGCCAACAAUAGUUCGUAACAACAAAAAGCAAGUAACAAAAAGAAGCAACUCAGGGAUAAAAUGCUCAACUUUCUCAUAGCUUCCCGAAAAAUAGUUCCGCUUUUCAAGUAUAUCAGUGAAAAAUCCAAAUCCUUUAUCGAAAUCGUCGAAAAUACAAGUAAGUUUGAAAACUAUAAUUUUCCCCAAAAAUCCUUUCAACAAUGAAUAAGAUGUCUCAUUUUUCUUUCCAGAUAGUAAGUGUAAAAUACCUCUCUAUGCCCGUAUAUCAAUAUGUGUGAGAAGUCAUAAAUGACGUGAUACCGUACAACAUGAAGAAAAUGUAUCUCUAUGCAUGUAUGUCAUGUGUGCAUGUGAAUGCCAUGUAUCUCAGAGAUGAAUCGUGUACUCAUACUCUCAGAUUACUCAAUCUCACUGCCUCACACUUUAUCCUCAUCAUGCUCAAUGACUCAGUACUGUAUAUGGCCAAUCCGGCCCAGGAAAGAUCCAUCCCAGAAUAUAUAUAUCAAUUGACCAACAAUCGCUCAGUACUAAGUAGGGCCCAAUCCAGCCCGUAGGGAAGAUCCAUUCGCAGGUAUAUAAAUUCUUCAGACAAGAUCCAUAUCCAGGGAAGAUCCAUCCCUCAAUAUAAUCAACUAUGCUUACCGAGGGUGUGUGCAGACUUAGGAGGGGCUCUUUUAGCCCAAGCGCUAUAUCAAGCCAAUCAUGGCACAAAUCAAUAUAACCUGUUGCGGCGUUCAGCUCGAUUCCAUAAUAUGACUCACACUCAGGCCCUCAACCUUACUUAGUCAUCAAUAUCUCCAGUCUCUCUCUCUCUCUCUCACGGGCUCACAAUGUCAUCAAACUAACCCGAAAAUGAUGAUAUGAUGUAUCAAUAAAUAACAAUAGAGAUUGAGAUAUGAUAUGCAUAUGAAUGAGUAUGAAUAAGUAUGUAAUGCAUUGAAAGCAGAUAACUCAACAACAUAAAUGACCUCAGUGGGUCCUAACAGGAUAAAUAUGUAGCCUAGAUAUGGUUUCUAACAUGGAUCACAACUCAAUAGUUCAAGUACGUAGAAAUUUCAUGGUUACAGAUAAGAUUAGGUAACUACACAGUGCCACAGAAAUAACGGGGUUACAAUUUAUAUGGUGCACACUCACACGCCCGUAACCUAGCAUGUGUGUCACCUCAACACCAAUCACAUAAAAUGUAAUUCAAGGUUUCAUACCCUCAGCAUCAAGUUUAGAAGUAUUACAUACCUCGAACAAGCUAAUUCCAACACCGAGCAAGCUAAGCGAUGCUCUAAAAUGCCAUCUUUCAUGAUCCAACCUACGAACGGCUCAAAACUAACCAAAAACAACUCAAAUACAUCAAACAAUGCUAAAGGAACCAAUUCCAAUCGACAAAGGUCAAAUCUUGAAUCAAAAACCCAAAAUUGGCCAAAAAGUCCAACCCGGGCCGACGCCUCGGAACUUGGCAAAACUCAUAAAAUCCGACAACUCACUCAAUUACGAGUCCAACCAUACUAGUUUUACUCAAAUCUGACUCCAAAUCGGUGUUCAAAACUCGAAAAUUCACAUUAUGAAACUUUAGGCUAAAACCUCCAAUUUCUCUUUUGGAACCUACUAUCAAAUGCCGAAAAUGAAGAUAGAUUCAUGUAGGGGUGUUCACGGUUUGACGGAAAACCGAUCCAAACCGAAAACCGAACUAAACCGAUUAAGUAAACCGAUUUUUUUUUAAUUUGGAUUGGUUUUGGUUUUAAAUUUUAAAAACCGAUAAUAUUUGGUUUGGUUUUGGUUCUAUUUUAAAAGACCGAAAAAUAAACCGAACCAAACCGAUUAAUUAUAUAUAAAAUUUAAUAAUUAUUUGUAUACAAUAUAAUAUCUUUUUGUAAAUAAUUUUAAUUUUUUUUUAAAUUUUGGUUUAUCCUGUUAUAUCUUAAAAGAUUGUCUAAGCCCAAAACAAUAGGAUUCGACUAAUUUUCUUUUCAUUAAUAGACUCUAAUUCUCUAACCCUCCGCACAUACUUUUGCCUAAUAGAAGAGUUAAAAAACCACCACAAGAGUAAAGAAAGCACAUUCAAAUUGCAAGACAACAAUGGCUAAAGCUUGAGAAAGCAAGAUUUUAGUUUAUUUUUUGUUCAUUCUUUUCAUAUAAACAGGUAAAUAAACUUUUAGUUCUGAAAGAAAUAUAUAAAAAAGCGUAAAUUUAGCAAAGUAUUUUCAAAUUGUUGUCUAGCGUUGUUUUACUAUUAUCGACUUAUCAUUAGCUUACUAAGAACCGAAAAACCGAACCAAACCAACAACAAUCAAACCUAUGGUUUAUAUUUAAUUUGGUUUGGUUUUGGUUUUAAAAUUUUAAAAACCGAUUAAACUAGUUUGGUUUUGGUUUUAAUCAAAAACCGACCAAACCGAACCGUUAACACCCCUAGAUUCAUGAUAUAAAAUCAAAAAUGAGUAUAGAACACUUUCCCCCAUCCACAUAGUAAAAAUUUCUUCAAGAAUCGCCUCAAUCCGAGCUCUAUAGCUCCCAAAAUGAAGAAAGAACCAAAACCCUCAAUAAUAUACCUUCUGCCCAGCGAUUCUGCAUUUGCGGACAAGAGGUCGCAUCUGCGACCUUCGCUUUUGCGGGAAAAAGGCUCGCAUUUGCGAGACAGGCCGCUUCUGUGAUGGCUAUGGUCGCAUCAACGAUCACGCUUCAGCGUCUGAAGUACCACUUUUGCGAAGACUCUCCAGCCAGCUAUCCCUCGCUUCUGCGACUGCUUUGUCGCUUCUGCGACCAUCGCACCUGCACAAAACCAGUUGCAGGUGCUGUCACACCAGAACCAGCAGCUCCUCAGCAAUUAAAACAUGAAGAAAAAUAAUCCGAAAUUAAUCCAAUACACGCCCGAGCCCCUCGGAACCCCGUCCGAGUAUACCAACAAGUCCCAUAACAUAACACGGACCUACUCGAGGCCUCAAAACACACAUAACAAUAUCGAAAUGACGAAUCACACCUAAAUUCAAACUUGUUGAACUUUGAACUUUUCAACUUCAAUAAUUUGUGCCGAAACAUAGCAAAUCAAUCCGGAAUGAAUCCAAAUUCUGCAAACAAGUCCUAAAUGACAAAAAGAAGCUAUUCCCAUUCCCGGAACCACAAUCCAAAUCCCAUAACAAAAAGUCCACUCCCGGAUAAACUUUUUAAAAAUCCAACUUUUACCAUUUCAAGUCAAAUUCAACUACGGACCUACAAAUCACAAUCCAGAUGCGCUCCUAAAUCCAAAAUACCCAACGGAUCUAACAGAACUAUCAAAACCCCAAUCCGGGGUCAAAUACUAAAAAGUCAAACUUGGUCAAUUCUUUCAAUUCAAAGCUUCCUAGUUGAGAAUCCUUAUACCAAAUCAAUUUCGAAGAACCUGCAAACCAAAACCGACGAUUCACACGAGUCAUAAUACAUAGAAAGAUGCUACUCAAGACUUCAAAUAGCUUAACGGGAUGAAAAUAUUCAAAACGAUUGGCCGGGUCGUUAUAGGAAGUUCUCCACUUCUUGUGCAUCACGAACACCUUUGAACACCCGGGUUUUGAGAGCCUCGAUCUUGGACUCCCUCGUAACCACAACAUUGUUUCCUGCCUCAGUUAUGCCAGCAUCGAUAAGCCUCUCGAGUGACUCUAUAUUUGCCUUCAUAGCAUCGAUAUUACUCAAAGCAUCCAUGAGUCUGCACUCCAAGGCAGUGAUGGUUUGUCUUAGUUCCACCUCAGUCUGUGUACGUCCCUCCAAGUCAUUUUAGAUACUCUCAAACUUAUUAAAAUUGUGCCCCUCAAGAACGUUAAGGGUGCCUUCCACCUUUCCCUUUGGCCAAAAAUCUCCACGGCAUCUAUUCCCGUGUUCACCUUCAUAACCUACUCGGUACCGAGCGAGACAUUCUCGGGCAGGACUUCCACUUCAUCCUUGCUUGCCUCAGUGGUAGAUGGUUUUUGAGAUGUAAACCAUUCGUUUGACACAACCUCAGGCGGCACCUCCUGGCUCUUAUUGGUGACAUCCUCUUUUUGUUACAACCCUUCUUGCUAGCAACAUCCUGGAUGACGUAGGCUUGGGUAUUGGCAGUGUUAAUUUCUCUGUCGUUCACUAUUCCCUUAGUUGCAAUCUGGCUAUGAUACCACGUUGUCACGUUUUUAGUCUUAAAACUAACCGCACAUGUGGCACUUGACAAUUUCUCACGUUCUUGCACAAAUUGCUCACGAUCUUGCUAUGCCAAGUCAGCCCAAGAUAUUAAGAAUUUCUAAAGGAAUGAUAUAAAGAACACAAGAGAAUUGCUAAAGAAGCUUUGUAUUAGAGAGAACUUGAAUUGUUUGUUUGAUGAAUUACAAAUGAAUGACCCCAUUUAUAUACUACUCUCCUAGGGGAUAGUGUAUAAAUAUUAAUUAAGUCCUUAAUAUUUACAAGAUAAGAGUUUUCUCUAGAAUUCUCAACAAGCCUAGAAGAUUUUAAGGAAUUUCCUAGUAAAUCCAUAGGGAUCUAGGGUCUUUCAAAGGAAAUGUUCAUAUACUUUUCUAGAAUUUUCUCACAAAUGCUAGAUUUCCUCUGAUGUAAGCUCCAUGUGGCACUAAAUAUAUGUCAAAUGGUGUCUACGUGGCAUGAUGACAUGGGGGUCAUCACAAUAAUCUCAAAUAUUCCUACUGCUGAAUAUCAUGCUCAGAAAACGACUUCUCACAUAUAAAUACUAGUACUGCAUAUUUUAUUCCAAUAUGAAAGUGCUUCCAAGACAUUUUAUCUUCUUACUAAUAUUUGGACACAUGCGUUGCGCGUGUAUUCUGUGUCAAUGAGAAUAAAAUUUCAAAAAAGACCUAAGAAUAUUCAUAAAUAUAUUUGAUUUACAAAAUAACUUGAAAAUGAUAUACUUUAAUUGUAUUUAGCUAAUUCAAUAUAAGAAACGUAAAUGGUUCAAAAAUACCCCUAAACUUCACGACCAGGAGCAAAUAUACCCUUCGUUAAAAGUUGGGCCUCUUCAUACCCUUGUCGUUACUCAACUGAAGCACAAAUACCUUUUACCCAAACGACUGACCACUAAAAGAUAAUUAAACUUAUUAUUCAACAUCUUUUUUGCCACAUAGACUUAGUUACCAGUUAUUAAACCCUUACCCUCGUUUGUUUCUCCCCCACAAAAUCAAAAGCCCCUUUAUCAUUUUUUCCAAUUUCUGCUGCUAGGGUUCCCGAACUAAGGAGGCUUCCCACGAGAUUUCUAUAAGAGAUUCAGUUAUUCCAUGAAGGUUAGUAGCUUUUAUACUAAUAGAUUGUUGAAAAUAUUUUUAUUUGAGUGGGGGUCGGGUUGUAAAAUUGUUGAUUAAAUCAUAAUCUAAUUUAUUAUUUGCAUUUUUAGAUCAAUUGUCAUUUAAAAAAAGAAAAGAAUUAUUUUUUCGAACAACCAAAUAUAGUGAGAUUGUUAUGUAAUUUCUCAUUUCUAUUUUUCCUUUGUUACUUUUUAAGUUCCUCCUUUUCGUCAAUACUCCACUUUUCCUUUUUGCCACUUAUUCAUUCUUGCCAUAUUCUUUUAUUUUCUUUCUUUGAGUUUAAAUUAUUUACUUUAGCAAAUUCUAACAGCCAUUUCUCACUAGCACUACUCUCUGUCGUUGUACAAAGGUACUGUUAGGUGUUUGCCAUAUUUUUCUUAUUAUAUUUGGUUUUCCUUUUUAUUAAAGGAAAUGGAAACAUGUUUACCUUAUUAGGUUUUUCUUCUUAUAGAAGGAAAUUACAAAUCUCUCAUAUUUGGCUAGUCCUUUUUCUUAUAGGAAAAUGUUUGGAGUUCUAUAAAUUGAAGCUUUGUCUUUCUCAUUUAGUAGCAUCCACAAUGUAGCCAUAUGGGGCUUGAGAAUCAUGUUUAGGGGGAGAACUUUAUGGGAUAAGUGUUAGUGUGUUACUUGUGUUUGCCUCUUCAUGAGAUUGUUCUCUCGAUAUUUUGUACUCUCUUUUAUAUAGUGGAUUGCUCAUCUCCGCCGUGGAUGUAGGUCAGUUGACCGAACCACGUUAUAUGUUUGUGUCUCUUUUGGUAGAUUACUUUUUUGUUAUCUGAUUUAUCGUCGUUGAGGGUUUACUUUACUAGCUUUCGCAUGAUACCUGAUUUUUUCGGUCCUAACAAGUGGUAUCAGAGCGAGGUUCAAGACAGGUUCAUUUUGGCAGGUUCAGUUCUAACCGCAACAUAUUUGACAAUAAUCGUGAUUUUUGUCUUUGAAAUUUGACCAGUGUGCUAUGCACGUUGAGACAAACUUUGUGGUGGAGAUUUGGAGAUGCAACCUGUUGAAGGCUAUGUGAAUAAGGUGGGUCAAGUUUAUUUUAUCAGAAAAUUAAGGCCAAAGGGAAAAUUGUUAGGUGUUUGUCCAGAUUUUCUUACCAUAAUUGGUUUUCCUAUCUCAUGAAGGAAAGGACAAUAUAGUUACCAUAAUUGGGAUUUUCUUUUCCUAGAAGGAAAAUAUAAUUCUUCCAUAUUUGGAUAAUCCCUUUUCUUGUAAGAAAAAGUUUCGAGUUCAAUAAAUUGAAGAUCUGUCCUUCUCAUUUAGCAACAUCCACGAUGUAGCCAUAUGGGAUUUGAGAGACGUGUUUAGGAGGAGAACUUUACGGGACAAGUGUUAGUGUGUCACUUGUGUUUGCCUCUUCGUGAGGUUGUUCUCUCGAUAUUUUGUGCUCUCUUUUAUAUAGUGGAUUGCUCAUCUCCGUCGUGGAUGUAGGUCAGUUGACCGAAUCACGUUAUAUGUUUGUGUCUCUUUUGUUAUCUAAUUGUCGCUGAAGGUUUGUUUAACUAGCUUCCGCAUGACGACUGAACUUUUCGAUCCUAACAGGUACUCCUCUAGCCACUUUAUUAUCUCAUCUAUAAUCAUUUUUCUUAUUUACAGUUGCAGGAAUUAUUUAUGCGAUGAAUAAUCUUCUGAAGAUUGUUAUACUAUAGUAAAUUAUAUAAUUAACAUAUGAAUUGCCAACAACGGAUAAUAUGUAUGUUAUAAUACAUAGUUGCAAGAAGACACCUUUCUCUUUAGAUAUGUUUAUCCGUAAAUCGUUGUUAAUAUACAUAUUCUCAAUCCGCAUCAUAUUCCACAUAAAUUACACGUAAGGUAUAUAUAUGUGCAUGAUGGUAGUAAUCCAUAUCUAGAACCUAGUGGUCCUUGCGGACAAAUGUACUCUUCCAUUAUAAGUCAAUCACAGUAACGCAUAGAUAUACGGUGUCAUUUUCAUGUGAAAAAAACAUGUUGAUCCUGAUAUUUAUAACAAACAAAUGAAUGUAAACCAUAUUUUUCUUAUAUAAACACAUAGUGACUUAGCCAUGGUCAAGUAAUAUGCAUUCACGCUUCAAUUUAUAACUCUUCUGAUUAAAUUGUUAAUACAUGAAUUGAUUCAUCUUGAUAGACGAUAUUUAAAGCAAAUGAUUGAAAAAGAUGGCUAAUUUAUAGAUUCACUUAAACAUAGUCAAAUAUUAUAAGAUUCAUAUGUCAUAAGCUUGUAAUUUCAAAUGGAUACAAUUCGAGAAACAGAGCAAAUGCUUAGCAAUGUUCUAAGUAGUUGGUAAGAAAUUCAUGUGAGAUAAUUAAGAAACUCAGCAGCAGUUGCAACAGCACCUCCUGUAAUGGCAUCCAUCACAAUCUUGUCGCGAUUGUUGUUGCUUGCAGCAGAUAUGAGAGCUCCAGUCAAUGCACCCCCAAUCAUUGCAUUCUUCUGCAAACAGAUUGAAGAAAAAUCAAAAGAUAGACGUUUGUUCAAGAAGAGAACAUUCAAAUUUUCAAUCCUCUUUCACCAGGAUCCUUGAGGGGAAUACAAGCCACGAUUAAAUUACACAACUCUUAACAAAAACCAUUGCAAUUUCUCUAUCGUGAUUAUCAUAUUAAAGAUUUUGCUGCAAUGUUUAUCACUCAUAACCUGAGUAAAACCCCAUAUACUGAUGCUACAUCGCCUGAAUUACCUUCCUUUUUCCUUUGCAAUAUUAGAACCAUAAAGCUGGUUUCAUCAGACAAGAUACAACAGGAAGUUUGUAUACAUGUAAGACCUACAUAAAGUUCGAUUCAAGGAGCUUUAACAUAACUAAAAUCCCAAUUCCAGAUGCAAAUAUAAAUUGCUAGUCUUCAUCAAGGAUGCUUUAGUAAAACCGGUAUUCAAUGCAGUAACCUCACUAAUGUUGGCUUCCACUGGUAAAUGGGAGACUCAGCAUUCACAAUCUACCACUGGUGGCAGUUGGGGGAUUGCACAUCUCAGAGGUUGGAAAUCUUUAAUCGAGCAUUGUUCAGAAAAUGGCUAUGGAAAUUUGCAAUAAAAAAGCGGACCAUCCGGAUGAAGGUUAACUACAACAACAAAAAAUCCAGUAUAAUCCCACAAGUGGGGUCUAGGGAGGGUAAUAUGUACGCAGACCUUACCCCUACAUUAUGAAGGUAGAGAGACUGUUUCUGAUAGACCAUCGGCUCAACGAACAGUAAAAAUAAAGGAACAAAUAAUAGCAAUAACAAGGUAAUAGAAUAACGGAAGCGAAUAAAACGACACGUAAUAAUAAAGAACCAGGAAUAAGAAAAUAUAAAAAUAGUACUACUACUACUACUACUACUACUACUACUACUACUACUGAUAAGACUAGGAGAAACUCACGACUACCUGUCAACCUUCAACCCUAAGUCUCGACCUCCACAUUGUUGGGAAUAAACCCCCUACAAAAUAAUAUUCACGGUAAUAAAAGCGGAAUAAUAACGUAGCACCGAGAUACGGUAAUUAACAAGAAUAAAAGAGUAACAAUGACACCAAGAUUUUUACGUGGAAAACCCUUUUGAAUAAGGGAAAAAACCACGACCCUGAGAAGAGCAACUGAUAUCACUAUAGCAAGAAAUUUUACACUUUGUAGGUCCGAGUAAAAUACUCAAAAGACCACUGCAACACUCACAAGAAAUAACCCUCUUUUGAUAUUCCCACCUCACUACAAUAUCACACACUCUCUAUUUUUCUCACAGACUAUUUUCUUAUACCCUAUCUGUGAAACCUCACUCUUUCUUUCUAACUCUCACAUAUAUUUUCCCUCUGAGAUUGGUGUGUCGAGAUGAGAGCUGAAGCUCUCCUUUUAUAGGCAGAGCCUCACUCUCUCACGCCUACUACAUUUGACAUUUUCUACCGCAGAUCUGCUAUGCCUACCGAAUUUGACAAAUGCAAAAGAUAUGAUGGCAGCCAACUUUGAAAACAAUCAAUAAGGAAGAAAAGUCUUCCUUAAUUAAUGGGAUGGACCCCACAAAUCUCACCCUCCAGUCUCAUUCACUUGAAGGAGGUAGCACCGAAGAUUCUAGUUUGAGCGCAUGCCGACAAGUUCUUUGCAAAGUUCGAACUUAUCUCUUGGUACUACCUUGGUUAGCAUAUCCGCAGGAUUUUCACUCAUGUGAAUCUUUUUGACCCGUAAAGAUUCGUUCUCCACCUGCUCACGAAUCCAAUGAUAUCUCACAUCUAUAUGCUUUGUUCUUGCAUGGUACAUGGAGUUCUUGCUCAAGUCUAUUGCACUUUGACUGUCACAAUAGACAACAUACUCCUUUUGAUGCAAUUCCAGCUCUUGAAGAAAUCGCCUGAGCCAUAUCAUCUCCUUGCCAGUUUCUGUAGCGGCAAUGUACUCUGCUUCAGUUGUUGAAAGUACAACACACUUCUGCAACUUAGACUGCCAUGAUAUAGCUCCCCCUGAAAAUGUAAACAAAUAUCCAGUAGUGAAUUUUCUGUUAUCAAUGUCACCUGCCAUAUCAACAUCUGUAUAGCCCUUCAAGAUUGGAUCAGAUCCUCCAAAGCACAAACAAUCUCCCGUGGUACCUCUAGGUACCUGAGUAUCCACUUGACUGCUUCCCAAUGUUCCUUUCCAGGAUUUUCAAGAAACCUACUGACACCACCAACAGCGUGAGCAGUAUCAGGUCUAGUAAAUACCAUUGCAUACAUCAAGCUUCCGACUGCUGAAGAAUAAGGAACUCUAGCCAUGUUCCCUUUCUCCUCUUCUGUUGUAGGACACAUCUUUUUGCUCAACUUUAGAUGACUAGCAAGAGGUGUGCUGACUGGCUUAGCAUUCUUCAUGUUGAAGCGUUCUAGUACACGUUCAAUGUACUUCUCCUGAGAUAGCCACAACUUUCUACUUGUUCUCUCUCUAUCUUCAUCCCUAAAAUUUGUUGUGCUGGGCCCAAAUCUUUCAUAUCAAAUGACUUGGACAAAUCUCUCUUCAACUUUGCGAUCAGCCCCUUGUCUUUUCCUACAAUUAACAUGUCAUCCACAUACAACAACAAUAUAAUAAAGUUAUUCUCAGAAAAUCUUUUGAAGUAUACAUAUGGAUCAGAAUAGGUCUUUAGGUAUAUUUGAUUUUUCAUGAAUGAGUCAAACCUCAUGUACCACUGCCUUGGUGCCUGCUUCAAUCCAUAAAGACUCUUAUUCAAUUUGCACACUAUGUGUUUCUUUUCAGCUACUUCAAAUCCUUCUGGCUGCUCCAUAUAAAUCUCCUCUUCCAAAUCUCCAUGAAGAAAUGCAGUUUUCACAUCCAACUGCUCCACUUCAAGAUCUAGGCUAGCUGCUAAGCUCAAAAUUGUUCGAAUAGAAGUCAUUUUGACAACAGGUGAAAAAAUUUCAUCAAAAUCAAUACCUUUCUUCUGUUCGAAGCCUUUAACCACCAAACGAGCUUUGUAUCUGACCAGCUUGCCAUUUCCAUCUUUCUUGAGUUUAAAGACCCAUUUGCAUUUGAGUGGUCUUUUACCCUUUGGAUGUUCAACCNNNNNNNNNNNNNNNNNNNNNNNNNNNCCAUUGGGCCACAAACAUCAGAAUAUACUAAAUCAAGUAUAUUCAAUUUUCUUUCAGACGAUGUCUGAAAUGAGACUCUCUGCUGCUUACCAAAUAAAUAGUAGUCACAAGGUUUUACCGUUGUGCCUUUGGCAUAAGAAAUGAGUGAUUUCUUGGCAAGAAUCUGCAAUCCUUUCUCGCUCAUAUGACCCAUUCUUUUGUGCCACAAAUCUGCAGAAAUCUCAUCUUGUGCCGCGUUCAAUUCACCUUGGCAUAUUUCUGCAUUUGUCCUGUACAACGUGCCACGAGCAAUUCCCUUUGCAAUCACCAAUGAUCCCUUAGUGAGUCUCCAUUUUUGAUUUGCAAAAUAUUUCUCGUAUCCAUCUUGGUCUAAAGCAAUUCCCGAGAUCAAGUUCAUCUGCAAAUCAGGUACAUGCCGCACAUCCUUUAGAACCAAUGUGCAUCCGACAUUUGUCUUGAUACAAAUGUCACCAAUCCCCGCAAUCUUUGAGUAACUUAUGUUACCCAUUCUCACUAUGCCAAAAUCACCUGCUACAUAUCUGCAAAAAAGAUCUCUUACCGGUGUGGCAUGGUAAGAUGCCGCUGUGUCAACCACCCAUUCCAACUCUGGACCUGACAAGUGCAUGCAUUCAUCUUCCUCAUUUAUAAAGAGGACAACAUUAUCAUUGUUUUGCACCAUGGCGGUUGUGUUGUCGUCAUUCUUUUGGCCACUGGUUUCACCUUUGCCCUUCCUUGGAUUUGGGCAAUCUCUUUUGAAGUGACCUGGUUGAUCACAGUUGUAGCAAUUUCUGGCUCUUGAUUUGGAUCGGUUCUUUGACUUCCCACGAGCUCCGGAUCUACCAUAGUUGCUCGAACUCCUUUGAUAACUCAUGCCUCUACUUUCUGUGAUGCGAGUCUGCCCUUGAUUUUCAAGCUUCUUUCUCAUCUUCUCAUUGAGUAGAAGAGCCGAUGUGACAUCUUUCAACUCAAUAGUAGUCUUACCGUGCAGGAUGGUUGUUGCCAAAUUAUCGUACGAAGAUGGCAACGAGUUCAAUAGCAAGAUGGCUUUAUCUUCUUCCUCGAUUUUCACUCCGAGGUUGGCAAGCUGUGUGAUUAGUCCGUUAAACACAUUUAAAUGUGACAAAAAAUUCGUACCUUCACCCAUGUAUAGGGUGUAUAACUACUUCUUCAGGUACAAUUUAUUUGUCAAUGUUUUGGACAUGUAUAGGCUUUCCAACCUUUUCCAAAUUCCACGUGCAGUGUCUUCAUCAAUGAUGUUAUUUACCACAUCAUCUGAUAAGUGCAACCUGAUUGCACUAGCAGUUCCUUCAUCCAAGUCAGCCCAAUCCUUAGCUUUCAUGGUAUCGGGCUUUUUGGAAUCAACAUCUAGUACCUUGUGUAAUCCUUGUUGAAUGAGCAGAUCCCUCAUCCUUCUUUGCCAUGUUGAGAAACCGUUAUCUCCGUUGAAUUUUGCUACCUCGUACUUUACUCCGGACAUUUUUAUUUUUCACCGAGUAUAGUACUACCGACAGUGAAUAGUAUUUCAGUGAACGAGCAGAACAUGUGCUCUGAUACCAGUUGUUGGGAAUAAACCCCCUACAAAAUAAUAUUCACGGUAAUAAAAGCGGAAUAAUAACGUAGCACCGAGAUACGGUAAUUAACAAGAAUAAAAGAGUAACAACGACACCAAGAUUUUUACGUGAAAACCCCUUUUGAAUAAGGGAAAAAACCACGGCCCUGAGAAGAGCAACUGAUAUCACUAUAGCAAGGAAUUUUACACUUUGUAGGUUCGAGUAAAAUACUCAAAAGACCACUACAACACUCAAAAGAAAUAACCCUCUUUUGAUAUUCCCACCUCACUACAAUAUCACUCACUCCCUAUUUUUCUCACAGACUAUUUUCUUAUACCCUGUCUGUGAAACCUCACUCUUUCUUUCUAACUCUCACAUAUAUUUUUCCUCUGAGAUUGGUGUGUCGAGAUGAGAGCUGAAGCUCUCUUUUUAUAGGCAGAGCGUCACUCUCUCACGCCUACUACAUUUGACAUUUUCUACCUGCAGAUCUGCUAUACCUACCGAAUUUGACAAAUGCAAAAGAUAUGAUGGCUGCCAACUUUGAAAACAAUCAACAAGGAAGAAAAGUCUUCCUUAAUUAAUGGGAUGGACCCCACACACAUCUUCCUAUCGAGGGUCAUGUCCUUGAUAAGCUGAAGCAAUGACAUGUCUUGCCUAAUCAUCUCUCUCCAGUACAUCAUCCGGAUGAAGGUUAUUUCGGUGAAACAUGGUUAUAAUAGUUAACCUUGGUUCAUAAAGGAGGUGUUGUCCCACAACAGGACGAGCGGGUGAAAACGGAUCAUGAUAGGGAAGUGAACUUUCCCGAGUACAAUGUGUUUUUUGUCCGAAAUGGGAAUAGAAUCUGAUCUUGGCUUAACGUAUUGUAUGUGAUACCCUAGAAGAUUACAUCCCUAGCUUAUUCUCAUAAGCUAAUGAUAAGAAGAUCGCAGUAGCUAAGGUUCUAAGGCAGGAUGGAAAACACAGGUCAUGGGAUAUAACUUCAGAUGACUUCCAACAGGAAUCGGAGACGACGAGGUGGAUGCAUUCCUGCUGAGACUAUAUAGCCAUACACAGUUUGGAGAUGCAGAGUCUAUCAUAAUGAAAGGUUCCUUCUCGAACACAUUUCUAAUACAAUCUUAUUACAGUUGUUUAUUCAGUGGGAGAAGACCCUAAUCCAAUGGUGAAAUCUCUAUGGAGAUGCAGCGCACUGAAGAAUCAAGAAAGUGCAUUUCCUCACUCGUAUUUUGACGGCAGUGUUGCACGUGGUAAAAGCAUGGGGAGGAUGAGUAUUGUUCUUUACCACCUUAUGAUUUUACAUUGAAACUGCGUUCCUUGAUAUUUGCAACAUUUGGCAGUCAACAUUAAGUGGGUUCUCUGUAAGACAACUGUAGAGAUAGACCGAGAAAAAUGGUUCGAGGAAAGAAGCUAUGGAAGAGGCUCCCUUUCAGUAUUUUUGGGCUUUUGUGGAGGGAAGAAGCAGGAGAACUUUGAAGCGCCAGAGUGUUUGUCGUUCAGGGUCAAGGGUUCUCUUCUAUUUCUUUGUUCUUUUGGUGUAAAAUGUAAAUACCAACUUGUACGGGCAGUUGACUAGAUUUUUGAAAUGUUUGAUGUAUAUUUUACAUGCACUUCUGUAAAGAGACAGCCUGCCUACCUUCACAAGGUAGGGAUAAGAACUGCGUACACACUACCCUCCCUAGACCCUACUUGUGGAAUUACACUGGGUACGUUGUUGUUGCACUUUUGUAAGUAACACAGAAUCUUUGUGCAGUUUAAAGGAACUCUGAAAGAUUCAUCAAAACAAAAAUAGUGGCCACCAUGGGGAAAACCUGGUACUAUGCAUCGGUUGAUGAAACAGAAACUGAAUGCUAGCAGGAUUAAAAGCAAAGACAAUGUGGAGAGGAUGCAAUUGGUUGGGGUGAGCAAGUAGGAAACACACAGAAGGGCGAAGAAAGAUUAUAACGCGGUGUAGGUCCUCAAAGUCCAAUUAGUUGAGCAAAUUCAUAUAAAAUGCAAAUACAAAUUACCCAAUCUCUGGUUCCACGGAUCCUCUCUGCUCCAUACUCCAUUCCAGCAUAUACCCCAGCCACAGUCCCUGAAUAAAGAGACAAGAAUUGUUAGAUAAUCCACUCAAAGAUUCAAAAAAUUGGGAAACUAAAAACUCUUUUCUAACCGUCCAUUUUGAAAUUUAAUAUGCGGGUGGAACUGGUGCAGAUUACUCACCCCAAUAAGCACCUUCUUUACACAUUUUCUUCAACUGCAACCAAAGGUAAAUUCAGUUAAAACACAACAAGCAUGUCAAUCAAUCUUCUUUUUUUUCCAGUCAACAUAACUAAAUCCUCCAGAAUAGCCACUUAAGUUCUGUGGUGGCAUAAGUGAAAUAGAUUUUGAGCUGAACAUAAGAGAGAUGCUGCUCGUACCAUGAAAUUUUACUAAAGCAUAAUUUCAGGUGUGGUAGGCUGUUUUUGAGCCAAACAGGACAUUUGGUUUUAUAUGCAUUGAAGUUCUCGGUUAAUGCUUGUUAAAUAUUUUGCUCAUCGGCACCACCAAAAGAAACUGAUAUAAUUCUGAAAGUCUUCUUAAUCCGUAACCACUAAAGUCUUUUUUAGCCACUAUUCAUCAGUAUCUUUUUUGCUCGGUGACUAUCCAUUAGUAUCUUAACAAUAAUAUCUUGUGCUCAGACCAGAAUAAGCCUUCUUCACAAAUCACACCUCAUAGGUGGCCAAACAAAUCUAAAAGAGGAGGAUCACAUUGUUAAGCCAAAUUUUGAUUCUAGAACAUUUCUCUUAUACAAAACUGAAUAAACACUUCCAAGACAAUCUACUAGAAUAUUUACACAAAUUAGUAAAAUGAUAUAGUAUACAGUUUAAGGCAUGCUUACCGAAUUCUCAAAGUUGUGACUCGACACACUGCCUGCAAAGACCAUGUUGAUUGUGAAAUAGUAAGCUGAAUUGUGGAUAGUUUGCUGGUAACUUAAAGAACUUCAAUUUACACUUUAAUAUAACUGGGAGAUCAAGUACAAUCCCCAAUCCAUUCUUUUUUUGAAUUCCUCAGGUUACAUAGCACAUCGAAAAAAGUCAAAGAAGCAAAAAGGCAAAAAUUGGCGAAUCGGCUAUGUCAUGGAUCCUUCUUUUGUCUUGACCUACCCUUAUAAUUAGUGUGAUAUGGGUACAGGAACUUCGUUUACAACAACAACAACAACAAACCCAGUGUAAUCCCACAAGUGGGCCUGAGAAGGUACACAUACACUAACGGAUAGUAUGCACCAGUAAACAAGUACCGUAACAUAGGCGAUAACUAGGAAAUUGAGAAGUCUGGUCACUUCAGUUACAUAAUGAUAUAUUCUUUACUUUUUAAAUCUGUUUCAAAAUAUAUGAUACAUUUCUAAAUUUGGAAACUAUUUGACUUUAAACUUCUCAUUCUACUUUGAUGAAAUGCUCUUUAAGAUCACAAUUUUUUCCGUCCAACCAAACAUCAUCACAUAAAAUAAAACUGAGCCAAAAAAAAAAAAGACGAAAAAAAAUGAGAGCAGUCUAGUUUCCCCCAUUUGAUCUAGUAAAGACUCUUUAGUCUAGAUAACUGAAAUCAAAUUUAAGAAUCAACCUUUUUUGACGAUGUGAUAAGUUUCUUCAACAGCAGUUUUGGUGACAGCAACCUAAAACAAGUAAGAACAAAAAAAGGGGUAAAAAUCAAGCAACCCAUGUUUACAAAAUCCAAAAAAGAAGCAAAAAUCACCAAAUUAACAGCAGAGAGGAGAAAAUUACAGUGCCGAUUUUCAAGAAAGCAUCAACAGUUUGGUUGAGAAGUGGGUUGCCCAUAUCAAUAACUAAAUCCACCUUUGGAGAAGCUAAUGAUGCUGAAAAUCUGCUCCUCGGCAUUUUUUCUUCUUCUUCUUCUUCUUCUUCUCUUCUUCUUCUUCUUUGUUCUUUGCUUUUUUGUUCUCGUGCCUUUUACUCGAUAUAAUCACAGGUAGUCCACUCACUCACCUCUCGGGGUACGGUCGUAUUGCUUUCUUUUUUAUCAUUCUUAUUUGUUUGGCCUUUUCCAAUGCAUGCAAAUUCCAAUAAUGCUAGCAACCAGCAUCUUUUUUCUUUGACCCUUUUUUUCUUUUCUUUUCUUGUCCUUAGCUUUAAAAAAAAAGGAAUUUUAAAAAUAUAUAAUUUUGGAAAAUAUUUUCCUAAUGAAGUAGAGAGAAAAUAUUUUUCAAAGUUCUUUCUUAAUUUUCCCUACGCUAUUUUCCCAACCCUUAUAACGUAAAAAGUAGGGGUGCUUAUUGGGCGGAUCAGACGGAUAAUUAUGUUUAACUGUUCGGCUUAUCGAUUAUCGGAUUAUAAAUAUAGUAAUUCGCUAGCCAUUUAAUAAAACAACGGGCAGAUUGGUACGGAUUAAUAAUUAUCUGGCACUUAUCGGGGGGUUUAUCGGCUAAACCAAAUAAAAAAAUUUUGAACAAUCAAUACCAAACGGCCAAAUACAUAGUUCAAACUGUGUCUGUUAGUUGCAGUAGUUUUUCCUAAUUAGAAGCCAAAGACGACCGCCAAUGCCAUAGCUAUAGAUAGAUGAGAAUUAGAAAUUAGGGAUUUAGCCAUUUAGGUUUUAAUAAUAAUUUAUAUACAUAGGGGUAAAAGUAUAAAUAUAAAAAUUCUUAACGGAUUAACAGUUUGCCCGAUAAGAAAAUUGAGUAAUCCGCCUCCAAACCGUUAAUCCGUUAAUUAUAUAAUCUCAAUUUGUUUACUAUCCAUUAUCCCGAUAAUUCGAUACCAAUAAGCCAAUAAGUCAUCGGUUCGAUUCAGUUAACAGUUUCAGUUCGAUUUUGAACCGCCCUAAUAAAAAGCAUCACACAAAUUAAAAUAAAGCGUAUAUUAAUGGCACCACUCUCAAAAGGCUCGAACUUAAUUGAAACAAAAGAAGAAAAAGCACGAAGAGUCUUUGCUUGUUGUGUCAUCUGUCGGUGUUUAACAAAUUGGGAUCUCUAUGAAUUUAGAAGUUCAUGUAGUACUAGUCAUCAACUUGUAGAGAAUAUACUCUCUCUAUAUAUUUUUGGCACAUUGGAAAUUUAAGUUAAUAAAACACUUAAAAUCCCUUAUUACAUUAUUUAAAUUCAUUUUCUUUGACCGUAACCUCCCAGAAUCAACUUUUUGUUGUGUUUGUGAUCUUCAUUUGCCCGAAAAUCUGCAUAUUGAUUUGCAUCUCUCCAAAUAUGCUUAAUACUGGCCUUGUCGAUUUACAAUAAAUACAUACAAUCUUCAAUUAUAGUCCCAAGUGAUGAGUGACACGGGAUGUCUUACCUCUUUGAUAAGCUUAUCAACAAUUAGGCAGUCUAUUUUUACUUUCAAUUCUUUAUAUAUCUCAUUUCUUUUGCUAACUUUAGCCUUGUUUGAUGCUGCACAAUAAGGCUAUACAUCUUACCCGAGUAUCCUAGCCUCUCUAUAUAUAUAUAUAUAUGUAUACGGUCAAAAUCGAGCUUGCCCUUUUGUAUGAAUCGAAACCGGAAUAUGAUAGGCCAAAUUUCAACCUCGUGUUAUAUUGAACCAUGAUGCAAAGUUAGAUUGUUGAGUUCGUGAUCCAGAGACCGAUCAAGAUUAAGAUCGAUCAAGAUCGAGACCAAGCAAGAUAGAGAUCGAGCGAGAUCGAGUAAAGGUUAUCGAGCCAAAUAACGGAAAGCCAAAAUAUCCGUAAUUGGGCGAGGAUCACGGCGGAAAUACAGGCACAUAUCAAGAAGAGGCCGAUUAAUUAGCUAAAUAUGAGAUUUCUUACCUCAUAUAGAAUUGUAACAAGAGUAGGACUCCCAUACUAUAUAAAGGAGGUCUAAUCAUUUGUAAAGGACGAUCAUAUUCACGUAAUACAAAGCAAUAUACUGUCAUUUUCUAGCUUUUAUUAUCUUGUUAUUCUGUUCAUAAGCCAGUUGAAACAUCUUUGGUUCAAGGGUGACUGAACUCGAGGGCCAAGGCUAUUCAAUUUGUGUGGUUUACGCUUAUUUCUUUAUCGUUAAUUUCAAUACGAAUUUAUUCUUCUUAAUUUGUACCAAGUUAUAUCACGUGUCCUUAAAACCACGUAUAAAUUCAAUUAUUAUCCGAUUUUAGGGUAAAUAGUUUAGCGCCCACCGUGAGGCUAAGGAUAAUAUAAUAGUGGUUACCUGGUACAAACUUUCAUAACACACACUAUUUUACACUUGUUCUUUGAAGUAUAUUUGAUUACAAGAUUAAAAAAUAUCAAACUCGCAGUCAGCACCUAUACACGUUGACAAUGAUCUUGGCCACCACGACAAAAAAUGAUAACAUAGCACCAGAGAACUAUGUACCCCCGGUUGGCCCCGAUGAAGUUUCGGUUGUAGAUCCAAUCGACGUUAGUUCACAUGUAGCCAUCAACGGAAAUUUGGUCAUCGAUCCCGAAGGCAGCGUCCAUGGGGAUAUUCGAUCAGCCGCUCAAAGCACACGUGGUGGUGAAGAUAACGGGAUCAGCCUGCGGGUGAUCUUCGAAAUGUUGGAGGCUCAACAGGCAGCAAUAGCCUAGCUCCAAAACCAAAAUCACACACCGAGCAAGGUCGAGCCCGAGCCGUCCCAGGAUGUUGUACACAGGGUCAAAUCAUUUUCAAAAAAUCAAGCGAGAAAGAGUCGGAGACCAACCCUGUGAUCAUGAAGAUGCUCGAAGAACUGAGAAAGCAAAUUGAUUCGGGAGAAAAGAAGAUCGAGGCAAACGAUAAGAAGGUGGAAACUUAUCACUCAAGGGUCGACCAAAUCCCAGGGGCACCACCAAUAUUGAAAGGACUGGAUGCCAAAAAGUUCGUACAAAAACCUUCCCCCCCCCCCCCCGAGUGCAGCUCCGAAGCCAAUCCCCAAGAAGUUCUGCAUGCUCGAGAUUCCUAAGUAUAAUGGAAUGACUGAUCCAAACGAACAUGUCACCUCCUAUACAUUUGCUAUCAAAGGGAAUGAUCUAAAAGAUGAUGAGAUCGAAUCCAUCUUGUUGAAGAAAUUCGGGGAGACCCUAUCAAAGGGAGCUAUGAUAUGGUACCAUAAUUUACCACCUAAUUCUAUUGACUUAUUUGCUAUGCUUGUAGAUUCCUUUGUAAAGGCACACGCCGAGGCCAUCAAGGUCGAAACCAGAAAACCGGACCUUUUCAAUGUAAGGUAGAAGGAGAAUGAAAUGCUCAGAAAAUUCGUGUCUCGAUUCCAAAUGGAAUGGAUGGACUUGCCACCGGUCGCUGAUGAUUGGGAUGUUCAAGCUUUCACUCAAAGGCUCAACAUUCAAACUCAGUGGCUUCAUAACAAUUGAAGCUUCACAACAUUCGAAGCUUCUACUUGGGUCGAUGUGCAUAAUCGGUAUUAGUCAAAGAUCAGUGUUGAGGACGAUCAACUUGGGGCUCCUUUGGUGUCCGUUUAUCCUAUCAGACCCGCCGAUAGAAUCAAGAGGGAUAAAGACCGAGAACCAAGGUCGAACAAAGAUCAAUAUUAGCCGUAUAAUGAAGAUCGUAUAGGCAGUGGAUUUGGGCAAAAUUCUGCAUAGAAUAAAAGGAGAAAUGAUCGAGGUCAAGGUUCACGGGGACUCAUGAGCAAGAACGGCUUCGAUAGAUCUAUCGGUCCCAAAGAGGCACCAUGAUUAUCGGAGUACAACUUUAAUAUGGACGCAGCUGCCAUCGUAUCAGCCAUUGGACACAUCAAAGAUACCAAGUGGCCUUGACCUUUGCAAACUGAUCCAACACAAAGGGAUCCCAACCAAAUAUGCAAAUAUCAUGGCACACAUGGCCACAUGAUGAAGGAUUGUCGACAAUUAAGGGAGGAAGUAGCCUGAUUGUUCAACAAUGGUCACCUUCAAGAAUUUUUGAGUGACCGAGCUAAGAACCACUUCAGAAACAGGGACUCCAACAAACAAAAUGAACAAGACAAACCCCAGCACAUCAUCCAUAUGAUCAUCGGAGGGAUCGAUGUUCCUCAAGGUCUGAUGAUGAAACGUACCAAAGUGUCAAUCACAAGGGAAAAAUGGACUCGAUAUUAUCUACCAGAAAGGACUCUAUCUUUCAACGACGAGGAUGCAAAAGGAAUCAUGCAACCCCAUAAUAAUGCACUAAUAAUUUAUGUACUUAUGAAUAAAACUCGAGUUAGAUGUGUGCUAAUUGAUCUAGGUAGCUCGUCCAACAUCAUUCGAUCAAGGGUCAUAGAACAACUCGGCCUACAAGACUAGAUCGUACCUGUGGCCCAAGUGCUAAACAAAAUCAACACGGCUUGCGAAUCUACUAAGGGAGAAAUAGCAUUAUCGGUACCACCUAGGAGACUAAGUUUUAUGUAAUCGAGGGGGACAUGAGAUGCAACGUCCUAUUCGGAAGACCAUGGAUCCACAACAUGAGGGUCGUGCCCUCGACCCUUCACCAGGUAUUAAAAUUUCCAACACUAGAGGAGAUAAAGACGGUUUACGGGGAACAACCCGCCGCAAAGGAGAUGUUUGUCAUCGAUGAAGUAAUUCCAAUAUCAAAACUCUCAUUGACAAAGGACUCAGGUUUGAAAGCGGAGCAGGAAGCCAAAUAGCAAUCAUCGAUGCCAGCCUCGACCCAAUCGGACAAGUAAGGGAUUGACAAAGAUGAUGACUACGGGGUUCCUCGAUCCUUAUCGCCCUCGAUGAUUUCAAUGCUACCAAAUCAACGGUUGAAGAGCUGGAGCAGGUCGUGUUGAUCGAACAUCUGCCCGAUCGAAAGGUAUACCUGGGCAUGGGGUUAACUCCUGAGCUCAGGAAAAAACUCAUUCAAUUUCUUAUAGCUAAUAUGGAUUGUUUUGCUUGGUCCCAUCUCGAUAUGACAAGGAUUCCACCAGUCAUCAGUACUCACAAACUGAGCUUAGACCUGAAGUUCCGUCUGGUAAAGCAGAAAAAGAGACCCUAGUCCGAGAUUAAGCAUGCCUUCAUCAUGGAUGAGGUAACUAAACUCCUUAAAAUAGGGUCCAUCCGGGAGGUCAAUAACCCAUAAUGGUUAGCAAACGUAGUAGUAGUUCCUAAGAAAGGGAACAAAUUAAGAAUGUGUGUAGAUUAUAAAGAUUUAAAUAAGGCAUGCCCUAAAAAUUCUUGAUUAUAAGAUUUAAUUAAGGCAUGCCCCAAAGAUUCUUUCCCUUUGCCUAACAUCGAUCACAUGAUCGAUGCCACGGCCGGCCACGAGAUUAUCAGUUUUCUUGAUGCCUAUUCUGGGUACAACCAAAUAUGGACGAACCCGGGUGGCCAAGAAAAAACCUCUUUCAUCACUAAUUAUGCGCAUACUGCUAUAAUGUAAUGUCAUUCAAAUUAAAAAAUGUCGGUGCCACUUACCAACAACUAGUGAACCGAAUGUUCGAAGAACAAAUAGGGAAAACCAUGGAAGUAUAUUGACGAUAUGUUAGUUAAGUCCCUGCGAGUAGAGGACCAUUUAAAGCAUUUGCAGGAAACCUUCAGUAUACUGAAGAAAUACAACAUGAAUCUGAAUCCAGAAAAGUGUGCAUUUAGGGUCGGGUCCGGUAAAUUUCUCGAGUUCAUGGUAUCCAACGAAGGGAUUGAGAUCAACACUGACAAGAUCAAAGCUAUCAAGGAUAUCACGAAGGUGGAUAAUGUGAAGGUUGUACAAAGGUUAACCGGUCACAUUGCAGCCCUAAGGCGAUUCAUCUCGAGGUCGUCCGAUAAAAGCUAUCGAUUUUUCUCGUUGCUGAAAAAGAAAACAACUUCACAUGGACCCUAGAAUGCUAGCGGGCCUUAGAAGAACUUAAGCGAUACUUAUCGAGCCCGCCAUUGCUUCACACGCCAAGGGUAGGUAACGACUAUACUUGUAUCUAGCAGUAUCGAAAAUAACGGUAAGUGGAGUCCUAGUUCAGGAAGAGCAAGGUACACAAUUUCUGAUUUAUUAUGUUAGUAGGACCUUAGGUGAGGCCGAAACUAGAUAUUCUCACCUAGAAAAAUUGGCACUCGCCUUGCUAAGUGCCUCUAGAAAACUGAAAUCAUAUUUUUAGUGUCAUCCUAUAUAUGUUGUGACAACCUACCCUUUACGAAAUAUAAUGCAUAAACCCGAACUCUCGGGGGGGUUGGCCAAAUGGGUCAUGGAAAUCAACGUGUAUGAUAUCGAAUAUCAACCCCGAACAGCCAUUAAAUUCCAAAUUUUGGCAGAUUUCGUAGCUAACUUUACGCCGGCCCUAAUACCUAAAGUCGAAAGAGAGGUUUUGGUAAACUCGGGAACGUUUCGGGAAUCUGGACCCUCUUUACGGAUGAUGAAUCGAACGUAAAGGGGUCCGGACUUGGCAUCGUCUUGAAGCCACCCAUAGGAAAUAUAGUUAGACAAUCUAUUAGAACUAUAAAAUUGACUAACAACGAGGCCGAAUAUGAGGCCAUGAUUGCAUGUCUCGAAUUGGCAAAAGGCUUGGGGCGGAGGUGGUUGAAGCUAAGUGUGACUCGCUCCUUGUAGUAAACCAAGUUAACAGAACGUUCAAAGUCAGAGAAGAACGAAUCCAAAGAUACCUAGACAAGUUACAGGUAUCAUUACAUUGAUUCAAAGAGCGGACUUUGCAGCACGUGCCUCGAAAUCAAAAUACUAAGGUCGAAGCUCUUGCGAACUUAGGAUCAUCGGUCGAAGACGACAAGCUCAACUUGAGGGCAGUCGUCAGCUCAUGAGGUCGGUAGUAGAGGAAGGUCACGCCGAAAUAAACUCCACAAGCUUAACUUGGGAUUGGAGAAAUAAAUACAUAGAGUAUUUGAAGACCGGUAAACUUCCCUCAGAUCCAAAGGAAUCGAGGGCCCUACGCACAAAGGCAACCCGAUUUUGCUUGUCCGAGGAUGGAACUUUGCUUAGGAGAAGGUUCGAUGGUCUGUUAGCAAUAUGUCUGGGACCGGGAGAUACCGAGUAUGUUUUGAGGGAAGUCCACGAAGGCACAUGUGGGACCCACUCCGGCACCAAAUCACUGGUUCGAUAUGAAAAAAAACACGAAGGAAUUCAUGCAAAAAUAUGAUAAGUGCCAAAGACAUGCUCCGAUGAUUCACCAACCUAGGGAGCUGCUGCAUUCGGUUUUAUCACCGUGGCCAUUCAUGAAGUGGGGGAUGGACAUCGUCGGCCCUCUUCCAUCGGUACUAGGUAAGGCUCAAUUUGUCUUAUUUAUGACUGACUAUUUUCUUUAGGUGUGUUGAAGCACAUGCAUACAAGAAGGUCAGGGAGAAGGAAGUCAUUGACUUCAUUUAGGUCCACAUUAUACGGGAUACCAUCUGAAAUUGCAUGUGACAACGAAAAACAGUUUAUCGGCAGUAAUGUGACCAAAUUUCUCAAAGAACAUAAGAUCAAAAGGAUAUUGUCAACACCUUAUCACCCUAGUGGGAACAGACAUACCGAAUCGACCAGCAAAACCAUAAUCCAAAACCUUAAGAAAAUGUUAACUGAUGCUAAGGGAAAAUGGAAAUAGAUCUUUCCUGAAGUUCUUUGGGCAUAUCGCACAACUUUGAAAUCCAAUACUGGGGCUAUCCUAUUCUCAUUGGUUUAUGGCGUCGAAGCUCUAAUAUCGAUCAAAGUCGGGGAGUCGAGUAUCAGAUUUUGAUAUUCAACGAAGGAAUCGAAUAACGAGGCCAUGAAUAUAAGUCUGGAUCUAUUGAAUGAUAGGCGUGAAGCUGCCUUUGUUCGAUUGGCCGCCCAAAAGCAACGGAUCGAAAGGUAGUACAAUCGAAGGGCCAACCUUCGAUACUUCAAUGUCGGGGACUUAGUACUAAAGAGGUUCACAUUAAACACCCAGAAUCCAAACAAACGGAAAUUGGGUCCGAACUGGGAAAGCCAUACCAGAUUCUCAAGAUCAUAGGGAAAGGGUCCUGUAAGCUCGGAAUGAUAAAUAGAGAACAACUACUGAACAAUUUGAACGUAACUCAUCUUAAACGAUAUUACUGCUAAGGUACAAGCCCAUUUCAAUUCUUUCUAUUUUUGGACUAACACUUGCAGGUGAUUGACAAGGAGCGGCACAAAGCCUUUAGGCCUGAAAGCACGCGUUGCACUCUUUUUCCCUUGAACCGUUUUUGUCCCAGUUGGGUUUUUCGGCAAGGUUUUUAACGAAGCAACAAUGGAUCGUGCUAACUUAGAAUCGAAGGCCGAUCACAAAUCGGUGUCAAAGACAACACUAACAGUAUUCGAGGUUCCUCUAUAAUCAACCUCGAAUACUGGGGUGUAUUACCCUCGGAUGUCAACUUUUUGCGAGGAAAUUACUUCGUAAUAAAAGGACCUCGAUAGGUAAGAUUUGUUGUAAGGGCCAAACGGUCAAACGAACUGUGCCCACAUAGGUUGCUCGAGCCGUGGCAUAAAACAUGUACGCAUGUGUAACCAUUUUUCACAAGAAUAAAGAGAAGUACUUUCCUUGCAAUUAUCUUAUAUCUUAGAAAAAAUUUCCACUUUACAAUUUCGUACUUUCGAUCUCUUAAGGAAACGAGCUCAAGGGCCUGUUGAUACCCAAUUUUUCNNNNNNNNNNNNNNNNNNNNNNNNNAUUUUUCCAUAAUUUUCCUAUAUUUUUAUUAAAUUACCUAGCAUUUUAUUUCCAAUAAAUAAUUAGAAAAUGGAAUUACAAAUGAUUUCAAAAGCAUAUCUUGAUUUAAUUUAUUAUUUUUUAUCCUAUUUAAACUAAAUUAGUUCAUAAUUAGCCAAAUUGAUAUCAUUUGGCUACAAUUACAAUAACUUUGCAAUUAUAGCCCAAUCAUAUGAUUUUAUACUAUUUUUUAUUAGAAAUUAAUCAUUUAUAUUUUUAAAUACUAAGUAAUCAUUUUUAACUAUUUUCUAUGUAUGAAAUUUAUUUUUUACAAUUAUUAGCUAUUUUUGUAAAUUGUUUUAUUUAAUUUAAUUGGGUAUUUAACAAAUAGCCUAAUUUCAUUUCAAUUCUAGCCUAAAUCAAACCAGACCCAAACCUGAUUAAAAUAUCCCAAUACCCCCAAGGCACAAUCCACCAUCCUACCCGACCCAAUCCCUGUUUAACCUGGACCGUUGAUCAAUUUUGAUCAACGGACCAAAUCCGUCCUUACUAUAAUUAACCUAAUAGUUUACCCUCCCCCCCAACCCUCAUUUCUCUCAUUCUCUCAUUAGUCUCCGUCGUCACACCCUAUCAUAAUCUCUCAAGCUCUCUCUACUAAAUCAUGGCUCCUACUCGCCGGCCAUUGGCUCGCCGGUGUCAAUGGUAGUUCCAUCACCACCCCUAGCCUCCAUGGCUCCCCCAUGCCGGAUUCUUGCUAUCUUGAGGUCCUCAAGGGACCAACGGCUAUUCAACUCACACCUAUGGUCUGUUCUUGCCAUUCUCAAGCAACCUUGACCCGUCUGAGUAAGACCUUUCUAUUUCUCCGGCUAGAUCCAUGGCUUCUAAGCCGGAAUCUCUCCAUCUCUGGGUUAUCUCUCUCUGAAACCCUAAUUUAUCUUUUGACUUCUUAGAUUUGUAACAGAUCUAAGAGUAUUCUAAGUUAUUUUACUGUUUUCCAUGAUAAUCUCUCCGAUUUUUCAAAAACGCCUCUUCGUCUUCAAAACUAGGGUUUCUUAACCCUUUUUCAAAAUGACUUCUCCUUUGAUUUUCAGUAUUAUUCUAUGAUGUUUACUAUGUUUAAACAGUUUAUUUAAGUUUUUCCUUUUAUCUGAUUCAUUAUGUUGAAAACCCUAAUUCUUGGUCUUAAUCCUGGGUUCUGAGAAUUGUCCUUGCUUAUUUGUUCGUUUAAUUUGUUAUUCAUGAAUAUGUUCUAUGUUUCUAUGAUUGUACCCUAUUAUGCUCAUUAGGGUUUCUGAUUUUUCUUCUUCCGCCUAUAUUAUAUUUAUUAACAGAAAUUUGUGCUAAUUCCUCUAAUCAAUACUAUUUUUCUAGUUGAAUUCCUGACUUUAUGUGAUUUUUACUUUACUAUGCUUAUUAGGGUUUCUGAUUUUAUUCCUUCUUGCCUAUAUUAUGAUUAUUUCGUUUAUUUACAUCGAUUUGUGUUAAUUCCCCUUAAUCAUUACUACUUCUAUUUGAACCCCUAAUUUCCUGUAAUUGAUGCCUUUCACUAAUAUCUUAUGAUGAUCUCCUUAUUGAUUUCCAACCUCUAAGUUAUUCUCUUGCCUUAUUUUAUGGUCGACUAUACUGUCAAAUCUGAUUCUUAUGUUAUUUCCUUAAUUGGAAUAUUAUGUACUUAGCCUUAAUUACAUGUUCUAUACCUGCACUAUGCUGAAAUUAUUUCCUUAUGUGUUAUAUUCCAGUCUUAUGUGAUCUCCUUCCUUAUUUGUCUUUACCGUUUGAAGUUAACUCCCUUAAUUAAGGGAGUACUUAUACUGAUUUUAUACUAAUUGAUACCUAGUUUCAUAAUUACUGCAUGACUUUGAUUCUUACCUUAUUGUUCUGCCUAGUUUCAAACUAUAUAUACAUAUGCUCUCUCAUUAACAAAACACACGAACACAUUAUUUCAAACUCUCUCACACUCAAAACUUCCUGCUCUCUUUAUUUGGUUACUUGAUAUUAUUCUGAGUUAGCCGACUGUAAACCAAGGCUAACUAUUGUGCUCUCCUUCACUUUGUGCUUACUGUCUUCUUACUGGUAUGUCUUGAUUUCAAUUCAAAGUUUCAGAAACAACAUGUUUCCUUUAUUACUUCGAUUCAUCCUGUUUCUAGUGUGUUUUCACUAAUGGUUUUGUUGUUCAACUUGCAACUAAUAUGUUUGCAUCAUCGCUUUAUCUGCAUGCUUCUAAAUGUGUCCCCUCCCUUAGACUCAACAUGUUUAUGAAAUGUUAUCCCCUUUCAGUAUACCCCAAUGUGACUCUUCCUUACUUAUGUUUCUUUGAUUUCUGGCAUGAACCUUUCUAUGCAAAGUAGUUGGCUAUCCUUAAGUUACCUGAUUCUGUGUUAAUUCUCAAAUUCCUUAACCCCUUAGCAUAUUGCUGAUUCUGUACUUAAGUGCUCCUGCAACUAUGUGUUUACUUAUGUGACCUAUGUGUCCCCAAAUCCCAUUACCCCUGUUUGUGGUUGCUGAACCUACCUUGGUUCUAUGUUCUUUGGUUAUGUAUAAACCUGUUUUGGGUGAUGUGUUUGGACUAUUGCUUAUUACUCUACUCUCUUUGCAAAACUGACUUAUUGAAUAACUCCCUUUGUUAUUUUUACAAAACUAUUUCAAACAAGUCUCUUUUCAAACUGUUUUCCUGCUUAAACUUUUUCAAACUAUGCCAAACACUCUCACUCUACUCUUAGGUCCUUAAGUUCUGCCCCUCCAAUGUGUGACUGCUUAGGGAUCCCCAUGAGAUCCCUCUGAACUCUGAUGCAUUGGAGCUGGCCCUUCCACACUACACUUACUCAACUAUGAUUAUAAAAUCUAGGUAUGAGCACUGCCCGGAAUCCCUUGAGGUCCUUAGGAAACUCUGACACACCCGGAUUAUGUGAAAGGCUACGAGGCAAUUUGGCAUUGGAAAUUUUGGAAAUCUGGGCCUACUUUCAGGCUCCCUAUAGUGUAACUUCUUAUUUUUCUUAUCUACUUAUAUAAUUCAUGCAAUAUUGGUCUAUAAUAAUUUGUUGUAAACGGAUAUUGGGGUUGGCUAGUGAAAAGGGGAGGGUAGUCAUACAUGUUAUCAUAUCAAUGGGUAGAAACCAUGCCUUAGGUUUACAUUUCCCAUAUGUGCAUUAGAAUCCAUGUUUAGGACCAAUACAUUCCAAGCAUGUCAUUAGGUAUCAUGUUAUUAGGUUUACUGUUUCAACAUCUCAUUUGACAUUAUUUUAUCACUUAGAAACCCUGCUUAGGCUAAAUAAUAGCACUAACAUAAAAUUGUUGCUCUUGCACAUCCUGAAAUCAUGUUGUAACUUUCCGUACGUCUAGAAAUCAUGCUUUAGGAAUUCUGCAUAUCUUGAAAUCAUUCUGAAUUUAUAUGUGCAUGUUAGAUACCCCUAUUUUAGGAUCUCGUUCAUACUCGCUCAGUCAUUCCUAGUUUAAACUACUGGUUAUGAAAGAUGUAAAAACAAUGUCAUAUUUAUCCUGUUUAAGUAAAACUAGUCAUAAUCCAUGUAUCUUUGCAACACUUAGAAUAGCAUGCUUUGGGUAAAAUAACUUCUAAACUGUUUUAAUAAUUCUGAUAACUGUUGUGCAUUAUCCUACGCCUANNNNNNNNNNNNNNNNNNNNNNNNNUGCAUAUCUUGAANCAUUCUGAAUUUAUAUGUGCAUGUUAGAUACCCCUAUUUUAGGAUCUCGUUCAUACUCGCUCAGUCAUUCCUAGUUUAAACUACUGGUUAUGAAAGAUGUAAAAACAAUGUCAUAUUUAUCCUGUUUAAGUAAAACUAGUCAUAAUCCAUGUAUCUUUGCAACACUUAGAAUAGCAUGCUUUGGGUAAAAUAACUUCUAAACUGUUUUAAUAAUUCUGAUAACUGUUGUGCAUUAUCCUACGCCUAGGCAAGCCUCAGGUAAUCAACCUCUAUAAAACUGGAAACUGUUCUUUGUGUUUACUUCUUAAUGGUUAACAUGCUUAAAAUUAGUAGGCAAACUGAUUAGGGCUCCCGUUUCUGAGUUAUAAACCAAUCUGCAUGUCUCUUGUGUUUUGAUACUCACCUAGACAUCAUGUCUUAGGAUCCUGUUAAUAAUACUACCCUUGUAUGUGUUUGAGUCGUGUUGUUUACAUGCAUUAUCUGCGGAGGUAAACCUGAGCCUCUUAUUUGCUCCUUCAUGCUUUUAUUUUCUAUAAGUCCUAUGUGUUCUUACUUGCUUAGUAUUUUCUCCUUUAAACCUUAGGGGUCUAUCUAGAACUGCCUGUAGGUAGAGGUCCUAACCUCCUCCAGGACCAUUAAGAAGGGACGGGUAACAACACACAAUAGAGAUCGCUAACCGACACUUGAUUUAAUAACUGCUAAGGGGUGGGAAGGGUAGAUAUGUGAUAUGAUGACUACGCGCUAAUGUCACGUGUAGCCCCUCAUUGAGGAGUGUUUACCGGGCAUUGCAUGGGGUGAUCCUGUAGGCUAACCAACCUAGGACCCCUACUUCCCAAAUUCCCUUUGCUUAAACUUUACUUUUCUAUAUGUAUACAAUUUGUUUAAGCCUUUCCUUUGUCUCAUUAUUUGAGUCAUGUAAAACCUGAUCUUAUUUGUAAUUAUGUGUUUAAAACUAUUUAUUUGUUAAUGGACUAGUUCACAAGUAUAAGUUCGGUCGGGACCCAUCGUUGUGGACCGAGAGGGGUGCCUAACACCUUCCCAUCGAGAUUAUUUCGAGCCCUUACCCUAAAUAUCUGGUAAUGCAAACCAAUCCAAGAGUUAAUCACUUUGGGUGCCCUAAUGCACCAUAAUCCGUUAGGUGGCAACUCUUCAAAUACCCAAUUCCCAAAAGGAAACGAGUUAUUUCCCCCAUGUAAUGUCGAAACCCGGACCUUCUCUCCGUGGAGGGAAAAAAAGGGGCGCAACAGGGCCGAUUAUAACAAGAUUUCAGAUGAUCACCCCCACACUCGAGGAUUGUUGUCCGAAAAAUAAACUCAAACAUAUCAAACUAUUAAUUAUCGGAGCACAAGACCUCUCAGGAAACCCCUAAAUUUUAAAGGCCACGACCAUACCCACUCGGGGACUUUUAUCUUAGGCAAGCCUGGAUAACUUGGGAAAGCAAGCUCACUAGGCUACACCCGAAUUAAAAGGCUACGGCCACAUUAACACGGCUAGGCGAUGUCCGAGAACCGUAAUAAAAAAUAGGCAUUUGAAAUUUCAUAACCGGUUUUAAAGGCUACCCUCGGCAAACUACGGUCCGAGUUACUUACUUUGGGAGAAGGUUCCUGGUAACCCCGAACCUCCAAGAGGACUCAAAACAAAAAUAAUGUGAAGCCAAGAUUGUUUGAAUUUAUACAACCUAAGCCAUUUCGUUCCAACCUUUGUGAAUACAAGUAAUAAAGCAAAGGAGUAUUCGAAAUCCAAAAGGGAAAAGAAAGCCUUGUAUAUAUUUACACAAUAGUCUUUUACCGAAGCCAAAAUGGCUUAAUUCGAAAAAAUUUAAAAUGGCCAAAAUGGCCUCAGAAAGAUGCAAAAGAAAAGCAAAAGAUAUAAAGGACUAAGUGGCUUGGUCUUCAUCAGAGGCAACAUCUCCGCCCUCGGGAUCUUCCCUGCCUCCAGACUCAUUAAAACUAUCUGAGUCUUCCUCGAGAAAGGCCAGCUUUCGAGCCAUGGCUUCCUCUGCUUUGGCAUUCUCGAGUUCAGCCUGUAUAUCGAAGCCCUAAGCAUGGAAUCCCUCGAGGGCUUCCCUUUGAGCUUGCCACUUUGCAUGAUCUGUCAUGCUUUUGGCCUGAGCCAAGAUGGCCUCGACGUCGACCUUAUAUUGGGUCACAUUAGCAUCAACUUUGGUGUUGGCCACGACCACCUCAGAUAUGGCUGCCUCGAGCUCAUUGGCCAAGCUUGCUAAUUGGGACUGAAGCUCCUCGAUUUUCUUGACCUACACUGAGGCCUUCUCUCUUCUAGAUCGGAGCUGGAUCUCGACUGACUCUAGUUGUGCUUGGGCAUCUUCCCUUUUCAAGGCUAAGAUGUCCAUAUUUUUCUUGAACUCCUCUGCCUUAGCUCGAAUAGUAUCUACUUAUUUCUGAAGCUCCCCAAUCUGUUCAAGCCUCUGCCAGACUUGCAGAAUCAGAUUGUUAGUCAUUAUCUCCAAUUCGUCUUCACUAUCGUGAAGCACUCAGAAUACCUACUCGGCUAUCUCGGUAUGCUUAUCCCAAGCCGUUACUAGAUCGAACUGAAGCUUCUCACUGAGAAGCUUAUAGGUAUAACUUUUCUCAGUGAGAUCCCAGACCUCGUCCUUGUAAUGAGUUAAUUCCUCCCGAUAUCGGAGGAAAGCCUUGUAAUGCAGCACCGAAGCCGGCAAGCGUAAGGGAAGAUGUUAUUUGUAACUUUAAAAGUUAGAAUAUAUGAUAAGAAAAGCCACGCGAAUUUACCCGAUUUAAUACAUGUUGGGCUUCAGUGAAUAGGAAGUGGGUUCCACCUCGUCCAUCACUUCCUGAUCUUUUUCGGUAACUAAACACCGAAGGUAACUCGCGACCCCCACGGGGGCAAAGAAAACCCAAGCGUCCUCCGGGAUAGAAAAUGCUAUUGACCGUUUUGGUCGGGAUUAACAUUUGGGGCCGGGAAUUGAUCCACCAUUUUUGGGCUCAAUGAAGACCCGGUAGCACCCGAGAAAGGCUCUUUCCUUGGCACCGACAGGUCACCAAGCCCGGUGACAUCUUCCAAAGCAGCAUCUUUGACCCCAUCCAAGAAGCCAUGGAUAUCAGUCACCCUUUGAGGACUCAACAUACUGGCCUCACGAAGCAUGGUGUCCGAAAUCUGAGGUGACCUAUUGAUGUCGAUCGCUCCAAGUUCGUCUAUCGGGGCACUUUCCGCAGCUCGGGAACCAUCGCCCCCGGUCUCUCUCUCAACCCCCUAACUUGGAGCAAAAUGGGCUCGACUCUUUUUGGCUUGGAAGCUUCAGCCAAAGCUUUGUCACUGACCUUCUCAUGUCGAGAUGUUUCAGUUUCAGCGCUCGCCGGUUCGAGAACUUUUUGUACUGUGACACCAGCCCGCAUGUGGGCCACUAUUUUGGAUUUAUCUUCUUCUUCGGACUCAUCCCUUAAUCGGAAAAUUGAGUCUGAGGACACAAAUAGGUGUCUCCCCUGGGCUUGCGCAACCUCUUCGUCGAUUUCUUUUUUUUCGAGCCCGGGGAACUCAAAGCCACUUUCUUUUUCUUCUCUUUGGCCUGCUUUGGAGCAGGUGGUCGGGGAAGGACUUCUUCACCACCAGAUAGGGGCCUCAUUUCAGCAUUCUUCCCGAGGCCUACAAAGGAUAAAAGAUGAGUAAGCUCGAGAAAAAGCUUGAACGAUAAUCGUUCUAAGAAAUAAAAUUACCAUGAUUGCGGGCCUCCCAUCAAUCUUUCGAUAACUCCAUCCAAGCACGCUAGGAGUAUGGUCUCUGCGACACCAUGACCUCGACCCAUUUCUUGAGUUUGGGGACUACUUCCGGCACCUGGGCCACAACUGCAAUACCAAAAACAUAGAUGAGGAAAGAAGAUAAGAAGUAAAACGUCAAAACUGAACAUUCAAGGCAAAGUAACACUCACGAGUCAUGUUCCAUUUCGCAGGAAACGACAUGUCUUCAGCAGAGAUCAGGUCUGAAGUCCUUAUUUGGAUAAGUCGGCCCAUUCAACCUCGGUCACGAGCCUCGUCUAUGCUUGAGAAUGGGGACUUGCUGGCCCGGCGAGCAAGCUUGAUUAGCCUGCCUCGAUAGAGUCGGGGACUGUAAAGGCGCAUAUGGUGAUCGAGGGUGAAAGGUCAUCCCUCGAUUUUUCUCACUAAGAAUCGGAUGAGAAUCACUACUCUCCAAAAGGAAGGAUGGAUCUGGCCAAGGGUCACGUCAUACCUCUUACAGAAGGCGAUGAUGAUAGGUUCUAAGUGACCCAACGUGAAAGGGUAAGUGUAAACACUUAGGAAACCCUCCACGUGGGUAGUGAUCGACUCCUCGGGCGAAGGUACCACAACAUGUUUAUCGACCCAGUGGCAAUCCUCUUUAACUUUGGGAAGGAGAUCAUCGGUUAUCAUGCAUAUUUACCUCGAGACCGGUUCACAUCAACCAGGUACUAAGGAGGUCUUUUCAAUCUUAAAAUCGGCGACAGUAAGGCACCCACCUGGAAUAAAAUCCUCAAGGGGAUAUUCCGUUGUAGCUCCGUCACUGGCGGGCCGUGAAGAAGAGGCAACCUCCUUUUGUGGUACAAUUUUAGAAGUCUUUGCCAUUAUAGAGUAAAAGAAAAAGGAAUUAGGAUGGUAUGUAGUUUGCUAAAAGUUCAAGAAAUUUUGGUACAAGAAUUGCAAAGCAAAGAGAUUUUUGAAGAGAAGCAAGAAGGGGAGAAGCUUUGAACGUAAAGUCUGAAUAGAGGAAGAUUACAAUACUUAUAGCUUGCCGACGACGGCUUAGAACUCAUGGUGGCCGACCAGCAACUGACAGGCUUUUAAUACCUUGGUAACUGGACCGACAGGACGUUUCGAGUUGUUGCUUACGUAAUGAUCGGGUGUAUCAAUGACAUUCACCGUUUACGUCAUGGCCUAUCGAGGCGGAGCUCAGAAAUUCAUGUUGUUUCUCAUCAUCUUCUCUCCGAUAAACGAGGGGACUAUCUGUAUAUGGUCAAAAUCGGGCUUGUCCUUUUGUAUGACUAAUUGAGACCAAAACAUGACAGGCCAAGUUUGAAGUUUCAACCUUGUGUUAUAUCGAACCAUGAUGCAAAGUUAGAUUGUCGAGUUCGUGACCAAGAGACUGAUCAAGAUUGAGAUCAACCAAGAUCGAGACCGAGCAAGAUAAAGAUCGAGCAAGAUCGAGGAAAGCUUACCGAGCCAAAUAAUUGAAAGCCAAAAAAUCUGCAAUCGAGCGAGGAUAACGACGGACAUCCCGACACAUAUGAAGAAAGGCCGAUUAAUUAGCUAAUCAUGAGAUUUCUUACCUCAUAUAGAAUUUUAACAAGAGUAGGACUCCCCUACUAUAUAAAGGGGGUUUGAUCAUUUGUAAAAGACGAUCAUAUUUAUAUAAUACAAAGCAUCAUUUUCUAGCUUUCAUUAUCUUGUUAUUUUGUUCAUAAGCCAGUUGAAACAUCGUUGGUUCAAGGGUGACUGAACUCGAGGGCCAAGGCUAUCACUCUUAUUCUUUUAUAGUCAAUUUCAAUACGAAUUUAUUCUUCUUAAUUUGUACCAAGUUAAUCACAUGUCCUUAAAACCGCAUAUAAAUUCAAUUGUUAUCCGAUUUUAGGGUAAACAAUAUGAACAUCGUUUACUUCACAUAUUAACAAAGGAACAAGUAAAUUUGAUUCAGACAAAUCUUGAAAUCCUACUAUCGAGAGAACUUAAUUUAGAUAAUAGAUUUAGGGACGGAUGUAGCACAUGAGUAUGUGUUUUAUUUGAAUCCAAUAUUUUUUAUGCGGAGCAUAAAUUUAUUAAAAUUUACUAAAUGCAAUAAAUAGUAGAUAUGAACUCAUAACUUUAAAAAUUCAAUGAGUUCUAUGUUAAAGAUCACAAAGGUUGAACCAAUAAAUUUAAAUUCUGGAUCAAUCAUUCAAAUGUAUUUUACUUAUUUGUAAUUUAUUCGUGAAACACCUAUAUGAGUUGGCAUGCAGGAUUUAGCGAAGCGGUUUCAAUUUAUUGUAAUAAUUUAGUAUGUAAGUGAGUUUAAAUCGAGAGUUGUGGUUGCGCAUUUAAAGAGUUAUUUUAUGUGCUAACUUAAAAUUUAUUUUGUAAUUUUUCUAAAAAAACUUGUCCAAAAAAUAAGUUUGAACACUUAAACUAAACGAGUGUUCUUUUACCCCUCCCCCUCCUAUUCUUAUUCGGGGUGAAUUAAAUAACACCCUAAAGGUUGAUAUGAAAGAAAAAAAAGGAAAUAAAAUAAAAGCGCGUAAAAUUUUAAAAAAAAAAGUGGGCCCGUUGAUACUCAGAUGGUUCGGGCAUAUUCCGAGGAGAAGUCUAGAUGCUCCGGUAAGGAGGUAUGAGUGGCUGGUUGUGGAGGGCACGAGAAGAGGUAGAGGGAGGCCUAAGAAGUAUUGGGGAGAGGCGAUAAGGCAGGAUAUGACAAGACUUCAGAUUUCCGAGGACAAAACACUUGAUAGGAAGAUGUGGAGGUCUAGUAUUAGGGUUGUAGGUUAGGAGGUAAUUAAGUCUUGCCCUACUUUGUAUCAUUGUAAGACUAGUAUGGUAAGAUUUUUGUCUAAGAUAGCUAGUAGCAAUGUUGUAUCUUACUAUUUCGCUUUUCAGUGCAUGACCUAUUUACUAGCUAUCGCUUUUGCUUUGCAUAUUUUUUCAAGAUUUCAUGUUGUUCCUAUUUUUCCUAUGAUUUUUGUGCUGAUACUAAUAUUGUCUCCUUUUUUCUUUUUGUUUUCUUGAACCGAGAGUCUUUCGGAAACAACCUCUCUACUCCUUCGGGGUAGGGGUAAGGUCUGCGUACACACUACCCUCCCCAGAACCCACUAGUAGGAUUAUACUGAGUUGUUGUUGUUGUUGUUGUUGUUGUUGGUGUGAGCACGUAAUUUUUGCCUCACCGAAAAUACUCCAACAAAAAUCAAUAAAUAUUUUUCCUAAUUUCUUUGAACUUUUUAUAUAAUUUUUUGGGAAUUUUUGUUAAUUGUUUACAUGUAACUGCAGUUUUGUGCAUUUUUAAUAUUUUAAAGUCAUGAGAAAUACCAAAAAUAUUUAAUUCUUUAUUGCAUAGUAUUUUAGAUUUUAAUUGCAUUUAGGAUUUAAUAACAUUAAUUAAGUGCUUUAUUAAACAAAAAUCAAAGUAAGUAAUUCAGGAUUAGUGAAAAUAGAUUAUUUAGCUUUUAGUUUUAAAUUGUAAUAGCUUUAGUUUUAAAUUAAUUAGUAUUUAAAUUAGUGAAAAUAAGUUAAGAAUAAUUUUACAAAAUAGAUUAAUUUAGAAUUUUAGUUAGUAUGUUUAGGAUUUUUAAUUUUUAAACUUAAAAGGAAAAAGAAAACAAAGAAAGGAAGGGGGAAAGGUUAGCCUUGGCUAUAAUUUCAGACUGAGCCAACUUUCAUGGCCCAAUUUCCUAAAAAAUCACCAAUUCCGCCAAGCCCAAAUCAGUCCCAACCGGUCCAAGCCCCCUUUGAAUCAAAACGACAUCGUUUGGGCGUGGUUUAUCUCAACCCUUGGUUAUCUUCAAUCUAAUUGCUGAGAACUCAACAAACCUCUCAUUUAAAACUGUUUGAGAGAGACCCCCUACCCCCAAAUGAUCUCUCAUAGACCAUCUCUCUCACCUCUCUCAAACCCUCGCCGUCCGCCGCCGCUGAAAAUCGCCUACGGCGGUGGCAACACCCCCAAACCACCCCAAAUUGAUACCACACCCUCCUAAACCUUAUCCCCCCAUCAAUUUCUCCAAAAACCUCCCCAAAUCCUUCGAAUUUCAUAUCUAAGAAGGCCGAAAAUACCCUAAAUCCGUCCUUCUUUGAUUUCUCCUCAAUCUAGGCCCGCCUGAACUUGAAACCUACAUCAACUGAUUGCUCUUGAUGAGAGCAAUCAAUUGAUGCUAGUCUUGAUUCAUCUCACGGCCACCGGAUUCCGGCCAACUCAUCACUGAUCGGCCAAAGCUCAAUCGCCAUCAUUGCUUGUCGAUUCGCCUCAAUCGUCGAUUUAUUUUUGGUCCAAAUUCAAUAUAUUUCUCUUCUCAUAUUCCGUUGUUUCUUUUUCUUUUAUCAGUUGGGUUUUAAUUUUUGAUUGGUUUAUUUGAUUGAUAGAAUUAUUUAGUUAAUUACAUGUUAAUUAUUUUAAUCGCAUAAGUUGUUAGUUUAAUCAAUUUUAAGUUAAUUAGGUAUUAAAAUAAGUUAGUUGCUAAUUGGUUUGAUUUUGCAUUAUUGUUUCUAUUUUGAUCCGUAUGGUUUAGCUAUGGCUAAUUUAUCAUUAACCAGAAGUUAAAGGGGACGUUUGGGAAUGGAAAUAGACUGUUGAUUCAGUUGUUUGAGCAUGUUUGCUCUUUUGGGGUGGCUAUCUGUAAUAAACAGAACUUAAGGGGGAAACAUAUUUAAGUUAUAUGGGAAGCUUCUAGAAAAGGGGCUAAACUGCAAUAAAUUGAAGGAAUUAGGUCAGAUUGGUGUUAAAAGAAAUGAUUUUCAGAAGCUAAAGGGUAGGAAAUAAAAAGAACUAUCUAGAAACAGGGACAAUUGUCUAUUUCUGUUGAAAAUAGAUGCUUAUCAUCUGAUUUUCAGCUGACAGAAUUCCCAGAGAUUCUCUCACACCUCUCUGAUUUUUUCUUCAUUCUAUUGAGCAUAUGAUAUAUUUCAUUCUCUAUAUAAGACCUCAUCUCCUCUCAUUUUUACUCUCUCUGAAUUCUGAACACACACAAACGAAAAUACCCCAUGAAUUCACACUUUUCUCUUCAUUUUUAGGCUGGUUUUACAAACUAAUUCCUGCAUUUUUUAGAGAUACUUUCUAGCUCAUCUUUACUCUAAGUUCUCACAAAAGAAAUUCUGGAAUUUCAGCAUUCUAGUUAGAGAAAACAUGAGAAAACUAAAAAAAGUCUCUAGUUAGCUCUUUGCUUGAUAUUGGGUUUCACAUUCUGAUUUCUAAAGUUCAGUCCAGCUAUAAUUUCUGUUAUUUGCUGCUAUUAUUAUCAAGCUCUGUUGGAAUCUUUGUUUAGUUGUCUCCCAAGUUGAGAGACUUAUUUUCUGUUUCUUUUGCUUCUUGUUGCUACUGAGAUAUUACCCCUGAUCAAAUAAUGUAAAUUUCAGUUUUGCUUGAAGUAUGAAGGUGUUUGUUGCCCUGUCAAGUUUUAGUGUUGGGAACAUCGUUUGGUAUCUAUCAAGUUGUGUGUUGUUUGAUUAUUGUUAGAAUGCAGUUUUAGGUUAUGAACUGAAUUACUGCGUGCAUCAUGUUAAACAAUGAUUGAAAUCUGUUUAGUUGAAGUUAUUUGUGGAUUUGUAUGAAAUUAAUUAUUUACAUGAUUUGAUCUUUAGCUAUGAAGUUUAUAUGUUGUUAUCAGUUAGAGUUAGGGGUUUUGGAUAGCCAAUAUUUGAUCAGAUGUUUGUUUAAGCUGUAAAUUAUAUCAGUUAGUAACUGUUGGUUCUGCAUGAUAGCUGGAAAGCCUCAGUGGUGAUUACACACAUAGCUCUAAUUUAGGUUUCAAUUGCUAACUGAUUUGGCUAAAUCAAUAAAUAUUAAAGCAAAGAAGGGAACACCAGAAAUGUAUGUGUACUCAAGUGCAGUGGUAUGUUGAUCUCAUGCCAAAAUCCAAUUGUUAUUCUAUUUUUAGGAUCCAUGUAAUCAUUCAUGAAUUGUAAUUAGAUUGAUUGAAUUUAUGAUUCAGAACCUGUAAUUAUUUGGCGUUAGAUAUUGGCAUUGUAUAUUUCUAAGAUUCGUAUAUUUGUGUAUUCGUUUCUUUUAAAGUAUCAGUCUGUUAUCUUCUAUCUAAGCCUGGUGUGUGUCGAUUUUGUUGGGACAUGUUUGGCAAGUUCCAAAAAUCUCAUCUACAGUGGGCUAUUGGAGUUUUCCCAUCUACUUGGGCUCAAUUUCAAGCCCAUUUUAUGUGGUGAUGCUUUUUAAGAGGGGUUAGCACAUUUGGGCCUCACCUCAAAAUCUAUAUGCAGAUUGCUUUUGCCCAUUAGAGAUCCUAUGCCAUUGUUUAAAUACAACCAAGCCCAUAAUAUUAUUCUAGUUAUUAGCCUAUGUUUUUAAUAAUAAAUUAGGCAGAAAUUUGUUAAUCAAUUUAAUCAUAAUUAGUAAUUCAAUCUGUCCGUAACAUUAAAACUAUUGAUCAUGUUCAUCAAUUUUAUGACAUUGUAGUUUGAUCAAUAGCUAAAUCCAAUUAGUCACAAAUGAUUUCCGUUUAAGAUUCAAACUUUCACUCUGAGUUAGAAUGUUUGCAUAUAAAGUAACCACUCUGAGGAUAAUUAAAAUAUUCAAAUCUUCGUAACAUGCUUUAGGCGCGUAUGUAAAUCAUUACUGCUAUGGGUACGGUUCCCAUGGCAUAAUCGUGAUACAUAAUCCCCAAUUCGGUUGCGUAUUUCAUGUGAUCCGACCAUAACUUCAAACAAUAAUAAACGUAAACAUAUUGUAAAUCGCGGGUACGGUUCACGUGAUGCGGUUCACAAUAUGUACAAAAGCAAACGAGUGCGCGACAUUGCGACUUGUUCAAACAAAUUUCAUAUAUAACUUAAAGCGGUUCUAAAAGUUAAAAAUGCAAAAUAAGUUUUAAAUAUAUAUUAAUCAGAUAAUUAGGCCAAUUAACAAUAGUUGGGCGAUCGUGCUAAAAUCACGGAACUCGGGAGUGCCUCACACCUUCUCCCGAGUUAACAGAAUUCCUUACCCGGUCUUCAGGUUUCGUGGACUUUAAAACAUAGUCAAAUUUCUUUGAUUUGAGAUUCAAAAUAAACCAGUGACUUGAGACACCAUAAAUUAUCCCGAGUGAUGACUCUGAAAAUCAAAUAAAUAAUCUCAUUUCGAAUAAUGUCAAUUUAAUUGGAAAUAUAUCCUAUCCCCUCGGAAAAAUGGAGGUGUGACAGUUGAGCCCGCUGAUAAUUUUUUACCCACCAGCCUUCUUUCUCCUUCUUCUAAACCCCCCUCCAUUCGUCCUUCUUCUCCAUUCGACCCCCCUCCCUUUCUUCUUUCUCCUUCUUCUAACUCCCCCCUUCUCCCUUUGUCCUUCUUCUCCAUUCGCCCCCUCCCGCUAGUGCUUCUUUCUCCUUUUUCUACCCCCUCCCUUCGUCCUUCUUCUCCAUUCUCCCCUACCCCCAGUGUUCCUCGUCUUCUUCUUUUUUUUUUUAGUUCAAAUUUUGUUUUUCUCUUCUUUUUUUUCUUUUUUUUUUGUAAUAAUUUUUCCUUUUCCACUAUCUUUCAUCUUCUUUCUUCUUCCUUUUUUCUUUUAGUUUUUUUUUUCUUUCUCGACAUCUGCCUCAUCUUCUUUCUUCUUCUUUUUUAUUCAAUGAAUUUUUCUUUGUUCAAAAAAUUAAGAAAUUAAUUUAGCAUUUUUUCGUAUUUUCUCUGGUGUGGUUAAUUGAACAGAAAAAAAAAU
rnacentral:lncRNA from 1 species